UUGACUUCCCCAUUGAAAUCUGAAAGCUUCCACCUAAACAAAUCGUGGAAAGAGACUUCAGAAGCUGCGUGGCAUCCGCAUACAAAAUUUACAGUAAGAAACGAAAUUGAACAUGUUUAUCUAGAUUUGUCCCUUUAUCUUCCAUUGCAUUAAUGCUUGAAGCCUACCACUCAGUAAUUAAAAAUUUUCUUCCAUCGUGUCGAUUUCAUUUUAUGAAUAAUUAAUAUUAUUUUUAAACAAAUUAUUUAGCGCUAAUUAAUUCAAUCACAUAGUUGUAUACUAAACUAUGAUAAGUUUAAAGCCCGCUUCUCACCGUGCAAGUGAAACCGUAGAAAACAUAGCGCAUUAACACUUUUAUACCGUUCUGCUUAGUUUAUUCAAAUUCGUUAAUUGUAUCCUGGAAUUGGAGGAGCAAUGAGUAGUGACGAAGCUUCAAUUUUCUCAACUUUUCUGUUUUGUCUGUUGAUGUUUGUAUUCAUCACCAGUGAAAUUGAAGCAAGAAAACUUGAAGUACAAAUGUGUUCUUCCUCUUGUGGAGAUGUCAAAAACAUAAGCUACCCUUUUCGCCUCAAGGGCGAUCCAGCUGGAUGCGGCCAUCCGGAGUUAGAACUUUCUUGCGAGAGCAACAAAACCAUCUUAGAAUUCAAUUCUAGAAAGUACUAUGUGAAGAGAAUUUCCUAUGAUAAAUGUUCAAUCAGUGUUGUCGAUGUUAACUUAGCCUAUGGAAGCUGCAGCUUCCCAUCCACUUCUUUUUCCCGACAUUGUAUUAUUCGGAACAUUUUUAUGAGCUUAUUCAUUAUGCUAUUGAUUCAUACGCCUAUUUCGUGAAUUGCUCGAGUAAUAUUGUUGAUCGGGCGUUUACAAAAGUUCCAUGUUCCAGUGACAAUCAGUCGAUCGUUUAUGCUUAUGUUGGAUAUAAUAGCAUUGGCAUUAGCGGCACAGUAGCAGAUCUUCCAGAGUCAUGCGUCUUCAUUUCAAAGGUUCCUGUAGUACUUAAUAGGAAUGUGGACAAUCCUUCUUAUGAAGACAUCCGAAAAUUGCUGGAGUCGGGGUUCGAUCUUAGAUGGUCAGUUGAGUGCAGGAGCUGUGUUGCUGCUGGUGGAGUGUGCACUACCCAUUUUCGUUGCCUCGUCAUAGGCGAAAGCAACCUAAUUUCUGACUGUAAGCCCAUGCUUAUAUUUAUUUUUGCAUUCAAAUGCAAGGCUUUGUUUAUAUUUUUCAAUAUUGUACGUAAUAAAGAAUUUGUGAACUAUCUCUAAGACCAUACCGAUAUGACCCUUAAUUUCUGUUUCUCCUUCACUUUUGCAACAGUUUGCAUCUACAAUGCAGGAGUAGGGGCAAAAAUUAUUUGCUACCCAUAUUAUAUACGUAAGCAUAUCCUUAUAUAUCUUCUUCAUCAUGUGUUUUCGACGCUAAAAAAUGCGACGGCUUCAUAUAUUCUCUAAUCUUUUACUGUAUAAUUUUUUUCUUAAUCAUCUCUCUGAUUAGGUAUAAAGCUUAUUUAUUUUUUUUCCCCCUCUCUCCAAUUGCAGUUUACAGUAUAAUUUAUGUGAUAAGUUCUCCGUUAGGUAAAAUCUCCUCUCCAGGAUCCUCUUUUUAUUGCUUUGCUUACUACUAUUUACUUUCAAUAAACGUUUUCUUUACCAGGGUUUCCAGUUGAUGUUCUGAUAAUUGGUAGAUUUAUUCUUGCUCCAAUAGUCUUUCUCGUGUUCCUUAUCCACAAAUACAGAACGACAUUGCAAACAGUUGAUAAUGUGGAGAAAUUUCUGCACAACCAUCAAUCGUGGAUGCCUAAAAGGUACUCUUACCCGGAGAUAAUUGCCGUGACAAACCACUUCACUCAUAAAUUAGGCCAAGGUGGCUUUGGUUCAGUUUAUAAAGGACAACUUCAUACCGGUCGCUUGAUUGCUGUUAAGAUGCUGGAGAACUCCAAGUUCAGUGCGGAGGAAUUCAUCAACGAAGUUUCAACAAUAGGUAGAAUUCACCACGUUAAUGUGGUCCAGUUAUUGGGGUUCUGUUCUGAGGGAUCCAAACGUGCACUUGUGUACGAGUUUAUGCCUAAUGGAUCACUCGAUAGGCAUAUCUUUCCCAAGGAGAGUAGAGGCCAAUCUUUUAGUUGGGAGAAACUCCACGAAGUUGCUUUAGGAACUGCUCGUGGGAUCGAGUAUUUACACAACGGAUGUGAUGUCUGCAUUCUUCAUUUCGACAUUAAGCCUCACAACAUCCUGCUAGAUCAUAAUUUCAUCCCAAAGGUCUCAGACUUCGGCCUUGCAAAGUUUCAUCCCAAGGAAAAUGAUUUUGUGUCCAUCAGUGCCACAAGAGGAACCAUAGGAUACAUAGCACCUGAGCUGAUUUCAAGGAAUUUUGGAACUGUUUCUUGCAAGUCAGAUGUUUACGGUUUUGGGAUGGUGUUGUUGGAAAUGGCUGGAGGAAGAAGGAAUUCUAAUAUGAAUGCAACUCGUUCAAGCAAAGCUUAUUUCCCAUCUUGGGUAUAUGACCAAUUAAAUAAGGGAGGUGAUUUAGAGCUUCGGAAUGUGACUGAAAUCGAGUCCAUGAUUGCAAGGAAACUGUGUGUGCUUGGUUUAUGGUGUAUUCAGGUGAAGCCAGCUGAUCGCCCCUCCAUGACAAAAGUUUUGGAAAUGUUAGAAGGGAGUAUCGAAGAUUUGCAAAUGCCUCCGAAACCUUUCUUCUCUUCUUCUCGACAUAUCUCCGGAAGAGAGAUUGAAUCAGAUUCUUCAACAGAGUUGUUAGUGUCUGAAUCGAUUGAGGAAUGUUCUUUCAAUGAUAGUUUUGCUUAGUUUUGGCAAUGAUAUGUGUAAAAAAGAAAUAAAUUGUCCUCGUGCUACCAGAGCUUCUAUAACAUUAUGUUGAAUAUUCAUUGUUUGAUGUGAAUAUUCCAAUUUUGCUCAUAUCGACCAGAAUAUGAUGUAGGUUUGUCAAGUGAUCAUGUACAUUCAUCAACCUUUUGCAAUUACCAACAUGAUAUGCUUUGAACUCUCUAGAGUAUGCUUUGAACUCUCUUUAGAGUACAAUUACCAAAGUACAAUUACCAAAGUAUAUCGUAGACACCUAGCUAUCACCACACAUCCACUUUUACUUAAUAGAUAACAAUUUCAUCUCACAACAGUGGUGAAUUAAAAGACACAUAUAGCAAUUACCCGUUUUCAUGGUAAGCGGAGGGUAGCUGCUAGGAAUUACCCGUUUUCAAAAGAACAUUACUUACUGAUCUUAAAAACAUAAUUUUCUCAUUUCCUACCUACAAAUUACUUUCACAACUCUCACUAAAAUCUAUAUCACAAACAGCAAGUCCCAUCCUGUUCCUCCAUGCAUCUGAUAUUGGCAGAUACUGAAGUUGACUAGUCUCUUUGGGGCUACCAUUGACUUAGAAAAAGGAGAAAAGAAAGAAGGAAAGAACAGAAGAAAUUAAAAGAAACCCAUUUUCCUACCUUUUUCCAUGACAAAUUGACAGUCAAACUCUCCUCUCCCUUAUUACUCCAAAAGCAUAACUCAAACUCUGCUCUAACUCAAACUCCGCUCUCCCUCUCCCUCCAUGUCCCUCGUGAUGAGUUUAAUAAUCCUCUUCCUCUUCUUACCUUACACAUGUACAUUAGCCAAAGCUUCUGCAGAGGACAACAAGACAGAUAAAUAUGAAUUCUGUCAACCAACAAAUUGCAGUAAUAGGAUCCCAAGUAUCAGAUAUCCCUUCAGACUCAAAACUCAACCAACAUCUUGUGGCCUUGAAGGGUUUGAAUUGUCAUGCUUAAGUGACAAGACAAUCUGGCAUCUUCCUUCCUCUGGUGAUUAUUAUGUCCUUGAAAUUUCUUAUCUGGACCGCAGUAUUACCAUUACAGAUGUGAAUGAGACAGCAUGCCCGUUUCAAAGCCUUAUCUCUUUCAACCUCACAAACUCCAAAUUCUUUUUUCUUCACUCUAAUGAAAGUUACGCUUUAUAUAACUGCACUGAGAAGGUUUCCCCAGGAUGGACUUCAUAUGGACUAAUUGGACCGAUCAAUUGUCUUAGCAAUGAAAACAAUCUUGUCUAUAUCAUAGAUAGCGAAUAUUCAAUGGAGGAUAUGCCUCCAUACUGCAGAAAAUCUGGAACAGUUGAGAUUCCUGGUGGAUUACCUCUGCAGGAUAUUGCAACGACGGCGAGGGCAAGACCAGUAGUCUUAGGAUGGGAAGCUCUUGAUGGAUGCAACGACUGCGAAAAUUCAGGGAAUUAUUGUGGGUUCAACACUACAAGCAAUUCGACAAUCUGCGUUGCCGUAAAACACAAAAAACGUAAGUAACCAUAUCUUUUCUGAGUCACCUCUCUCUACAGUGCUUGAAAGUGAAAGCAUCGUCUCUAUUUAGUUAACAAUAAAAAUAAUAAGUUGAAUUUAUUAUCAUUGUUAUAUAUGCCGGAAAAUUUAUCAGAGCAGUGUAAAUGAAAAGAAAAAAUAAUAAUAAUUAGGCUUUGCAUUAUUUUUUCAAUUGUAAAAGUGUAAUUACAAUUGCUAGAAGUUAAAAAUUAAAGAAGCCAUCUAUAUUUCACUUUUGGUUAGAUUUAGUUGAAUUCCGAUGGUGAGUUUUUCAAAAAAUUAACAAUUUGAACUGAAUUGAAAAUCCAAUCAAUUUGGUUCGAUUUAGUUAGGCUUUUUUUUUUCCCUUUGACCUGUAAUUUCUUUUGCGUUUUUCUAGUUUUUUUGGCUUUUUAUUUUCUCUCAUAUAAAUCGAUGGAUUUUUUUUUAACCAAAAAAAAAAAGACUAACGAUUCAUUUUUUUGGUGGCAAAUAUAAUUUUACCUACCCCUAAUCUGUAUGGCGAAUAUCAUUGCUAUUAAAGGCUGCUUUCUGGUAUUAGUGCCAGUUGUAGAUUGGUUAAUAAAAUGUUGCUAGCCAUGCUGAUUUGACUGUUUGAAGAAAAAUUGAUACUACUCAGGACCAAAUAGAUAGUACUAAUUUUCUCUAUCUUGUCAAUUUAAUCUUUGAAUCUUUAUAUUACAAUUAAUUUUCGUAAAUGGUGAGAGAUUGAUUAAACUCACAAUGCCUGAUAAAAGUUUAACCUAUUAUAUUUUCUUGCGUACUCAAUGAAUACAAAUUAAGAAGAAUUAUUAUACUAAUACUUUUUCUCUAUGAUUAAGUUCAUGAUGGAAAAUUUAUUGAGAAAAAAAUUUGUUCAAUCAAGUAACCCUCAAUAUUCACAUGGAAUAAGAGAUGAGGGGAAAAAAAUCAUUUUGUGAAUGCAGAAAGGGGAAAAAAAAUACAUAAAGACAGAGAUUUCUAAUUGUGAUAAUUUUGGUGUUUUCAUUGUGUACUUCAGUUAAAGUUAAAAUUUUAAAAUUGAAGUGUGUAAGGUAAAAGAGUUCUACUUUGCAGUUUAAACAAUUUCAUCCUUUUGCAUAUUAUUAUUUUUUCAUUAUUUAGUUAAAUGAAAAAUUAAUUAUCUAUCCACCCAUGUGAAUAAUAUACCUAAUUAUAAUUUAAGUUAUGAAAAAAUACCUAUAUAUGAGAUGGUCACAUGAGAGGGACUUGUUAAAACCCAAUCAAAUGAUAUUAGAGUCUUUAUGCUACCAAGUUAAGCUUGCACGGGUCCAGACUUUUAGCAUCUCAUUUUAUUGUUUGAGUUAAUUUUUUAACUAACUUUUCUUAGUUAUAUCUAACGGAUGGUCCUGGCCCUUUAUCUAUAAGUCUAAUAUCCACAGGCACAAGCAUUGGAGGCAUCACCCUCUUUGCAUUAGUGAUAUUUCUCAUUUACAGAUCAAGAGAAUCUGAAAAAGAAAAAGAGACUCAACUGAAGGUGGAGAAGUUCCUCGAAAACUACAGGACCGUCAAUCCCACCAGAUAUGCUUACAAAGAACUGAAGAAAAUAACAAGCAGAUUUAAGCACAGGCUCGGUCAGGGAGGUUACGGAAGCGUGUUCCGAGGAAAACUCUUCAACGGAAUUCCAGUUGCUGUCAAGAUGUUGGAACAUUUAAAAGGAAAUGGACAAGAGUUCAUCAAUGAAGUGGCCACAAUUGGCAGGAUUCACCACUUCCACAUUGUUCGGCUUCUGGGAUUUUGCUCUGAAGGAAACAGGCGUGCUCUUAUUUACGAGUUUAUGCCCAAUGGAUCACUUGAGAAAUUCAUCUUCUCAAAGACAAAUAGCUCAAGUCAUCGUCAAUUGAGUUGGGACAAGCUGAGGAAGAUUGCAUUUGGCGUUGCCCGUGGAGUGGAGUACUUGCACCAAGGAUGCAACCAGAGGAUCCUGCACUUCGAUAUCAAGCCUCACAAUAUAUUAUUAGACCAUAAUUUUCAACCGAAGAUUUCAGAUUUUGGACUGGCUAAGUUGUGCUCAAAGGACAUAAGCAUUGUAUCUCUGACAGCUGCCAGAGGCACUUCUGGCUACAUUGCCCCUGAACUUUUCUCCAGGAAUUUUGGUGAGAUCUCUUACAAGUCUGAUGUUUACAGUUACGGAAUGAUGCUGUUAGAGAUGGUCGGAUGCAGAAAAAAUAAUGAUCCUGCGGUUGAAAUUCAGAGCCAAAUAUAUUUUCCGGAGUGGAUUUACAAUAGAAUGAGGCAAGGACAAGAGCUCUGUUUGGAAUUUGAGGAAGAUGGGGAUGAGGGAAUUGCCAGAAAGCUUGCAAUUGUGGCACUUUGGUGCAUUCAAUGGAAUCCCACGGAGAGACCUUCCAUGCCAAUUGUAUUACAAAUGCUUGAAGCUGAUUUACAAAGCUUGGAGAUCCCUCCAAUGCCCUUUGUCUCUGCUGAUGUUGAGGCAGGUGCAAUCAAUUGAUCUAGAUAGCAGAAGAUUACAAUUAAAAAGGGAUAUUGUUAAUUUAUUUCAAAUUUUCUCCGAUUAUAAGCUAAAUUAUUUAGUCCUUGUUAUUGGAACGCUUGAAAACCACUAAAUUGAGUUUUUGUUUGACUGUGGUUGUUUUAUUUAUCGCUUAAAAUCUUUGAUGUGUUCGAGUGAUACAACAUUAAUACAACUAUGGAUGAAUUUUUUCAAUUUGUCAUAUUAGUUGAGGACCUACUAUUAUACUUCUAUUACCUACUUGAAAAUUGAGUUGAACAAAAUUUAUUAUUUUAAAAUAUAAAAAUAUUAAUAUUAUCUCUCACAUUCUUCUUGUAUUUAUAUAUGUUCUCGUAUCAUGCGCUCAACUAAAAUUUUAGGAAACUUUUAUUUUUUAUGGUGCUUUUUUUUUCCUUUAAAACCAAAAUAAAGUUGGGAUUCAUUUAUGUUUUAAUCAUAUGCUUGUUUCAAAAUUUUACUUUCUUACAAUUUUUUUACAAUUUUUUAAAAAUGUACUCUCAUAUUUGUUAAAUUUAAGAAUUAAAGUCCAUGAUAUUAUAUUCAUCUUUAAGUUUCUCAACAGCUACUUCGGAAGUGAAUCAGACUAGAAGGGAAAAAAUGAACAAAACAACGGAACAGUUCAUGGCUUUAUGCUUCUUUAUGGACUGCGGUUGCCUCCAAGAAUAGCCCAAGUCAUUAGUGGGCUUUUAAUUCUGCUGCUCUGAAAAGCCCAAAGCGUCCAUGAUAAAGCAGCUCACGGGAGCAGUCCCAAUUCUGAAUCUCUCUCAACUCCUCAAGCGGGGAUUCAAUUUGAAUGCCGCCAUUUGCCUCAUUUCACAAUACAGAUAUGCAUGCAUGGAGGAUAUAUAUACACUGGGCUUAGUUGUGUAUACAUAACUUAUAAAGUUAUAAUUAUAUUAUGAGUAUAAUUGUAUAUGUAUGUAUGUGUGUGUCUGUGUGUGUGUGUGUGUAUGAACAAAUAAAAUAACAAUCAAAUGAAAAUUAACAAGUAACACCUGGAAGAAGAUCAGUGGAUCACUACAGUUUUGAGGGCCAAAUGAAGCUGCACGUUGAUGAUAGAAUACAGAGAGCACAAUGAUUUAAAAUGCGUUUGCUUAAUGGCAUUUUAAUUUAUGCGCUCUCUAUCUUUUGUCAACAAAAUUUCAGAAAAUUAGGGCCCUCUACUUCAAUCAGAACAAAACAUGCACCAAAUAUUAAUAAGGAAAAAAAUCACCAAUCAAUACGCUUUUAUCUCCACAAUAAUAAAUAGCUGCUGAAUGGCCAUGGAAGCGUGCAUAUCCAUAGCAACACGACAUUAAAAUGCUUGAUAAAUUGUUUACAGUAGCAUGACUUUGUAUGCCAGAUAAAUGGUUGCAGGCUUAAACGCAUUAAUUUAUGAAGUGCUUCCCCCUUUUAGGCUGGAGAUAAAUCCAGUCUACAUUACUUUCCCUCCUUUUCUUGCUCGCCUUUUGCAAUAGAUAUGUUAUUAUAUUGUUUUUUUAGUACAUUUUCAAUGAGACUACUAUUCUUAUAUCGGCUGCCAAGUUAAACAUUUGAUCAAUAUUUAUUUUAUGGAUUUGAAUUCGACAUGACAGACAUUAAAAACAAGUGGCAUACAACAUGACCAAUUUUUACAUCAAUACAUACAUUAUACUAAUGCAGCUGUGACAUUUGAAAUAAGUGAUUAUUUCAUUAAAGCAAUUUAUGGCAGUGAUACAUACCACAUGAAACACAACAAAACCCGUUACAAUGUCACAAAAUUAAUACGAAAACAUUUGAUGGAGAGGAAAUCUAUGCAUACGAAAACAAAAUUAAAAUAUGUGUUUAUUUUAUCUUUUAACUUAUCCCUAACUUUAUUAAAAUCAGAGAUCCCUAAUUAAAAAAUACUAUAAUAUAUAUAUAUAUAUAUAUAUAUAUAUAGAGAAGGAAAUAGGAUCGAAGGAUGGAAGUGCUUACGAGAAAAACCAAUUAUUAAGAAGUCCGAUAUGAACAAUGCUUGGAAAAGAACGGCUUUGUCGGAUUUUAAAGUACUUUACCAAAUAUUGCUUAAGGCACUUUUAAAUUUAAAACGCGGUUAGUCAAAUUUUUAAAUUAUUUAAAGUACGUGACUUGUUUACCGACAGUGCAGAUCAGACUAACGCCCAUUCGGGUUCGUCUCUGAAAUUUAUGUCGUCGGAUUUCCGUCGAUAUACUCAAAUAAUUUUUCUUUACCAAAUAUUUAUUAGAUUCUUUAAGCAAGCCUAGCAACAAACAUACAUCUAAAAGUUAGGGUGCAUACACAGUACCAGAUCUGGAUCCCAGAAAUGGUGCUAUGAAGGAUUGGAGGGAGAAGAGAAAAAUUACAACUGAGGAUUGAGAUCUGGUCUUGUUGCCUCAGAGGAACGUAACAGUUGUAUGGCAGAUCUGAUACAGAUCAGUCUGCUAAAGAUGCUUUAAAUUGCGGAAAAUUAAAGUACAGAAAUUUAAACAUACAUGAAAAGCUUUAAAUAAAAUUUACAAAUGCUUUAAUGUAAAAUGAAAAUUGCUUACAUUGAUUGCUUUUCUUUGUAGCAAAGAAAGGGAAAUUAAUCUUGAAGGCAAGGAACUAUUCUGAAAUCAGAAAAAUUUCCUUGAGCCCUUCGGAUUCCUGAUUCCCAGAGAGAGAUAGAGAGAGAGAGAAGGAAAAGAAGAGAGAGAAGCUUUAAACUUGAAAAUGAAAAACCUGAGGAGUCUAAGUCUUCCUCCUGAUUUUUAUACAAAAUGAGUUUUAAACUGUAGACUAUAGCGGAGCUGUAGCGUACAGUAAUCUUUGGAAUUCUGUACUGUAGACUGUAGCGAAGCUGUAGCAUACAGUAAUCUUUGGAAUUCUCCACUGUAGACGGUUAGCGGAGUUGUAGCGAAAUACAUAAAUGAUACGGGUGAAGAGACAUGUGCGCUCUCACUUGUGUCCAGAGGACCACCCGGUGGUACAAAAUACCAAAAAAUACAGGGAAAAUACACGUAAUAAUUACUUUUUUUUUAACUUACAAACAUUAUUUACAAUGCUUUAGUGGAGAGAAAAUUCUGAAACAGUCGUCUUCAUUUUCAUCUCCAAGAGAAAUAAAUGGCUCUUCAUCUUCUUCAUCGUCUUCAGAGGUGUCUGCUACUGAGGACUUCGAUCUUGAGGUGAGGAGCUGCUCCAUAACUUUAAAAUAUUCAUCUUCAGUUUUGGCGCUGGCCAAAAGGGACUGGGCUUUAGAUUUCUGAGUAAGAAAGGUUUGUUGGGCUUUGGAGUCUUUAAUAGUUGGUGGUAGGAAGCCUUUUGAAUUAAGCCAAUUUUUUAUGAGGGUGUCAGUUAAUUUGGUUUGCUCAUCGAAUUUUGACCACCACUUCACUUUGAAAGUUCUUUAGAUAAUGAGGUGUUUUUCUUGGGUAUGAAAUUUGAAAUUCCACAUCCAUACCCAUGGGAGAAAGAAAUUUGUACAAAAAUAAAGAAAGGGGGAGAACCUUUUCUCUGAUUCGGAUGGGGUAUAAUGGGCUUUGAAAAGGUUUAGACAAUGAGUGGCAUUUGGGGUCAGGAUUUGUGGUGUUGGACCAAAAUAAUUUCACCACUGCUGAAACCAGUUUGGAAGACUUUGGACGGUUAUUUUUGAGUUGAAGAAAAAUAACCACGAAUGGGAUUUCUUUGGGUUUUGUAUAAAAAAUGUGUUUAACCAAGCUUGCUGGUAGUCCUAGUAGGAAUAGGUCAAGCAAUGAGGCAAACGCAUUUGGAAAUUUGGAGGGAAGGUUUUGAAUUUGUGGAGUUGGUCACCCCACUGGUUUGGGCUCAAAACUUUUAAGAUAGUGGCUGUGGAAUAAGCCGGUUCAGUGUGGGUUUCACUGAGAAAGAAAUGUUUGAAUUUUACAGACUCAGUGGCUUCUAAAAUGCUUUGGUAAUAAGGCUGGGGUUUUGUUAAAUCCCAUGGUUUAAAAAACCAGCCUUUAGGAAAAAACUUUGAAAUUGCUUGGAAAGGAUCAGUGUGGUAAAAACCAUCUUCCAUUGUUAAAAUGUUUUGAAAAUGGGUUUUAUCAUACCAAUCGGAAGUUUUCUUUGAAGAAGUUGGUUGUGAAAGAACAAUUUGGGAAGAUGAACUUUCACCAGAGAGAACAAUAUUUUGGCUUUGAGAGGAAGGUUUUGUAAGUUCUUUAGAAAUUGGUUUUUCUUCCUCAGGGAUUUGAGAAAGGGCUUUAGAUUUUGAAAUGCCUUGUAAGGCAAGCAUAAGUUCAGGAGACUUUGUAAUGGAUUCCAUCCAUUCUUUUACUUGUUGUUCAGAGGAGAUGGAUUUGUAUUGGGUUUCUUGUUCUUCCUCAACCAUUUCAAUCCAGGAUUUAAUGGGCAUGGCUGAAGAUAGUAAUUUAUCUUUAGAGGGAGUGGACUGAGGUUCUUUGGAGGUUGUUUGGGAGUCACAGUCUUUAAGAAUAGCUUUACCUUUGUCUCUGCGCUUUGGCAGCAUUAUCUGUUUUGGAGAAAUUCUCUAGUUAGAAAAUCAGGAAUAGAAUUUGUAUUACCUUUAAUAAACGCAAUAUCAAAAUCAAAAACACUUAAAAUAGCUUGCCAUCGUGCAAAAAUCUGUUUUGAUGCAAUGUUUUGAACAUUAUUUUCUAAAACAUGUUUUGCAGCUUUGCAAUCAAUUCUAAGUAAAAAUUUUUGAUUUAGUAGAUCACUUUGAAAUUUGGAAAUACACAAAACAAUAGAAAGAAUUUCUUUUUUGAUAGUGGAAUAAUUUUUCUAGCAUUCAUUCCAAUGUGCAGAAACAUAUUGUAUUAUCUGUUCUUUAUCAUUUUCUUUUUGCUUUAAUAUACCUCUAUAACCUAAAUCAGAUGCAUCAGUUUCAACAAUUUUAGGUAAUGCAGGAUUUGCAAGAUAUAAACAAGGGAUGCUUUUAACAGAAUUCUUUAUGAGCUUAACAACUUUGGUAUGUUCAUCAGUCCAGGCAACAGGAUUCUUUUUUAACCCAUCAUGCAAAGGUUUGGACAUCCUAUUGAUAUUAGGACAGAAAUCAAGAACAUAUUUUAGACUUCCUAGAAAUCUCUGUAAUUGAGUUUUAUCUAAGAUUUUAUCCGGGAACUUGUCUGCAAAGACAAGAGAACGCUCAAUAGGAGUAAUGGUUCCUUUGGAAAUAUGAUGACCAAGGAAUCUGAUUUUUGUUUGGAACAAAGAAACUUUGGAUUUGGAAAUGGCUAAUCCAGCUUUUCUAGUUGCCAAGUAAAAAGUCUUUAAAUGUUUGAAAUGCUGGUCAAUGGUUUGAGAGAAAAUUAAGACGUCAUCAAUAUAAACAAUACAAAAUUCAGAAUAAGGGUUGUAAAUAUCAUUCAUGAUUAUUUGAAAUUCAGAAGGUGCAUUUUUUAAACCAAAAGGCAUAACGGUCCAUUCGUACUGUCCAAAAGGAACAGUAAAAGCAGUUUUGUAACGGUCAUUGAUUAGUAUUAAAAAUUGUUUAAUUAUCAAGCGAUAACAUGUAUUUUAUGCUUAUGUUUUAAUUUAUAUUUGUGUUUAUGUAAUAUAUUAUGAAUUAUGAAUUAUGUUUUAAAUAUAUUUAAUUUUGUGUAUUUUUAUGUGUUUAUUAGGAAAAAUAUCAAUUUCACGUACUUCGAGGCUCUAAACAGAUAAACGGAGGCCAAAUUUGGAUUCCGGAGGUCCGAAAACCUUAAGAUCAGUCAAGAUCGGCUUAAAAUUGGGAUUGUGUAAAAAAAGUUGACUUUUCCUGUUGACCGAGCACUGAUUGGAUGAUGAAAUGAGCUUACAAUAGAUAUGAGUGCAUGGGAUAACUGGCAAUUUUGACUAAAUCUCAACCGUUCAUGAUUCAAUGGCCAUGAUUGUGCCACGUGGCAAUGGUUGAUGAAGCAAGUUGGAGGAUCCAAAUCUUUGUAUUCGGGUCGACCCGAUCCACCCAUUAACCCGCCAAAUCUCAACCGUUCUUUGGGCAAAUCGGACGAGUCAAACAAUGCCAUGUGUGAUGAUUGACUUUUGAAGUUUGACCAGCCGUUGGAUCUUGAUCUAAGGGAUGUGAGGAGCACAUGCAUGAAGCCUAUGAUGGACCGCAAAGCACUAGAUUAUGAAUUUAUUUUUCUAUAAAUAGGGCCUCAUUUUUAUGUUUUAAUCAUCUCUCUACAACUCUCUUCUUCUCAAAUUCUCUCCAUCUCCUUGUAAUCUUGAUUUCCAGGUGUGUUUUUAAUAUUUUGUAUAAUUAUUUUCAUUAAUAAAAUUAGUUUUAUUUCCAAUUUUAGUUGUUUUUAUUUCUUUUAAUUAUAAGUAAUUCAAUUUUACUACUUCUUUUUAUUUUAAUUAUGCUUAACUAAAUAAUAUUAGUUAGGGGAAGGUGAAACUCUUAGGAAAUAAAUAUGAUUUAAUCAAAUUCUAUUUUUAAUUUUAUAAAUUAAAUUAUUUUCUAUUUAAUUUUAUACAUGUUUUAUAUUUUAAAAUUUUGAUUUAUUGUAGACAAACAAAUGAAUUUGGCACAAUAAAUUCUUAAGAUCUUAAUAUAAGGCAUGGUGAAAUGGUAUUUUGACUUAUUGUAGACAAAUUAAAUUUUGGCACAAUAAAUACUUAAGCCAUCAUAAAAUUAAAGGGAAAAUAAUAAUAAUUUGUAUAAUUAAUCUUUUGGGUAAUAAAUCUAAAAAAUUGGCAAAAAGAAUUUAUUAAGUUUUAUUUAUUUCUAAGAGUGGAUCCAUAACCCUAACUAGUUCAAUUCCAUAGUUUCAUUUAAAUUAAGUUGUUUAUAUUCAAGUUUUAAUUUCAAUUUUUAGAUAAAAUAAAAUAAACUAAUUAAAUCUUUUCUCUGUGGAUCGACCUCGGACUCAUCGAGUUAUAAUACAACAAGACACUCUUAUACUUGGGAGUUAAAAAUUAAUUUUAAGUUGUGUCAGUCAUUAGGGUGGAUUUGAAUUUGCCAAAAACCAGAUUUCAUGUCAAAUUUUGAAAAUAUGAAAGCAGAAUGUAGUUUUUGAAGCAAAUUCUUUUUAUUAGGUAUUGGGUACCUAAUCCAUUUAAUGCCUUAUUAAGAGGUUUGUAAUUUAUGACCAGUCUUGGUAUUCCUCUUUCAAUUUAAGAAUUUUUGUUUACAUAAAAAACAGCACAAGACCAGGGGGAUCUUGAUUUUACAAUUAGUCCUUUAGUUUCUAAAUCUUUUAUUUCUUCUUUGCAAUGUUUUUCUAAUUCCAUGUUCAUUUGAAUUGGUCGGGCUUUGGUAGGAAUUUGUCUUUCAUCAAAAGAGCUUUCAUAAGGUAAAUCUACCAGAUGUUGUUUUCUGUUCCAGAAAGCAGAUGGUAAAUCAGCACAUAUUUCUUUUUCAAUAAGAUCUUUGAAAUUAGAGAUUUUUCUUUGUACAAAAUCAUUUUUUAAUUGAUUCUCAAUUCUUUUUAGGCUCAAAUCUUUUCGCAAAAACAUUAAAUCAUUCUGUCUUGAUCUAAGAAGAUUAUUGAUUUGAUUUUGAUAGACAGAACAAGCUUUGACAAUAUUCAAAUUCCUUAUUUUUGGCUUUUCAAUGAAUGGGAAAACAAAUUUUUUGUCUUUUGCUUUGAAAGAUAUACUAUCAUAAUUGACAGUAUAGGGGGUAAUAAGAUUUAUAAAAGGAGUUCCCAGAAUGACAGCAUGAUGUAUGUCGUUUGUGAGAACAAAAAAAGUUCUAAAUUCAAAACCAUUGUUAUGAAUUGAAGCUUCAACUUUAGAAUUGACUUUAAGUUUUGAAUUGUUGGCGGCAGAAAGCCUUUCUUUCGUUUUCUCAUGAAAUCUUUUGGGGACAAUGUCUUCUCUUAUGCAAUUUAAAUCGGCACCAGUGUUGAAAAGGGCAAUGGCGUCAAUUGCAAAAUCUUUAGAAAAAAUUAAAGUAAUUUUAAUCAAGUACUUUCUCAUAGUGAUUUGUUUUAAAACAAAUAGAAAAUCAUUUGAUACAGACUCAAUGUUUUCCAAAUUUUGGUCAAUAUUAUCGUCACCAUCAGGAUUAGAUUCAUUAUCUGAAUUAUCCUGUAAUUGCUUUUGUAAGAAGAGUUGAAUAGUAUCGGAGUCACUCUUUUGUUUCUCUUUUAAUUCUCUAAUCUCGGAUUUGAUUUCUUUAAUCUCUUUUUGAAGGUCUUGGAUGUUGGGGGCAGUUUUCUUUGUUUUCUUUUUAUCCAAAAUCUCAGUGAGGUCAUAAGUAUUCUUUUUAAUAAUAGGAACUUUAGAAAUUUCUGCUUUAUUCAAAUCCAGGGUUUUCAAAAGUUUAUCAAGAUACUCCUUUUGAAGAUUUGGAUCAGAAAUAUAUUUAACAAGUUCAAGAAAAGUUUCUUGGUCUUUAGUCAAAACAUUAAUUUUCUUUAAAAAAGAAUCUGAUUCAGAAUCACUACUGCUAGAUGCAGAGGUAUCUGAGUCAAUUAAUCCGUCGACUUGGAGGGGGUCACUAUCUCCCGACAUGGAAGACUUAGAGUCUGAAGACUCUAUAAAAAGAGAGGCAACUUUGGAAAGGGUUUCAUCAUCAAGGCCAAGCUCAUGAAGCUUUCGAUUCAUUCUGCAAUACUUUACAGUAUGGCUUUUGAUACCACACUUGUGGCAAAUGGUUUCUUUAUAGUUAAAAGGGGCUUUGUGUUUGGGUUUAAAAUCCUUUUUCUUAGAGAAGUUGGGCUUUUUAUGGGGCCUCAAGGGUUUCUUAUAAGAAGAUUCUCUAAAAUUCUGGAAUGACUUCCUUUAGCUUUUGGAUUUGUAAUAUUUCUUGUGAGGUCUGGUAGAGCACUCACCAUUACAAUCUUUGGAGACAGAAGUUUUAAAGGGGUCAUAAUUGAAUUGUUUACAGAAACUGCCUAAUUCUUGCUUAGACUUUCUAAGCUCCCAUUUUAGUCGUUUCUGUAAUUUCAAAUCUUGACAGAUCUUUAAACCUUCUUUGUUGACAAAACUGACUAACUCACCACAAGUGAGCUCAUCAUAAGGAAUACGGUUAUCGUGAAGAGCUUUUAUGGAGUUCCUAACCUUUUCUCCUAAAAGGGUAGGUAAUCCUGCAAGGAAUUUCUCUUUCCAAGUUAUAUGGUUUGCAUCAUCUCUGAGAAAGAGUCUGGUGAAGAAAGUGGUUUUGUAGGUUUGGAAUUCACUAAGUUUCCUACAUAUCAAAUUAUGUAGUCACUCAGCAUUUUUGUCUCUAAGGUAAAAAGGGUCACCUAUGAAAUGGAGGGAUAUGGUUAGAAUCAGGGUAGCUACAGCAUCUUGGAUGGGGUUAUUGAGUUCAUCAAGAAUGGGGGUUCCAAUCUCAUCAAACUGGAUGGAAUUCAAUAUAUCUAAUUGUUGUUGUUUAGUGAGAAGAUGAUCCCACCAACCUUUAAGUUGACCAGUAAAACCUGCAAUGAGGAUUUCUGCAAUGGCUUUGUCAGAAGUUCCUGACUGGGUUUUGCAGGCAUUAGCUGCCACGGUCAUCUGUUGCAGCAAUCCUAAGAUGUUGUAUUCAGACAUACCAUCAAUAUUCCACUCAUAGACAGAAGAUGCAUUAAAACGCGAUUGAUUUAAUGCACUAGGCCUGUUGUCUAUGGCCAAAUCAGGUGGAGACUUGACAGUAGGAAGGGCUAAAUCCCAAUGGAUUUUAUUAGCUUUUGGAACAGGUUCUUCUUUGAAGGCUUCUAUAUUAGAAGAGGCUAUAGACAUUUGGUCUUGUUCUAAUACUCUAAUCUUGCUAGAUUGAGGAGUAUCAGGAGCUAUUUGAACUUUGCUAGAUGAGGAAGAAGCAACUUCUAUCCUAUCUAGUUGUUCUCUAAUGGCUUUGGCAAAAUCUGAUUUUGACUCUUGAAUAAGCUUUUGACUAGUUUUCGAAACCUGAAAAGGUUUGAAAAUAGGCUCUUUAAGCUUCUUGUCAAAAUCUGAUUUUGAUGGAACAGGAGAAACAGAGGAAAUAGUAAUGGUUGACUUUUGGAAUUGGUUUUCUAUCCUAGUCAACUGUUUGCCAAUUGUAUUUAAGUUAGUAUUACAGAAAUUAUUCUGUUGGAUAAUACUACUUAAAUUAGCUUCAGAAUCAUUUGGUUUAGGGAUUUUGUAAGGUGAGGCUAUAAUUUGGAUAGAAGGUUCACCAUGGUCAACAUUUAAGCUCCGAAGAGGUGGAUGCUCAGAUUCUAUGGUUCUAUCACUAUCAGAAAGUUUCCACUCAGGAAUCUUCUUUCUAAUAGUAAAAGGGUUUGACUCUUUAAAAGGAUAACUUAUGUUGUUAUCAGAAGAAUAUAUCUCAAACCAAUCAAAAAACAAUAUAUGAAUUUGAUGAAAAUUUACAAACUCAUAAUAGAUUUGUUGGAUUUCUUUUUUUUGAUUUAAAAAAUGUUUAAAAAACCAAAGUCUUUUUCUUUAUUAUUCUCUGAAUAAAAAUCAUUAUGCAGAAGAGUUUUAUCCAAUUGAAAUUCUUUUGAAAUGACACCAAUUACAUUUUCUGUGACAGCAGAAAAUGUAGGAGAAGUUGGAGGAGAAGAUUUCUUCUCUUCCUGUCUUUGUUCGCGUUGACUACUAGUGUAAAUAGGGUGAGGAACACUAGUGGUAUAGUCAACCAAGCGAAUAGAGGAACUAGGUAUAUCUGAAGUUGAAAACCUAGGUUGACUUUUUACAGCUUGAAAAGGAAGAUUUAUAACUGAGGGGAUUUUUGUAAAUUUCUUUUCUAAUGAAGGAAUACUUGAGCAUGACUCUUUAUCAGAAAAUCUGGUUGAAUUAGAUCUCCUCAAAGACAGUUUGACUUUACCAUCAGAAUACUGAGUCACAUUUUGCAACUCUGUAUUUGGCUCAAGUUGUUUAGGAAUCGCAGGUGUAGUGGCUCCUUCAAGGAUCCAUUCUUCUGGAAGAUUAACAUCUUUCCAUUGAAUUGGUUUUGGAAUGACAGUAUUGGCUCUAGACAAAUCAGUCUGUAAGAGAAGAGUCUCAUCUCUUUUUUACUGGAAUUUAUGUUGCGUGCUAAAUGCAGAAAUCAUGGCUUUAUAAGAAAUUUUAAAUAUUAAUGCGACUGGGACAGAUCCCUCAAUCAUAUGAUAAUUGUGGGUUUUAAUUUGUAAAAUCAUGUUUUUUAAAAUAUUUUUGUCUUUAAGGGAAAUUGUUAUGUUUGGAUAACAAUAAAAAGAUAUAGGGCCUUUACAGAGACUUGAUUCAAUACUACUUAGUAAGGAAUCAUCAAAAGAGAUGAAUCGACCAUCUCUAAGGACAACAAAGAUAGAAGUAUUUAGUCCUUCUUUAGUCAAAGGUUUUAUUCCGACUUGGAUUAAACCGAUGUGGACAUAAUUAAAAUUCUUUUCUUUUAAUUUUUUUAAUGAAUGCUCAGAAAACAAUUGAAUUGUUUCAAAUGACUUUGAAAGAGUUAUGUCACGUUCUUCAGUCUUUAUAACAUAAUCAUUCUUUAAAAAAUCAAACUUUUUUGUUUUAUAAAUCUUUUCUUUAGAAAUUUUUGGAAGUUCCCAACAAUUAAUUGCUUUAUCAAAGUUCUCAAUAACAAAUUCUUCUGAGCUCACAACAUGCUUUGAAUCACUAGUCUUCCCAGAAGAAGAGCUAGAAAAGGACGAUGCUCUACAGAGUAGAGAAUCCAUGAGAAAAGAUCUUACGGUCUAUCUAUGGUUUUGGUCGUAUGGCUACAGGUAUAGUUUUACAGCCCUAAGCGGAAAUCCUUAUUCUAAGACGGGACUUACUACCAGUAAAAAUUCACCACACAAACAAAAUUCAAAAUAAAACGCAAGUCUUUAAACACAAACUCUAAACUAUAUUACACUAUCCUCCCCUUGGCUCUGAUACUAGAAGGAAAUAUAUAUAUAUAUAUAUAUAUAUAUAUAUAUAUUAUCAUGUGUGGAUUUUCGCAUCUUUUAAAAUAUGAAUUUACUAAUAUAUUGUAUAUUAGUUAUUUAAAAAAGUUAAUAAAAAUACUAAUGCACUAUAUGGCGUAUACGCACUAUCAGGCACACCUGACAUGUUUUAAUUAGUGGAGUUGUGGGGCCUACAACACAACUCCACCAAUAAAAACUUAUCAUGCAUUAUAUUACUCAACUCUGGGUACCUAAUCAUAAUUCUAAAUGUACAUAUCUUUCUUUAUUCAUAAUAAUAAUAACAAUAAUUACAACAGCAACCAUAAUUUUUAGAAACUUGUGACAUGACAUGAGAAGUCCUCAUUCUUCUGCAUGUUGGUCGCUUUAAAAGUGUUGGUCGUCGGGGCCUCUCCAAAUUUCCAAAGCCGCGUUUCUCCAAAUCCUGUCAGGGACAAAAAAACAAAAAAGGUGAGGUACGCCAUUGUGUUUGGUGGUGAGAAAUUAAGAAAGCGAAAGAUAUUAACUGGAAUUGGACUGCAUUGAAACUGUUUCCAAUAAGUUCCAUCGCUUUUAAUGUUGAAGAACGUUUACCAAGAAAUUUGAGGUCAAGCUAGGAUGGGGACGGAUCAUCCCAUUCCCACCGAUGCUAACUCAUUUACAAUUACCAGGAAAUUAAGCGACUUCUCCUUGCCGUAUGGACUUCCCCAUUGGAAUCUGAAAGCUUCCACCUAAACAAAUCGUGGAAAGAGACUCCAGAAGCUUCGUGGCAUCCGCAUAAAAAAUUUACAGUAAGAAACGAAAUUGAACAUGUUUAUCUAAAUUUGUCCCCAUUGCAGUAAUGCGACAAGCCUAGCACUCAGUAAUUAAAAAUUUUCUUCCAUCGUGUCCAUUUCAUUUUAUGAAUAAUUAAUAUUAUUUUUUAAACAAAUUAUUUAGUGCUAAUUAAUUCAAUCGCAUAGUUGUAUACUAAACUAUAAUAAGUUUAAAGCCCGCCUCUCACCGCGCAAGUGAAACUGUAGAAAACGUAGCGCAUGAACACUUUUAUACCGUUCUGCUUAGUUUAUUCAAAUUCGUUAAUUGUAUCCUGCAAUUGGAGGAGCAAUGAGUAGUGAAGAAGCUUCAAUUUUCUCAACUUUUCUGUUUUGUCUGUUGAUGUUUGUAUUCAGCACCAGUGAAAUUGAAGCAAGAAAACUUGAAGUACAAAUGUGUUCUUCUUCUUGUGGAGAUGUCAGAAACAUAAGCUACCCUUUUCGCCUCAAGGGCGAUCCAGCUAGAUGCGGUCAUCCGGAGUUAGAACUUUCUUGCGAGAACAACAAAACCAUCUUAGAAUUGUCCAAUUCUGCAAGGUACUAUGUAAAGCGAAUUUCCCAUGAUAAAUGUACAAUCAGUGUUGCCGAUGUUAACCUAGCCAAUGGAAGCUGCGGCCUCCCGUACAAAUCUUUUUCCCUAUCCCCUUACUUUUUCCGACAUAUUAACGAUUACAUUCUUAACUCAUACGCCCAUUACGUGAAUUGCUCAAGUAAUAUUGUUGAUCAGGCGUAUACGAAAGUUCCAUGUUUGAGUAACAAUCAGUCGAAUGUCUAUGUUUAUGUUGGACAUGUUGGAUAUGGUGUCACCAACGCCAGAAUAUCAGAUCUUCCAGACUCAUGCGUCUUCAUUUCAAAGNNNNNNNNNNNNNNNNNNNNNNNNNNNNNNNNNNNNNNNNNNNNNNNNNNNNNNNNNNNNNNNNNNNNNNNNNNNNNNNNNNNNNNNNNNNNNNNNNNNNCUGUAGUACUUAAUAGGAGUGUGGACAAUCCUUCUUAUGAAGACCUCCGAAAAUCGCUGGAGUCAGGGUUCGAUAUUAAACGGUUAGAUGAGUGCAGAGACAACUCAUUUACUGAGUGUAAGCCUAUGCUUAUGUUUAUUUAUGCCUUCAAAUGCAAGCGAUUUGUUUUUUGUUUCUCAAUAUUGUACGUAAUAAAGAAUUUGUGAACUAUAUCUAAGAGCAUACCGAUGUGACCCUUAAUUUCUGUUUCUUUUCACUUUUGCAACAGAUUGCAACUUCAGAUACAAUGAAGGAGUAGUGGCAAAAAUUAUUUGCUACCCAUGGUAUAUGCGUAAGCAUAUCCUUAUAUAUCUUUUUGAUCAUGUGUUUUCGACGUUAAUAAAUGCGAUGGGUUCAUAUAUUCUCUAUUCUUUUACUCUAUAUUUUUUUCUGAAUCAUCUCUCUGAUUAGGUAUAAAGCUUAUUUAAUUUUUCCCCCUUCUCUCCAAUUGCAGUUUACGGAGUAAUUUACCAAGCAAUCUUUUGGCCUUCCAUGGGAAAUGGGAGUUUUCUGUCAGGUAAAAUCUCCUCUCCAGGAUCCUCUUUUUAUUGCUUUGCUUACUACUAUUUACUUUCAAAUAUCAUUCUCCUUACCAGGGUUUCCACUUGAUGUUCCGAUAAUUGGUAGAUUUAUUCUUGCUCCAAUAGUCUUUCUCGUGUUCCUUAUCCAAAAAUAUAGAAAAUCAUUGGAGAGAGUCGAUAAUCUUGAGAAAUUUCUGCACAACCAGCAAUCGUGGAUGCCUAAAAGGUACUCUUACCCCGAGAUAAUUGCCAUGACAAACCACUUCACUCAUAAAUUAGGCCAAGGUGGCUUUGGUUCAGUUUAUAAAGGACAACUUCAUACUGGUGGCUUGAUUACUGUUAAGAUGCUGGCGAACUCCAAGUUCAGUGCGGAGGAAUUCAUCAAUGAAGUUUCAACAAUGGGUAGAAUUCACCACGUUAAUGUAGUCCAGCUAUUGGGGUUCUGUUCCGAGGGAUCCAAACAGGCACUUGUCUACGAGUAUAUGCCUAAUGGAUCACUCGAUAGGCAUAUCUUUCCCAAGGAGAGUAGAGGCCAAUCUUUUAGUUGGGAGAAACUCCACGAAGUUGAUUUAGGAACUGCUCGUGGGAUCAAGUAUUUACACAACGGAUGUGAUGUCUGCAUUCUUCAUUUCGACAUUAAGCCUUACAACAUCCUGCUAGAUCAUAAUUUCAUCCCAAAGGUCUCCGACUUCCGCCUUUCAAAGUUUCAUCUCAAGGAAAAUGAUUUUGUGUCCAUCAGUGCUGUUAAGAGGAACCAUAUGAUACAUAGCUCCUGAUCUGAUUUUAAGGAAUUUUGGAACUGUUUCUUGCCAAUCAGAUGUUUACGGUUUUGGUAUGGCGUUAUUGAAAAUGACUGUGUUUGGUGUAUAUACUUUUAUUAGACCUUCCAUUAUGAUCAGACAUCNNNNNNNNNNNNNNNNNNNNNNNNNNNNNNNNNNNNNNNNNNNNNNNNNNNNNNNNNNNNNNNNNNNNNNNNNNNNNNNNNNNNNNNNNNNNNNNNNNNNCUUCACGUGGCCACUGCGGGAGCCAGCCUCCUACUAAGAGCAUAAGGCCAUUCCUGCUAGAGGUUGAGGUAGGGAGACCUUGUCAAUGACGGUUGGUGAGACGUGCACUCCUACCCGAGAAUCGAUGCAUGAAAGUCCAUUCAGCCACAACCACAAUAAUGGAGUAUCCACUUUCGAGAGUUGGGGAGGUGAUAGACGUGGAUUAUAGGAAGGCCCGGAUUGAAGGGAAGCCUAUAAAAAGGUAACCAACGAAGGUAAAUGGUUAAAUUUUUUGAGAUUAAAAUUGAGAUAAAAAGAGCUUUCUAUUGAGAGAUCUUAAACGAGCCAUAAGAUUAGUGGCCGUAUUUCCUAGGAAGACGAAACCUAUGUUUCUGACUUGAGCGUCGGAGGGUUUACGCUGGGAAAACACCCGGCGUGCUCUAACCUGUUUCUACAUAUGCAAGAGUCCGUGGAGAGGAGGUCUUACGAGGAGAGAUCCUGGUCGUGGACGAGCAGAAAACCAGAAUCUCGCAUCAAUAUUUUGGCGCUGUCUGUGGGGAGCUGAUAAAAAAACUUCUAUUGAUAGAGAGAAGAAGAGGAAAUGUAGUGAGGAAACAAUAGAUGUAGGAGGAAGUAGUGCACAAGGAGGUGACUUGAGGCUUAACAAGUCCGUGACGUUGAAAGAGAUAGCCAAUGAAGUACGAGAAAAAACCAUGUAUGAGCGGAUAGAACGGAUGGAAAAACAGAUGGAGACCCUGACAACCAUCCUACACGAACUGAGGAGUGAACGAAGGGGAGUUCAUAAGGAAGGGGUGAGAAGUGGCGGAAUGACACCAGGGCACGAUAAUAUGAUGAGAGGUCGGACCACCAGAAGAUUUGGUGGUGAGGGGGGUAACUCAUCUCUGCGGGGGGAAAGGCAUAGAAGAGAAGAUCAAUCCCCAAGGAGACAGACCUUUGAUAAUGAUGACGGAGUGGCGAAUGCAAAGGAAAAAGAACUCCGGCAACACCUACAUGAUGUUGAGCAAGAGCGAGAUCAGGUUGCAGCAUGUGACCCUGGUCGUGCUGUACAACUGGAAGAAGAAGUGCACAGAUUAGCGUAGAUAAUAGAUGACAUGAAAGGACAAAGCAGGGCACCAGGUUGGAGGAUAAUGUUGGACGAAGAAUCCCCGCUCUCGGCAGAAAUCAUGAGGGCAGUCAUUUCGAGGGAUUUUCGCCUCCCAGACCUCAGAUAUUCGGGGCGAACCAAUCCGUUGGUGCACAUAGAGCGCUUUAAUGACAUAACUGAGGUGCAAGGAUUAUCCCAAGCUAAAAAAUGCGGGGUGUUCCCGCUAUCUGUAGAGGGACGAGAAGGUGAGUGGUACCAAAAACUUCCUCAAGGGAGCGUUAAAUCCUUCGAGCAGAUGUGCCACGAAUUUACAGAGCAGUUUCGUGGGGCAAUGGCACCAGAAUAUGAUAUGAUGGAGCUGGCGAGCAUGAAGCAGAGAGAGGAGGAAACCCUUCAGGAAUUCAUUAAAAGGUUCCAUAGCACUGUCCUCGAUUUGGGAGCCUUCAACCAUCCUCAGGCAUUAAGGGGAUUGAAAGAAGGGGUGAAAAUAAGACGGUUGUGGUAUAAUUUGAGGAGCCCAGCUGUUCAGACAUAUUCAGCCGCUUACGAGCAGGCUAAGAGGGACAUAUAGAUUGUGGAGGAAAAGGCAGCACGGAUUAAGACAGACCAGCUAGAAGGGUUGAGGAGGAAAGAAAAGAGAACCAUAUCAGGAAGUAGGCCGAUUAAGAGGAAAGACCACCAUGCCUCAGGCAGUGGUGCAGGAGGUCGGGUCACCUCUUACCAACCUCAUCAGAGGCCACUCCAAUAUCAGCGUAGUAGGGCACAACCUCCUCAUUCACCAGUCAGGGUUUCAUGGAGAAGGUAUGACCGGACAUAUAGUCAUCCUCAUCCACACCCACACGGUGGUAAAUGAAGCAGACCAGAAGCACUGCUACCCCCUCAAGUUCGGAAUAGCAAAAACAGGGAAAAGGCGGUACACAUGAUCGACCAGAGCCAAGACUAUGUGCGGUAUACUUCCUUGAAGAUACCCUUGGACGAGGUGUAUGAGGCCAUAAAGGAACGGAGAUUACUGUACCUCCCUACCCCAAUAACAAAGCUACCUAGCAGGAGAAAUAUGAGACGCUAUUGCAAGUUCCAUGGCACCCACGGUCAUACCACAACUGAAUGCAGAGAUCUCAAGACUCGGGUUGAAGAUUUGGUGAGAAAUCGAUAACUGGACGAGUUCGUAGAUGAGACCUUCUCGAUGGUGACCUCGUCAGGUGAAGGGGAGCAGAGUGACAGGAACAUGAGCCACGAGAAGCCUAUGGUAAGAGUAAUUGCUGGGGGCCCAACAUUGGCCGGAGAUUUUAAUAGAUCGAGGAAGAACUACGCUAAGUAUGCCAUGACUAACAAAGAAGUGUUCUUCAACACCCCAGCAGCCAAGCGAGCAAGAAUCAUGCAAGAUCCGAUCAUGUGGACAGAUGAUGAUGAAGAAUGGAUUCUAUAUCCACACGAGGAUGCCUUAAUCAUUAAAGACAUCGUUGCUAGCAAGAAGUUUGACUGAGUUCUGGUAGACAUGGGAAGCUCGGUCGAUGUUUUGUUCAAGUCAACUCUGGAGGAGAUGAGAAUAACAGACCUGAGGUUAGAGCAUAUCAAUACCUCACUGAAGGGAUUUAGAGGAGGAAAUCUGGUUCCUCUAGUCGUGGUCGAACUGCCCAUCACAAUUGGCAGCUCCCCGACAGAAAAGACUAUGAUACUGAAUUUUGUGGUGGUUGAUGAAGAGGGUCCUUACCAGAUUAUUCUAGGCUGCCCCUUUCUGAGGAUGAGCAAAGCGGUAUUUUUCAACCAUUAUCUAGCUCUCAAGUAUCGGGUGAAUGGGGUGGUUGGAGUGGUGAGAGGAGACCAGAGAAUUGCUCGAAGCUGUUACUCCACAACAGCAAGGGAAGCAAUGUAGAUUACAUCUCAUUCUUAAAAAUGCGGGUGCCACGUACCAGAGGUUGGUGAACAAAAUCUUUAAGCCGUUGAUUGGGAGAACAAUGGAGGUGUAUGUGGACGACAUGAUAACCAAAUCAAAAAUCCCGAAGGAACAUGUCGAGCACCUUGAGGAGACAUUUGGACUUUUGAGGAAGUACAAAAUGAAGCUCAACCCAGAGAAGUGUGCCUUUUGGGUCGAGUCAGGCAAAUUCCUUAGGUUCAUAGUGAGUCAUCGAGGGAUCGAGAUGAAUCCCGAGAAGAUCCAGACAAUCAUGCAGAUGAGAUCUCCUCGUAACCUGAAGGAGAUACAGAGCCUUACAGAGAGGUUGACAGCAUUGAGUCGGUUCAUAUCCAAGGCGACAGAUAAGUGCCAGACAUUCUUUCAAGUGAUAAGGAGAGGAAAGAAAACAGAAUGGACCCAUGAAUGCGAAGAAGUCUUCUAGAAUUUGAAGUAAUAUUUGCAGCAAACACCUUUGUUGUCCACGCCGCGGGAUAGGGACGUGCUGUUCCUAUAUAUGGCGGUAUCGGAUCAUGCCACGAGUUUUGUUCUAGUGAGAGAGGAAGAAGGGGUUCAAUAUCCAAUAUAUUACACGAGCAAGACCCUACUAGAUGCCGAGACCAGAUACCCGCCGUUAGAGAAAUGGGCACUUGUUCUUGUGGUUGCUGUUCGGAAGCUGAGGCUAUACUUUCAAGUAUUCCCCAUCUCAGUAAUUACAAACCCACCAUUACGACAGACUCUACACAAGCCGGAUACUUCUGGUUGCUAGUGAAAUAGGCCAUAGAGUUGAGUGAGUUCGACAUAAGUUAUAAACCUCGUGUAGCAGUAAAGGCCCAGACAAUGGCCGAUUUCGUGGCAGAAUUCGUAGAGCCCGAAGUAAAUUUCAACCAGUUGGAUGCUGCUACAGUCAACAACGAAGAUCGGGUAUGGCAGGUGUCAGUGGAUGGAUCCUCAGAGGAGCAGGGGAGGAAAUCUAUUAUGUUGUAAAGGUGGAGUUCACAGCCAUAAAUAACCAGGCAGAAUAUGAAGCUUUAAUAUCGGGUUAGGAAUUGGCCAAGGCAGUGAAAGCGGAUAGGGUAAAAAUCCGAACUGAUUCCCAACUGGUUGCAAAUCAUGUCAAUGAAAGAUUUCAACUGAGAGAUGGGAAGAUGGAACAAUACUUGAAGAAAGUCAAGCAGAUGAUUGGGAAGUUUGAGGCGGUUGAGGUGAUACAAAUCCCAAGGGGGGAGAACAGUUGAGCAAAUAUUUUGGCCAGGGUGGCAGUUGUAGCAGAUCUAAAAAUGCAUAAGUCGGUCCCUUUGGAGGUGAAGUCCAGUCCUAACAUCGAGUAGAAUUUGAAGGUGGUGCGAAUAGAACAGAAAUGCUCGUGGAUGGACCCGAUAAUCUCGUACAUCAGAGAUGAGGUAUUACCACCAGAUAAGCUACGAGCUCGGAAGAUCAGAGCUCAGGCAUUGAGGUACACAAUGAUUGAUGGGGUGCUAUAUCGGCGGAGAUAUAGUCUACCGUUCCUUCGGUGUUUAGAUGAGGACGACCCGGAUUAUGUACUGAGAGAAGUACAUGAUGGAGUUUGCGGAAACUAUUCUGGCGCGAGGUCCCUUGCCCACAAGGCUCUAAGGCAGAGAUAUUUCUGGCCGACGAUGCACCAGGAUGCGCAGGAGAAAACCAGGAGUUGUGUGAACUGCCAGAGUUUUGCAAAGAAGCUCAGCCACAAGAAAAGCUCACUUCUAUAGCCUCGCCAUGGCCAUUUGCUCAAUGGGGAAUUGAUUUGAUUGGGUCGUUGCCAAAGGGAUGAGGGGCAGCAACACACGCAAUAGUAGCGAUAGAUUACUUCACGAAAUGGAUCGAGGUAGAAGUCCUCAGCAGGAUCACCGAAAAAAAGACGACUGAUUUCAUGUGGAGAAACCUGGUCUGUCGGUACGGGAUCCCUUAUGCCCUGAUAACAGACAAUGGCAGGCAGUUUGACAACCAUAACUUCAGGGAUUUCUGCCAAAACCUCGUGAUAGAGCUGAAGUAUUGCUCACCUGCUGACCCUCAGUCUAAUGGACAAGUGGAAGUGGCCAACAAGAUAAUAAAGAGGCUUCUGAAAACCAAGCUUAGAGCAAAAAAAGGUGCAUGGAUUGAUGAGCUACUAAGUGUAUUAUGGGCAUACAUGACAACCCACAAAACAACAAUCGACAAAACACCGUUCGCUUUGGCCUUCGGACAUGAAGCUGUUGUACCGGUCGAGAUAGGGGCGACCACGCACUGGACAGAUCACUUCGAUGAGUAGAAAAAUAACGACUAAAUGUGCUUGAAUCUGGAUUUGCUGAUUGAGAAGAGGAACCAAGCAUCGAAGUGAUCAGUCAUUUACCAGCAGAGGGUUGCUCGAUAUUACAACCAGAAGGUGUGUAUAUGACAGUUCAAGGUCGGCGAUUGGGUACUAAGGAGGGUGAACCAGAACACGAAAGGCUCGACACAAGGAGUACUUGGACCAAACUGGGAGGGGCCAUAUAGGGUCAAGCAGGUAGCAGGACCCGGAGCCUACAAGCUUGUUCGUGGGGAUGGCCACGAGGUGAAACGCCCCUGAAACGCAACACACCUCAGGAAAUAUUUCCAGUAAGACCCAAUCAUGCUUUAAAAGUUAUUUCUAUUUGCUCUUGUUAUUAUGCAUUUUAUGUUAAAUCAAUCUCAUGUAAGUUGAAUUCAGCGAUUAAUGAAACGUUGAGGAAUUUCAGUCAAUUGUAAUAGAGUAAAGUUUUUAAGGCAUGCAAAGGCUAAGUCUCAAAGCCUGUUUUAUGGCGAGACCAAAAGCCAAGUGUGCCAGGAUUUGCUCGACCAAGCGAAGACGAGCAGACUCUCAAACGUUACAAAAGUUUCUAAGGCAUGCAAAUGCUAAGUCUCAAAGCCUGUUUCAUGGCGAGAACAAAAGGCAAGUGUGUCAGGAUUUACUCGACCAAGCGAAGACGAGUAGACUCUCAAAUGUUGUAAAAAUUUCUAAGGCAUGUAAAGGCUAAGUGUCAAAGCCUGCUUUAUAGCGAGACCAGAAGCCAAGCAUGCCAAGAUCUGUUCGACCUAGCGAAGACGAGCAGACUCUCAAACGUAAGGCAAUAGAAAGCCAAAAUUUUCGGCACCUGCUCGACCACAAUGUAAGUGAAAAAAAAAUAAAAUAAUUUGCCAAGAGCUCGAGGCAAAGAAAGUAAAUAAGAACAUUCUUAUUAAUCUGCCAAUAAUUAUGAAAAGCUACUAGUCUUAACAUACAAUGUUCUAAAAAAACAACUACAAAACAAGAUACAUUCAAGAAGAUGGUGGGUCAGUAAGUUGGGCCGCCUCUACUGGCUGCUCCACCUCAGGAGCAGGGGGGUUUCACCAGUUGCCCUAAGGGGGUACUUGCCUUGGCAACAUCAGCAGGGACUGCACGAGGAGGAGAGGUUUCCUCCUCAGUGGCAUUUGGCUUCAACUCUUCGACAUCUUCUUUGGCUGCCUCCUCAUCCAUAUAUUGAGCAACACCAGUAGCAAGCUCGUCCAUCUUUGGAUCAGGAUGCUGCUUCCCAAGGACGGCCAUGAUGCAGCGAUAAGAAUGCCGAAGCCCCUGGUCAUAUUGGUUGUCAGCUUACUUCUCUAGGUUCUCGACCUGAACCUGGUGGGAAUCCUUGAGAGAUUCGAGCUGAGCCUCAUAAGUAGCCUUUUGCCUCUGCAGAUCCUCCUUGACCUUAGUCAGCUCUUCCUCAAGAGUGAUUGCCCUUGCCUACGCUAGAGAUUCUCACUUUAUCAACUUCAGAUUCUUGAGGUUCAGAUCUCUUGCUUUCUUCUCGGCAGUGUCAGAUCUCCUACUGUUGACUGAUGACGUGGCGCAAUCCUGAGCGUCCAAACUGUUUUUAAUUCGAUGGCCAUGAUUUACUCAAUGUAUCUAUAAAAAGAGGGCCUCCCCCCUAAUUUGAUAUCUGUGAAUCCAUUUUUGGACUCCAAUUUCUGUAAUUUCUUCUCCAUCUUGUAUUUUCUACGUAUUUUAAUAAAUUUUCAUUUUGCCCCUAGUUCAAUUAUGAGUGGCUAAUUUUCUUUUAAGCUUGGGUUGAAGAUGAAGUCUCAACAUGUGUCAUGGGCUUUAUUUGAAAAAUUUAUUUUCUCUUCCCCUCUAGUUUUUGUGGAUGUUUUGACUUCUAUUCGACAAAUAAUAAUAAUCUUGUUUAGUACCGCCUUGGUUUCACCGGCUCCUUAAUACAAGGUUAUUAUUAUUUGUUACGAUAAGCCCUUACCACCAUAUUGAUUAGAGCGUGGUUCAUGAGUGUGGAAACCCCCCCUCAUGAUUUAAUUGGUAUUAAUAAGAAAUAUUUAGCCCAUGGUGCAUGUUGAUAGGGAUCUAGAUACACAAGUACUUUAUUUCAAUAGAUUUAUCUUCAAUUUAUUCUCGCCUUUUUAAUUUAAGUUUUAGAAUAUUCCAAAUCAAUUUCAUAAGAAAUCCAACCACCCAUUUACAAAAUUAAUUCUACACACAAUUAAAAUCCACCUCCUCUUGGGAUCGACACUUGUCACCAUUAGUCUAUUCUAUAAUAGAUUUGUGCACUUGCGAGUUCAAUAAAAUUUGCACAAUAAGUUUUUGGCGCCGUUGCCGGGAAAGUAAGUUAUUUUAAUUCGUAGAAUUAAUUUUUGUGAAUAAUUUCUUUUAUUUGUUUUCUUGUAUUUUUUUAAUUAAACAAAGAGAAAAAAUAAGUGAAUAUACAUUUAUAGGUAAUAAUUUCUUUUCUUUCUCUAUUCUUUACAAUUUUGUAAUUUAAUUUUUAAGUUAUUUUCUUUGUAAUUUUUGUGUGUUUAUUUUAUUAAUUUUUUUAGUUAAUUUAUUUCACGUAUUUGUUUUAGUGUGUUUUUAUAGAAAGGUUAUAAUAGCGCGAUAAGAUUACUAUCGUAAUUUCUCCUUUUUCUCUAUUGUUAUUUGUUUUGUUCCUGUUUAUUUUUGUGUUCUUUGCAUGCAUGGUCGUAGGUCAUUAUUACCUAAUCUUGAACCUAUAGACCUUGAACUAAAAAAAUUACUUCGCACACACAAGCACGUUAAAAAUAAAUUUGGAAUGGAUUUACAUGCACCACAUGAGAGGCCAUUUAAGAACUAUUUUAGUCCCUUAGCUAAUAUGAGCACAUCAUGUAUACGAUACCCAAAUGUAGCUGCUAGGAGUUUUGAACUAAAACCUAGUGUGCUAAAUUGUCUCCCCACAUUUUAUGGCUUAGAAAAUGAGGACCCAUAUAAUCAUUUGAAUGAUUUUCAUGCUAUUUGUCAAACAUCUAAAUAUGAGAAUUUUUCAGAUGAUGAUGUUAAACUUAGACUAUUCCCAUUUUCUUUAAAGGAUAGAGCUUGUUCAUGGUUAAAUACUUUAUCUGCUAAUAGUAUUGCAUCAUGGGAACAAAUGGUAACUAAAUUUUUGAAUAAAUAUUUCCUAGUGCAUAAAACCAAUGCUAUUCGCAGGGAAAUCUCAGAGUUUACCCAGAGAGAGGACGAAUAGUUUUUCAAAAUAUGGGAGCGAUUCAAUGUGCUACUCUUAAAGUGUCCACAUCAUGGGUGCAAGAAAUGACACCAAUGCCAAUAUUUUUUGGAGGGAUUAUUACCGAAUGUGCAAGAAUGACUAAUAGCAAUAAGUUGAUGAGAGCUAAUGUCAAAAAGUACAUCAGAGAUUUGGGAAUUCUUCCAGCGACAAGCAGAUAAUUCCCAACAACGGAGUCGAUCGCUCAGGAACACUAAAAGAAUUAAGGGAGUAAAUGAGGUUUACAUUGGCGAGUCAACUUCGAGAAUCAAAGAAGUUAAGGAGAUGGUUGAAGGUCUUGCUCGACAAAUAGCAUCAUUAACGACUGCACAAUCAACAAAACCACAUGACCAUGACUCAUACUCAGAUCAAGCCAAUGCCAUAGGUGUAAUGAGAAAACCUUCAAAUUACAACUCAUACUCCAACACAUAUAACCUUGGAUGGGGAGAUCACCAUAAUUUUUCAUGGUCUCAAGGAUUCCAACAGAAUGGACCAGCAACUCCAACUCCACCAAUUCAACAAAUUUCUCAAGUUCCUCAAGCCUUUCAGCCACCAUUUAGACCAUACAAUCAGAACCAGAACUACUCUCAAUCAAGACUAUAGGAUGAUGCAUUCCAGAAUUCAAGAAUGUUACUCACUCCACGAUUGAGCAACAGAACCGUACCAUUGAUGGACUACGAAAUGAGUUGAGAGCAGGCUUCAAUGCACAAGCCCAAUCUGUUUCAAGCCUCGAAAAGAUGGUGGGACAACUUGCUUCUUGAGUUUAGACCUUGGCAAUGACUAUUGAGAAAGGCAAGUUUCCAGUUCACCACAGCAGCAUGGAGAGGUCAAAACAGUAAUGNNNNNNNNNNNNNNNNNNNNNNNNNNNNNNNNNNNNNNNNNNNNNNNNNNNNNNNNNNNNNNNNNNNNNNNNNNNNNNNNNNNNNNNNNNNNNNNNNNNNGUUGAUACGGGGAGCUCAGUUGAUGUGCUAUUUAAAUCAACUUUGGAGGAAAUGGGAAUAGCCGACCGGAAGUUGGAAUACACCAACACCUCCUUGAAGGGGUUCGGAGGAGGGAAGCUGGUCCCUCUGGGCGUGGUCGAACUGCCUAUCACAAUCGGGGGCCCCCCCACUGAAAGAACAAUGAUACUGGACUUCGUCGUAGUGGACGAGGAAGGUCCUUACCAGAUGAUCCUAGGUCGGCCAUUUUUAAGGAUGAGCAAAGCGGUGCUGUCCAACCAUUAUCUGGCUCUGAAGUACCGGGUGAAUGGGGUAGUCGGAGUGGUACGAGGAGACCAGAGGAUCGCAAGAAGCUGCUACUCCUCGGCAGCAAGGGAGGCGAUGCAGAUAACAUCCCUCGAUACCCGAGUGGAAAACAAGACCGGCAGACAAGAACCCGUAGAGGAUCUGGAAACAGUAAGCAUGGGACCAGAGAACCCGGGAAAGACGAUCAGAAUCGGGUCGAGACUUGAGGGAGAGCAAAAGCAGGAGUUGGUGAAAUGCUUACAGGCUCACGCCGACGUGUUUGCCUGGACACAUGAGGACAUGCCAGGGAUUGACCCAGAGGUAGCAUGUCAUAGGCUGGCAAUAAAGAAAGGUGCUCGGGCAGUAAGGCAGAAGAGGAGGUGCUUCAACCAGGAGAGGUAUGAGGCUGUAAAUGAUGAGGUGGAGAAGCUUCUGAGAGCAGGGUUCAUUCGGGAAGUCAAUUACCCAGAGUGGAUAUCAAAUGUGGUGUUGGUAAAGAAGGCAAACGGCAAGUGGAGGAUGUGUGUGGAUUUCACAGACCUCAAUAAGGCGUGCCCAAAAGACAGCUUCCCUUUACCAAAGAUCGAUCAGCUAGUAGAUUCAACGGCUGGACAUGGUCUGCUUAGCUUCAUGGACGCAUUCUCGGGAUACAACCAGAUCCCCAUGUACGAGCCGGACGAGGAGAGCACGGCUUUCAUCACUAACCAAGGUCUGUUCUGUUAUAGGGUGAUGCCAUUCGGUCUCAAGAAUGCUGGGGCCACCUAUCAAAGGCUGGUGAAUAAAGUCUUUAAGCCCUUGAUCGGGAAAACCAUGGAGGUGUACGUGGACGACAUGAUCACCAAGUCCAAAAUCCCGAAGGAACAUGUCGGGCAUCUCGAGGAGACGUUCGAGCUCUUGAGGAAGUAUAAGAUGAAGCUCAACCCGGAGAAGUGUGCUUUUGGGGUCGAGUCAGGGAAAUUCCUGGGAUUCAUGGUGAGCCACAGGGGGAUUGAAGCAAAUCCCGAGAAGAUCCAGGCGAUUGUGCAAAUGACGUCUCCUCGAAACCUGAAGGAGAUGCAGAGCCUCACGGGGAGGUUGGCGGCGUUGAGCAGAUUCAUAUCCAAGGCUACAGAUAAGUGUCAGCCAUUCUUUCAAGUGAUAAGGAGGGGAAAGAAAACGGAAUGGACCCCAGAAUGCGAGGAAGCCUUCCGGAACUUGAAGCAUUACUUGCAGCAAGCUCCGCUAUUGUCCACACCGAGGGAUGGGGACAAGUUGAGUCUGUAUUUGGCGGUAUCGGAUCGGGCCGCCAGUUCCGUUCUGGUGAGAGAGGAAGAAGGAAUUCAGUAUCCGAUAUACUACACCAGCAAGGCUCUGCUCGACGCUGAGACCAGAUACCCAACGUUGGAGAAAUGGGCACUGGCCCUUGUGGUUGCUGCUCGGAAGUUGAGGCCGUACUUUCAAGCAUUCCCGGUCUCGGUAAUAACCAACCAGCCAUUGCGUCAAAUUCUGCACAAGCCGGAUGCCUCUGGUCGGCUCGUCAAAUGGGCCGUAGAGCUGAGCGAAUUCGACAUAGACUAUAAACCCCGCGCGGCGAUAAAGGCCCAGGCAAUGGCCGAUUUCGUAGCUGAGUUCGCGGAGCCUGAAGUAUGCUUGGAUCAGCAAGAUGCGGAUAUAGGCAACGACGAAACUCAAGUAUGGCAGAUAUCUGUGGAUGGGUCAUCAGGAGAGCGGGGUUCAGGAGCAGGGAUUGUCCUGGAAGGCCCAGAGGGGGAGGAGAUCUCUUAUGCUGUAAAGUUGGAAUUUGCAGCCACAAAUAACCAGGCAGAAUAUGAAGCCUUGAUAGCAGGGCUGGAAUUGGCUAGGGCCGUGAAAGCGGACAGAGUUAAGAUCAGAACCGAUUCCCAGCUGGUUGCGAAUCAUGUCAGUGAAAGAUUCCAACCAAGAGAGGAGAAGAUGGAACAAUACCUAAGGAUAGUCAGGCAGAUGAUGGGGAAGUUCGAAGCAGUGGAGGUGAUACAAAUCCCCAGGGAGCAGAAUAGUCGAGCAGACAUUUUGGCUAGGAUGGCAGCCGUCGCCGACCCAAAAAUGCCAAAGUCGGUCCCCCUAGAAGUGAAGUCUCGCCCGAGUAUCGAGCAAAAUUUGGGGGUGUUGCGGAUAGAACAAAAAAGCUCGUGGAGGGACCCGAUAGUUUCAUACCUUAGAGACGGGGCCUUACCACCAGAUAAGCUACGGGCUCGGAAGAUUAGAGCUCAGGCCUCGAGAUACACGAUGAUCGAUGGGGUACUGUAUCGACGAGGAUAUACAUUACCGUUCCUUCGGUGUUUGGACGAUGACGACGCGGAUUACGUGCUGAGGGAAGUGCAUGAAGGAAUUUGCGGAAAUCAUUCUGGCGGGAGGUCCCUGGCCCACAAGGUCUUAAGGCAGGGAUAUUUCUGGCCGACGAUGCACCAGGAUGCGCAAAGGAAGACCAGGAGCUGUGCAAGCUGCCAGAGUUUUGCAAAUUUUUCUAACCAACCACCAGAGAAGCUCACCUCCAUGGCCUCCCCUUGGCCAUUCGCUCAAUGGGGAAUUGAUCUGAUCGGCCCAUUGCCAAAGGGACGAGGAGCAGCAACACAUGCGAUAGUCGCUAUAGAUUACUUCACGAAGUGGAUAGAGGUAGAAGCCCUUAGCAGGAUCACAGAGAAGAAAACAACAGACUUCGUGUGGAGAAACCUGGUCUGUCGAUACGGGAUCCCAUAUGCCUUGGUAACGGAUAAUGGCAGGCAGUUCGAUAAUCACAGCUUCAGGGAUUUCUGCCAGAACCUCGGGAUAGAGCUGAAGUAUUGCUCGCCUGCUCAUCCUCAAUCGAAUGGACAAGUAGAAGCAGCCAACAAGACAGUCAAGAGGCUUCUGAAAACCAGGCUCGGAGCAAAAAAGGGUGCGUGGGUUGACGAGCUGUCAGGUGUGCUAUGGGCAUACAGAACAACCCACAAAACCGCAACGGGGGAGACACCGUUCGCUUUGGCUUUCGGACAUGAAGCGGUCGUGCCGGCUGAGGUAGGAACGACCACACACCGGACAGAUCAUUUCAAUGAGCAGGAGAACGACGAGCAGAUAUGUUUGAAUCUUGAUCUGCUAAUGGAGAGGAGGGAACAAGCAGCCGAGCAAUCAGUCACUUACCAACAGAGGGUUGCUCGGUAUUAUAACCAGAAGGUGAACAUACGGCAAUUCAGGGUCGGAGACUGGGUACUGAGAAGAGUGAACCAGAGCACCAAAGAUUCGACUCAAGGAGUGCUGGGACCGAAUUGGGAAGGGCCGUAUAGAGUCAAGCAGAUAGCGGGGCCCGGAGCUUACAAGCUGGUUCGCGCGGACGGCCACGAAGUGAAACGCCCAUGGAACGCAGCACACCUCCGAAAAUACUUCCAGUAAGACUUGCUCACAUUUUAAAGCAAUUUCUGCUCAUGCUGUCUAUCUUUUAUUUUUAUGUUUUAUGUCCGAACAAUUUCAUGUAAGUCAAAUCCUGCCAUUAAUGUAACGCCGACGAAUUUAUUUCGCUUGAAACCGAAAAAAAAAAAAAAAAAAAAAAAAAAAAAAUCCUAAGGCAUGCAAAGGCUCGCCAAGUCUCAGAGCCUGUCUUAUGGCGAGACGGAAGCCAAGCAUGCCAGGAUCUGCUCGGCCAGGAGAAGGCAGCAGAAGAAUCCAAAUCGUUUGAAGAAGAUUCCUAAGGCAUGCAAAGGCUCGCCAAGUCUCAGAGCCUGUCUUAUGGCGAGACAGAAGCCAAGCAUGCCAGGAUCUGCUCGGCCACGAGAAGGCAGCAGAAUCCAAAUCGUUUGAAGAAGAUUCCUAAGGCAUGCAAAGGCUCGCCAAGUCUCAGAACCUGUCUUAUGGCGAGACAGAAGCCAAGCAUGCCAGGAUCUGCUCGGCCACGAGAAGGCAGCAGAAUCCAAAUCGUUUGAAGAAGAUUCCCAAGGCAUGCAAAGGCUCGCCAAGUCUCAGAGCCUGUCUUAUGGCGAGACAGAAGCCAAGCAUGCCAGGAUCUGCUCGGCCACGAGAAGGCAGCAGAAUCCAAAUCGUUUGAAGAAGAUUCCCAAGGCAUGCAAAGGCUCGCCAAGUCUCAGAGCCUGUCUUAUGGCGAGACAGAAGCCAAGCAUGCCAGGAUCUGCUCGGCCACGAGAAGGCAGCAGAAUCCAAAUCGUUGAAGAAAAUCCUAAGGCAUGCAAAGGCUCGCCAAGCCUCAGAGCCUGUCUUAUGGCGAGACAGAAGCCAAGCACUUCCNNNNNNNNNNNNNNNNNNNNNNNNNNNNNNNNNNNNNNNNNNNNNNNNNNNNNNNNNNNNNNNNNNNNNNNNNNNNNNNNNNNNNNNNNNNNNNNNNNNNUUGCUCGCCUGCUCAUCCUCAUCGAAUGGACAAGUAGAAGCAGCCAACAAGACAGUCAAGAGGCUUCUGAAAACCAGGCUCGGAGCAAAAAAGGGUGCGUGGGUUGACGAGCUGUCAGGUGUGCUAUGGGCAUACAGAACAACCCACAAAACCGCAACGGGGGAGACACCGUUCGCUUUGGCUUUCGGACAUGAAGCGGUCGUGCCGGCUGAGGUAGGAACGACCACACACCGGACAGAUCAUUUCAAUGAGCAGGAGAACGACGAGCAGAUAUGUUUGAAUCUUGAUCUGCUAAUGGAGAGGAGGGAACAAGCAGCCGAGCAAUCAGUCACUUACCAACAGAGGGUUGCUCGGUAUUAUAACCAGAAGGUGAACAUACGGCAAUUCAGGGUCGGAGACUGGGUACUGAGAAGAGUGAACCAGAGCACCAAAGAUUCGACUCAAGGAGUGCUGGGACCGAAUUGGGAAGGGCCGUAUAGAGUCAAGCAGAUAGCGGGGCCCGGAGCUUACAAGCUGGUUCGCGCGGACGGCCACGAAGUGAAACGCCCAUGGAACGCAGCACACCUCCGAAAAUACUUCCAGUAAGACUUGCUCACAUUUUAAAGCAAUUUCUGCUCAUGCUGUCUAUCUUUUAUUUUUAUGUUUUAUGUCCGAACAAUUUCAUGUAAGUCAAAUCCUGCCAUUAAUGUAACGCCGACGAAUUUAUUUCGCUUGAAACCGAAAAAAAAAAAAAAAAAAAAAAAAAAAAAAUCCUAAGGCAUGCAAAGGCUCGCCAAGUCUCAGAGCCUGUCUUAUGGCGAGACGGAAGCCAAGCAUGCCAGGAUCUGCUCGGCCAGGAGAAGGCAGCAGAAGAAUCCAAAUCGUUUGAAGAAAAUCCUGAGGCAUGCAAAGGCUCGCCAAGUCUCAGAGCCUGUCUUAUGGCGAGACAGAAGCCAAGCAUGCCAGGAUCUGCUCGGCCACGAGAAGGCAGCAGAAUCCAAAUCGUUUGAAGAAAAUCCUGAGGCAUGCAAAGGCUCGCCAAGUCUCAGAGCCUGUCUUAUGGCGAGACAGAAGCCAAGCAUGCCAGGAUCUGCUCGGCCACGAGAAGGCAGCAGAAUCCAAAUCGUUUGAAGAAAAUCCUGAGGCAUGCAAAGGCUCGCCAAGUCUCAGAGCCUGUCUUCUGGCGAGACGGAAGCCAAGCAUGCCAGGAUCUGCUCGGCCAGGAGAAGGCAGCAGAAUCCAAAUCGUUUGAAGAAAAUCCUGAGGCAUGCAAAGGCUCGCCAAGUCUCAGAGCCUGUCUUAUGGCGAGACAAAAGCCCAGCAUGCCAGGAUCUGCUCGUUCGCGAGAAGGCGAGCAGACUCCGAAGCAUUCGGAAAGUUUUCUACGGCACGCAAAGGCCUCACCAAGUCUCAAAGCCUGUCUUACGGCGAGACAGAAGCGAUCAGCGUUUCAGACGAAAAUUAAUUCAUGAGUACGACACGAGAUAGUAAUCAACAACAUUUUUAUUAAUGGCUAACAGAGGGGAUAAAUUUCAUAAAACGUUGUUCAUUACAAUACAAGAAGAAAUAUAUCAAAAAGAUGGUGGAUCAGUGAGCCGAGCAGCAUCGGUUGGCUGGACCUCCUCGGGUGCGGGAGGGGUAUCACCAGUUGCGUCCGGGGGGGUGCUCGCCUCGCCAACAUCAGCAGGAACUGCACGAGGAGGAGAGUUACCCUCCUCAAUCACGAUCGGCUCUAACCCCUCGGCAUCUUCCUUGGCCGCCUCCUCGUCCAUAUGUUGAGCAACACCAGCUGCAAGGUCAUCCAUCUUGAGAUCAGGGUGUUGCUUCCCGAGGACGGCCAUGAUACAACGAUACGAGUGCCGAAGUCCCUGGUCGUACUGGUUGUCGGCCUCCCUCUCCAAGUUCUCUACAUGAGCUCGGUGGGAAUUGCGGAGAGAUUCGAGCUGAGCCUCAUACAUAGCCCUCUGCCCUUGGAGAUCCUCCUUAACCUUGGUCAGCUCCUCCUCGAGGGUAAUGGCUUUCGCUUGAGCAAGGGACUCUUGCUCUAUCAGCUUGAGGUUCUCAACGUUUAGCUCCCCCGCCUUUUUCUCGGCAACGUCAGCUCUGGUCGUCGCCGAUUGAAUGUCCUCCUUCAUCUUCCUGUCGUAACGGCCAACCUUGGCCUUAUAGUAGGUGGCCAUGCAGCUGAGAUGGAAAGCACUGUACUGCAUGGCUCCCACCAGCUCGCCCAGGGUACAACCGUCAAAGCCCUCCAGGUCCUUCUUGCUCACGAGUUUAGACAACUCAUUGAGAUAGGGAACCAAGUGUUCUGGUCGGCUGUCGGGUAAGCGAGACCGAGGCACAACAGGUGGAGAAGAGGAAGCAGGAUCAGUGGCUGCUCUACUGGAUUCCCCGACUUUAGCAGAGGCAGGAGGGAGAGCCUGCAAGGGAGGAACCUGCUGCAUGAUGUUCUUUCGCUUCACAGCGGGAGCAUCUUUGUCCUGGUCCCUAUCGGUUGUUGGAGGCCGAGAGCGUUUCCUGGUCAGAGCUCCAAUCACUGCGUCCUCCAUCUUAUGGCCAGGAAGUAUCAACCGAGACUCGAGGAAGUUGUAUGUAGAUAGCAGUUCUCGGCUCGAGCAGGAAUUGGCCAAUACAGCCUCGACCCGUUUAAGCUGACCAGGUCGGAGUGGAAAAUGAACGCCCCAAGAAACUACAACAUAAACAGACACUUGGUUAGAAGCAAGCCAAUGAAACAAGAACAAUUAUGGAUACAAGGCAUCUGGAGCGAGCAGGCAACCUGGGACCGUGAAGCGGGGUGGGACCCGAUAAUCCUUCCCGUCCAUUUGUGCGACCUGACCCCAAGGACCCCCAGCAAAAAAGAACUUUCUCUUCCAAUUCCCACCACCACCAGUAGGGAGGUCGGUUAUAGGUUUCCUGCUCUUGGUGCUAGAUUGGAAGUAGUACCAGCCGGCAUCUUUGGGGCUACUCUUUAGCUGGUACAGGUGCUUCACCUCAUCAACCGUGGGCUCGCUUUGGCAACAUCUGUCCCACAAUAUGAACAGACCAGAGAGCACUCUCCACCCAUUGGGAUUCAGCUGACCAGGAGCUAGAUUUAGCCCGUUAAGUAUCCGGGCAAAGUAAGGUUGCAAGGGACACCUCAGCCCGUACUUAAAGCUGUCCAGAUACAGGGUAACAUAUCCCCGAGGAGGCCGGCUGGGAGCAUCCUUCUUUCCCGGGACCUUGAGAGGUAUCUCGCCAGGAAUGCUAUACCUCAGCCGGAGGUCCUCGAGCUCAUCAAACUUGGUCGUGCACGUCAUGUAAUCAAUAGCAUAAUCCCGCGAUAGGGCUCUACCUCCUAUUGUACUCCUCCCCUCUGGUCGCGGCGCUCCCGAUGGGGACGCCUCACCAGAAUCAUCUCCUCGACCCUCACUCAAAGUAUCCUCGGAGUCAGAAGAUCCAUCCUCACCAUUACUCCCGCUGGUAGGGGUCGUUUGGGGAGACAUGCUCCUAGCACUAGUCCUGACACUAAACCUAACAGGCUCUAAGGGGACCUCGGGGUCAAAGGCGGGAUCGGUGAGCAGACUAGGCAGGAAGUCCAACUUGUCGUCAUCAACCUCGAUGACCUUCUCUUUGCCUUUUGACAUUCCCUAAACUCUAACCACAACACCACCAACUACUACCCAAACGAAAGAAAAAAGAAGUUAUCUACAAACUAUUCGAGACCGAGGAGAGAGAAGUAAUACCUGAAGUACCGCUUCAAUCGGAGAAAGGCAAGGAGGGGGGAGCUCCGUGCCGGAACUUCUUUGCCGGAGAAACAGAGACGUAGACGGAGACAGAGUGAAUGGUGAAUAUGCCGUUCGAGAGGAUUUGGCUUUCCAAAUGAGGACGGACCCUUGGGUUGCCAGCAUAUAACUGCGCCGAAUCCCGAGGGCCUCAUAACCGUCGGUUUGAAAUUCAAAUGGAGGGGGCGAUUUCUGCCACGUCACCACGUUCGCAAUUAAAUGCGACAUGACUCUUGGCAGCCUUUUCCAAUCCCACGCGAGCGAGUGCUGUCGAGUUUCCACUGCUGGUCCACUACAUUACCCAACACCAGAAACUGGGGGACCGGUGUUUGGGAGAGAUACUGUUUGGGAUAAAUAUGUCGACGAGACCAGGAAUGACGAGCAGAUAUCUGAUGGCAGAGCUCUGCGAACCGGUGUGUUCCAUAAAAGCCUGGCACGCGGAGGAACAGGAGCAGCAAUAUCCUGCUCGUCCACGACGUUGUCAUCCGCGAGGCCAAUUCCCUAUAAAAGGUAUACGGCCAUUCCGGCUAGAGGUCGAUAGGCGAGGAGACCCGAUCGACGGCAGUUGGCAAGACAUGUUCUCCAGCCCGAGAAUCUAGGCACGACAUCCACGCUUUCUCCUGAGCCGUGGCGUAACACGCAAGAUCUCACAGAACCACGACAGCCACGCUUUCCCCUGAACCGUGGCGUAACACGCAAGAUCUCACAGAACCACGACAGCCACGCUUUCCCCUGAACCGUGGCGUAACACGCAAGAUCCCCCGUUUGCCCAUACCGCAGCAGUCAGAGCCCCAGACCGUCUCGAAAAAAGCGGAAAAUUGGGAUUCAGAGGGAGCCUAUAAAAAGGUAGCCAACGAAGGUAAAAGGGUUAGCAUUUUUAAGAUAAAAGAGAAAACCACAAAAAAGCCAUAAGACCUGUGGCAAGCGUUCCCCGAACCUUCAUAUCUGACUUGAGCGUCGGAGGGUUUGCGCCGGGAGAACAACCGGCGUACUCUGACUUGUCUGUGUGUGCAGGGACAUCCGGAGAAGAAGCAUAGGCGAGGAGACCUCCUGGUCGUGGUAGAGUUGGUCGAGCAGGGAUCCUGGUCGUAGAACGAGGAGAACCGGAAUCUCGCAUCAACAGUGGGUUCAAUACUACAAGCAAUUCGACAAUCUGCGUUGCCGUUAAACACCAAAAACCUAAGUAGCCAUACUUUUCCUCAGUCACCUCUCUCUACAGUGCUUGAAAGUGAAAGCAUCGUCUCUAUUUAGCUAACAAUAAAAAUAAUAAGUUGAAUUUAUUAUCAUUGUUUUAUACGCCGGAAAAGUGAUCAGAGCAGUAUAAAUGAAAAUAAUAAUAAUAAUAAUUAGGCUUUGCAUUAUUUUUUUCGAUUGUAAAAGUGUAAGUACAAUUGCUAGAAAGUUAAAAAUUAAAGAAGCCAUCUAUAUUAAUAGGGGUGGGCACUGAGGAAAGGUUAGAUAUAGUUGAAUUCCGAUGGUCAGUUUUUCGAAAAAAUAAUAAUUUGAACUGAACUGAAAGUCCAAUCAAUUUGGUUCGAUUUAGUUAGUUUUUUUUUUAAUUUGCCCUGUAAUUUCUUUUGCGUUUUUCUAGUUUUUUUGAUUUUUUAUUUUCUGUCAUGUAAAUCGAUGGAUUUUUUUUUACUAAAAAAAAACUGACGAUUCCUUUUUUUGGCGGCAAAUAUAAUUUUACCCACCCCUAAUCUGUAUGGCGAAUAUCAUUGCUAUAAAGGCUGCAUUCCAGUAUUAUUGCCAGUUGUAGAGUGGUCGAUAAAAUGUUGCUAGCCAGGCUGAUUUGACUGUUUGAACAAAAACUGAUACUACUCAGGACCAAAUAGAUAGUACUAUUUUUCUGUAUCUCGUCAAUUUAAUCUUGAAUCUUUACAUUACAAUUAAUUUUUAUUAAUGGUGAGAGAUGGAUUAAACUUACAAUGCCUGAUAAAAGUUUAAUCUAUUAUAUUUUCUUGCGUCCUCAAUGAAUACAAAUUAAGAAGAAUUAUUAUACUACUACUUUUUCUCUAUGAUUGUCUUUGUCAACUUUUUAUGUAAGAGCCAAUAUACGUUCAUGAUGGCAAAUUUGUUGAGAAAAAAAAUUUGUUUAAUCAAGUGACCCUCAAUAUUCACAUGGAAUAAGAGAUGAGGGAAAAAAAAUCAUUUUUUGAAUGCAGAAAGGCAAAAAAAAUGCAUAAUGACAGGGAUUUCUAAUUGUGAUCAUUUUAGUGUUUUCAUUGUGUACUUGAGUAAAAGUUAAAAUUUUAAAAUUAAAGUGUGUAAGGUUAAAGAGUGUUUAUUUUACAGUUCAAAUAAUUUCAUCUUCUGCUUAUUAGUAUUUUUUCAUUAUAUAGUUAAAUGACAACCUAAUUAUCUAUCCACCCAUGUGAAUAAGAUAUAUAAUUAUCAUUUAAGUUAUGGACAAAUACCUAUAUGAGAUGGUCACAUGAGAGGGACUUGUUAAAACCCAAUCAAAUAAUAUUGAGUCUUUAUGCUACCAAGUUAAGCUUGCACGGGUCCAAACUUUUAGCAUCUCAUUUUAUUGUUUGAGUUGAUUUUUUAACUAACUUUUAGCAUCUCAUUUUAUUGUAACAGAUGGUCCUGGCCCUUUAUCUAUAAGUCUAAUAUCCACAGGCACAAGCACUGGAGGCAUCACCCUCUUUGCAUUAGUGAUAUUUCUCAUUUACCGAUCAAGAGAAUCUGAAAAAGAAAAAGAGACUCAACUGAAGGUGGAGAAGUUCCUCGAAAACUACAGGACCGUCAAUCCCACCAGAUAUACUUACAAAGAACUCAAGAAAAUAACAAGCAGAUUUAAGCACAGGCUCGGUCAGGGAGGUUACGGAAGCGUGUUCACAGGAAAGCUCUUCAACGGAAUUCCAGUUGCUGUCAAGAUGUUGGAACAUUUAAAAGGAAAUGGACAAGAGUUCAACAAUGAAGUGGCCACAAUUGGCAGGAUUCACCACUUCCACAUUGUUCGGCUUCUGGGAUUUUGCUCUGAAGGAAACAGGCGUGCUCUUAUUUACGAGUUUAUGCCCAAUGGAUCACUUGAGAAAUUCAUCUUCUCAAAGACAAAUAGCGCAAGUCAUCGUCAAUCGAGUUGGGAGAAGCUGAGGAAGAUUGCAUUUGGCGUUGCCCGUGGAGUGGAGUACUUGCACCGAGGAUGCAACCAGAGGAUCCUGUACUUCGAUAUCAAGCCUCACAAUAUAUUAUUAGACCAUAAUUUUCAACCGAAGAUUUCAGAUUUUGGACUGGCUAAGUUGUGCUCAAAGGACAUAAGCAUUGUAUCUCUGACAGCUGCCAGAGGCACUUCUGGCUACAUUGCACCUGAACUUUUCUCCAGGAAUUUUGGUGAGAUCUCUUACAAGUCUGAUGUUUACAGUUACGGAAUGAUGCUGUUAGAGAUGGUCGGAUGCAGAAAAAAUAACGAUCCCGCGGUUGAAAUUCAGAGCCAAAUUUAUUUCCCAGAGUGGAUUUACAAUAGAAUGAGGCAAGGACAAGAGCUCUGUUUGGAAUUUGAGGAAGAUGGGGAUGAGGGAAUUGCCAGAAAGCUUGCAAUUGUGGCACUUUGGUGCAUUCAAUGGAAUCCCACGGAGAGACCUUCCAUGCCAAUUGUAUUACAAAUGCUUGAAGCUGAUUUACAAAGCUUGGAGAUCCCUCCAAUGCCCUUUGUCUCUGCUGAUGUUGAGGCAGGUGCAAUCAAUUGAUCUAGAUAGCAGAAGAUUACAAUUAAAAAGGGUUAUUGUUAAGCUAAAUUAUUUAGUCCUUCUUGUUAUUGGAACGCUUGAAAACUGUUGGAAAUUUUCAAAAUAAUUGUGUCUUAUGGUAAAGACAUGUCCUAUUAAUUGUGCCUUAUAGAAAAGGUACCUUUCACUAAAGACUUGUCUAAUUAAAUGAUGUCUUGUUGUAAGGACAUGUCCAUUUAAUUGUGUCUUGUAGAAAAGGUAUCCUUUUACUAAAUGAUAUAACUUUUCAUGGCAACAUUUCACUUAGAGAUGCAUCAUUUCAUGGUGACAUUUCAUUUGAAAUGGUGAUGGUUCAAUUUAGACCAUUGAUUAAAAUCAAAUCUAGAUCCAAUGGCCAUGAAUGAAGGGGUAUCAUGAAAGAUGAUAACCCAAAUGAGGGGGCACAAGUAUAUCUAUAAAUAGGGGUCAUGUUUAAGCCAUUUAGACAAAAAAAAUGAAUGAUCCUACACCACUCUUUUCUUAGCAUUCCUUUCUAGUACGAAUCUCAACACAAAACACCCAUUUCUUUUGUGCAUUCACAUUCCAAUAUAUUGUUUUCUGCAGGAACAAUAUAUUGUUUCUUGGUAGGCUUGCAACGUUCAAGAGUAUUCUAGUUUGCUUUCGUCGAUGCACAACGCAAGCAAACAAACAAGUGCUUCAUUGUAUCCUGGAGGCGUAUUUGCUUAACCCAUGUGCAUCACUCAAUUGGUGGGGGCAAAUAACGUCUUAAGGAAAGCGACAUUUGUAACGUGCCUUGAAGCACACAAAAUUUCUGCAGUUUCUUCCUACAUACAGAGUUAGUUGUAAACACAUUAUUUUACAUAAUAAAGUUCCACCAUUAUUGUUGUAUUUCUCUACAUUUGUCAUUCCCCACAAAAUUUACCACCAACAAUCUUAAGACGUUAUUUCUACAACAAUGGCACCAAGUUCAUCUCUUCGACAAUUUGCAGUAGAUUUUGUCAAAUUGGAGCGGUUCGAUGGUGGCAACUUUAUUCGUUGGCAGAAAAAGUUGCAUUUCUUGUUGACAAGCCUCAAUGUGGUCUAUGUUCUCACAACACCAAAGCCUCAAGAACGUGAGAAUGAGACAUUAGCGGAAACCAGAGUGCGACAUAAGUGGGAGCAAGAUGACUACGUGUGUAAGGGACACAUUUGCAAUGCCAUGUCUGAUACUUUGUUUGAUCAAUAUCACAACAAACCUACAUCAAAAGAGAUAUGGGACUCAUUAGAGGCUAAGUACAUGAUGGAAGAUGCCACAAGUAAGAAAUUCUUGGCUUCUAAAUUUUUUAAUUAUAGAAUGGUUGAUAAUAGACUCGUGGUUGAACAAUAUAAUGAGAUUUUGCAUAUUCUUGAUCAAUUCAACCAACAUAACAUGAAAAUGGAUGAGUCUAUUAUUGUCUCUUCAAUUAUUGAUAAACUUCCUCCCUCUUGGAAAGACUAUAAGAAAAGUCUUAAACAUAACAAAGAGGAAAUUAGUCUGGAUGGCUUAGGCCAAAGUCUUCGUAUUGAAGAGGAACUCAAGCUUAAUAGUCUUGAGGAUCAGACUACUAUGUCCUCUAAAAUUAAUGUCGUAGAGGAAGGGAAGGAGUUUAAGCAUUCUAAUCACCCUAAGAAUAACCAAAAGAGAAAGUUUGAUUCCAAAGAGAAUCAAAACAAUAAGAAGAAAAAGAAGGGUACAUGCCACCACUGCGGAAAACCUGGCCAUUUCAAAAGAGAUUGUCGACUUCUGAAGAAACAAAAGGAAGUUUCGAACACAAAUCUUGUGGCCAUGAUAUCUGAGAUUAAUGUUCUUGAAGAUGAUAAUGCAUGGUGGAUAGAUUCUGGUGCAACCAAGCAUGUAUGCAAGGAUCGUAGCCUUUUCAAAUCUUAUAAAGCAAUGGAUGAUGGAAGUGUUCUUUACAUGGGAAAUUCCUCCACUGCAAUAGUUAAAGGAAAAGGCAAUGUGCAACUAGAGUUCACUUCCGGAAAAACUUUAACUCUUACAGAUGUUUAUCAUGUUCCUGAAGUUAGGAAAAACCUUGUAUCUGGUAGCCUUCUUAAUAAGUUUGGCUUCAAACUUGUUUUUGAGUCAAACAAGUUUAUAUUAUCUAAGGGUGGUACCUUUGUUGGGAAAGGAUACAUGUAUGAAGGAAUGUUUAAACUCAAUAUCAAUAAUAUGAAUGUUUCUUCUGCUUAUAUGGUUGAUUCAUUAUCUUUGUGGCAUAAUCGUUUAGGACAUGUGAAUGUUAGAAGAUUGCAUGAUAUGGCUAAUUUAGAAUUAAUUCCUAAGCAUGAAAAUGAUAUGCAUGAAAAAUGUAAAGUAUGUGCACAAACUAAAAUCACAAGAUCUCCUUUUCCAAAAAUUGAAAAAACAUCUUCUUUAUUGCAUUUAAUUCAUAGCGAUGUGUGUGAUAUGCAUAGUAAUCCUUCUAAAGGUGGUAAAAAAUAUUUUGUAACAUUUAUUGAUGAUUUUUCAAAAUAUUGCUAUGUGUAUUUAUUACAUUCUAAAGAUCAAGUGUUAGAAAAAUUUAAAACUUAUAAAAAUGAAGUUGAGAAUUUUUGUGACACUAAAAUUAAAUGCCUUAGAAGUGAUAAAGGAGGUGAAUAUGCUUUUUCUGAUUUUUGUGAAUCUGUUGGCAUUGUACACGAAACUAGCACUGCAUAUACUCCACAACAAAAUGGUGUAGCUGAAAGAAAAAAUAGGACAUUAAUAGAAAUGGUUAAUGCUAUGCUUCUUAAUGCUGGGCUUGGUAAAGGUUUUUGGGGUGAAGCUAUUUUAACUGCAUGUCAUAUCUUAAAUAGAGUGCUUAAUAAGAAAACAAAGGUGACUCCAUAUGAAUUAUGGAAAAAGAAAAAGCCUAAUCUUUCUUAUCUAAGAGUUUGGGGUUGUCGAGCCAUUGUAAGACUACCAGAACCUAAGAUAAAGAAAUUAGGAGAAAGGGGCAUUGAAUGCAUAUUCUUGGGAUAUGCAGAGCAUAGUAAAGCUUAUAGGUUUCUUGUAACAGAACCUAAUAGCUUUGUUGAGAUCAAUACUAUAGUGGAAUCUAGAGAUGCAAUAUUCUAUGAAAAUAGAUUUUCCACUAUACCAAAAAGUAUUGAUUCUCAAGAGAAUGAUAAACAAAUAGAAAUUGGUCAAAAGCGUGAUGCUAAUAAUGAGCAAAAUCAUUUGAGAAGAAGUAAAAGAAUAAGGACUCUAAAAUCUUUUGGACCAGAUUUUAUAGUUUAUUUAGUUGAAGGGACAAGAGACUCACAAUCAAAACAGACCAUGAUCACAUCUACUAUAGAGUCUGAUCCCCUCACCUAUGAAGAGGCAAUGAAGUCUCAAGAUGCUGCUUUUUGGAAAGAGGCCAUUAAUGAUGAAAUGGACUCUAUUGUGGGUAAUAAGACUUGGAAAUUAGUUGAUUUACCUCCUGGCUCUAAUCCUAUAGGUUGUAAAUGGAUUUUCAAAAAGAAGAAGAAAGUUGAUGGAACAAUUGAAAGAUUUAAAGCAAGACUAGUAGCAAAAGGCUUUACACAAAAAGAAGGCCUUGAUUAUUUUGAUACUUAUGCACCUGUUGCAAGAAUUGUUACUAUUAGAGUCUUGAUUGCUUUGGCUUCAAUUUAUCAAUUUGAAAUCCAUCAAAUGGAUGUAAAAACAGCUUUCUUAAAUGGAGAAUUAGAUGAGGAAAUUUACAUGAAACAACCAGAAGGGUUUGUUAUGCCAGGACAAGAACAUAAAGUUUGUAAACUAGUCAAGUCUUUAUAUGGUCUUAAACAAGCUCCAAAGCAGUGGCACGAAAAGUUUGACAAAGUGAUUGUCUCAAAUGGAUUUAAUAUUCAUGAAUCUGAUAAAUGUGUCUAUAGCAGAUUCAAUGGAAAUAAAGGUGUGAUUAUUUGUUUAUAUGUAGAUGACAUGUUAAUUUUUGGUACUGAUAGUGAGAGCAUUGAACUCACUAAAUUAUUAUUGUCAUCUAAUUUUGAUAUGAAAGACAUGGGACUUGCUGAUGUGAUUUUGGGGAUUAAAAUUAUAAAAAAUGAGAAUGGCCUAGUAUUGACCCAAUCACAUUAUAUUGAGAAAAUUUUAAAGAAAUUUUAUUAUUAUGAUUGUAAGUCUGUGUCAACACCUUUUGAUUCAAACAUAAGACUGUAUCCUAACACUGGCAGUUCAGUAUCCCAAUUAGAAUAUGCACGUAUUAUUGGAUGUCUUAUGUACGCAAUGACUUGUACUAGGCCUGAUAUUGUUUUCGCUGUUGGAAAGCUCAGUAGAUAUACUAGUAAUCCAAGCCAAGCACACUGGCAAGCAGUGUACAGAAUUCUAAAAUAUUUAAAACAUACAAUGGAUUAUGGUAUAUACUACACUGGAUAUCCUUCAGUUUUGGAAGGAUUUUCGGAUGCUAGUUGGAUUACUGAUCGAGAUGAUCAUACAUCCACAAGUGGUUGGAUUUUUAAUCUUGGUGGAGGAGCUAUUUCAUGGGGCUCAAAGAAGCAAACUUGUAUAGCAGACUCCACCAUGGCUGCAGAAUUUGUAGCUUUGGCUUCAUGUUGCAAGGAAGCUGAAUGGUUAAGGAAUUUGCUUAUAGAAAUUCCUAUUUGGUCUAAACCAAUGCCUCCUGUAUCUAUUCACUGUGAUAGUGAGGCAACUUUAUCAAGAGCAUAUAGUCAAAUCUAUAAUGGAAAGUCUAGGCACAUUGGUCUAAGACAUAGUUAUGUAAGACAAUUACUUACAGAUGGAGUAAUCACAAUUGACUUUGUGAAAUCAUGCCAAAAUUUGGCAGACCCCUUAACUAAAGGCCUUGCAAGGGAUAUUGUAUUUAAAACUUCUAAGGGGAUGGGACUGAAGCCAGCAUCAUCUUAUCACCAAUGAUGGAAACUCAACCCAACACUUGAAAUAUCAAGAUCUUGGGUUCAAUGAGCAAAAGUACAUCAUAUGUUGUGAUAGCAAGCACUAUAAUAUUUUUAGAUGCGUCCCAAAGGUUAGUGCUUGAUACCUGUAACAUAUGGAAAAAGUUAAGCUACUUAGCUUUUAAUGGACUUAUAAAUGUUUUAGUUACAGGGACAUUCUAGAUAAGUCCACCUAUGUGAGUGUAGGAGGUGGUGCCGCUUCCUAUGUAACUUGGCUGGUUACUAAAGCGCUCAUGAAAAUAGGAUAUAGACACAGGGCCAAUCCACGUGUCGGCUAAGGAAUACUUGAGAAUUUGAAAACUUAUGUGUGAGAUAUAUCCGGUUAGUCGAUUAAGGUUGCUGGUUCAAAGCUUGCCUACCAUGCCACCUUGAUUAACUUUGAUGUAUUGUCACUAAGUGAAGGUUCAAGUCCAAAAGACACCUUCAUCUAUGCCUAAGUUUUCCAAGCCUGUGCAAGAUCAUUUUUCCAAAUUCAUUUAUUUUGAAAAUGGUGGGGGAUUGUUGGAAAUUUUCAAAAUAAUUGUGUCUUAUGGUAAAGACAUGUCCUAUUAAUUGUGCCUUAUAGAAAAGGUACCUUUCACUAAAGACUUGUCUAAUUAAAUGAUGUCUUGUUGUAAGGACAUGUCCAUUUAAUUGUGUCUUGUAGAAAAUGUAUCCUUUUACUAAAUGAUAUAACUUUUCAUGGCAACAUUUCACUUAGAGAUGCAUCAUUUCAUGGUGACAUUUCAUUUGAAAUGGUGAUGGUUCAAUUUAGACCAUUGAUUAAAAUCAAAUCUAGAUCCAAUGGCCAUGAAUGAAGGGGUAUCAUGAAAGAUGAUAACCCAAAUGAGGGGGCACAAGUAUAUCUAUAAAUAGGGGUCAUGUUUAAGCCAUUUAGACAUGAAAUGAAUGAUCCUACACCACUCUUUUCUUAGCAUUCCUUUCUAGUACGAAUCUCAACACAAAACACCCAUUUCUUUUGUGCAUUCACAUUCCAAUAUAUUGUUUUCUGCAGGAACAAUAUAUUGUUUCUUGGUAGGCUUGCAACAUUCAAGAGUAUUCUAGUUUGCUUUCGUCGAUGCACAACGCAAGCAAACAAACAAGUGCUUCAUUGUAUCCUGGAGGCGUAUUUGCUUAACCCAUGUGCAUCACUCAAUUGGUGGGGGCAAAUAACGUCUUAAGGAAAGCGACAUUUGUAACGUGCCUUGAAGCACACAAAAUUUCUGCAGUUUCUUCCUACAUACAGAGUUAGUUGUAAACACAUUAUUUUACAUAAUAAAGUUCCACCAUUAUUGUUGUAUUUAUCUACAUUUGUCAUUCCCCACAAAAUUUACCACCAACAAUAAAACCACUAAAUUGAGUUUUUGUUUGACUGUGGUUGUUUUAUUUAUCGCUUAAAAUCUUUGAUGUGUUCGAGUGAUACAACAUUAAUACAACUAUGGAUGAAUUUUUUCAAUUUAUAAUAUUAUUGAUGAAAAAAGAUAAUUAUACCCUUGAGGUGUGAGAAAAUAAUUACCAAAACUCUCAAGUUUUUAAAAUGAGACAUCAAGACUCAUUUUUAAUCAUAAUACCCUUUGAAUUUAUUAAUUAGGAAAUUGACUUUGAAGUUUUUUAUUUAAUUAAAAUUUAAUAUAAAUAAUAUAAUCUAUCUAGUAAACUAAUAAUAUUAAAUUAUUUUUGACAUUUAAAAUAAUAUAAAAUUUUAAAUUAUUAUAUUUAUUUUAAUAAUAGAUUUGUAUUUGUUAUAAAGAUUUUAAAUAAAGUCUUUGGGUUGAAUUUUACAAUUAACAAAAUAUAUCUCUUUCAAUAAUAUUAAAAUUAUUUUUACAUAAUAUUCAAAAUAAUUUUGAUUUUAAUUAAUUUAUUUAAUAUUAUAUUUCUAUUUAUUUUAAAAAUUACUUCAAUAUAAUAAAAUAAGUCAAAUAGAUUGUAAAAUAUAAAAAUAUAUUUUUAGAUUUUUUCAAAUGUAUAUAUUAUUACAUUUAUUUUAAUGUCAUAUUUCUAUAGAUUAUAAAAUUUUAGAGUAAAUUUUUUAGAUUUAUAGAGUUAAAGGGUAUUAUAGCAACAAAAAAAAAAUAACCUUGUUGUUUUUUAUUGAAGACUUGGGAGUUUUUAUAAUUAUUUUUUCAAACAUUAGAGUGUAGGUGUCUUUUUUACUAUUAUUUAUUAUACCCCGCUAUCCUUCCCUACUAAAAUCAAUGCUACCUAAUUGCUGAUGAAUCUUUUGAUUAAUCAUUUAGUUUCAGAUAAGCAACGAAGUGAGACUUCAAAAGUCUUCCAAAAUGUGCACCGUCGUCUCUGAUUCUGAAGUAAGCCCUUAGAAAUUUCAACUUGUCAAGUAGAUGAUUAUUAGUAACUGGACUGCUAAAUCUUAUUCCAUUCAUGGCAGAUUACAUGCCGAAUGAAACACAACAGAGCUCAUUACAGUGGCACAAAAUUAAUAUAAAAACAUUUGAUAGAGAGGAAACCUCUGCACCUAUGAUACCUUCCCAUGCAAGCACAGGGUGCAUAAAGCAUACAAAAACUUUAGUCUAUUUUUAAACACAUCAUUGAAAAAAAAUAAAGCAUAACUAUGGCUGAAAGAGCAUUCCUUUAUUGAUAGACUUAUAGUUCCCAAGGAGGGUAGUUGGCAGAAACUCCAUAAGCUAGGUUGCUUUAGAAAAGGCUCGCGGGAUCGAGUAUUUACAGAACGGAUGUGAUGUGUGCAGUCUUCAUUUCAACAUUUAAGUCUCACAACAUCCUGCUAGAUCCUAAUUCCUUUCCCAAGGUCUCAGAUUUCGGCCCUUGCAAAAUUUCACCCCAAGGAAAAUGAUUUUGCUCCCAUCAGCGCACAGGAAGAACAAUAUAUAGGUUAAAAUAUUACCUGAGCUAUGACUAAGGCGCUGGUCGCUCCUCUUUGACAAAAAGUUUUGGAAAUUUUAGAAGGGAGUAUUGAUGAUUUGCAAAUGCCUCCAAAACCUUUCUCAUCUUCUUCUCGACAUAUAUCCGGAAGAGAGAUUGAAUCAGAUUCUUCAACAGAGUUGUUAAUGUCUGAAUCAGUGAAGGAAUGAUCUUUCGGUGAUAUUUAGGUUUAAUUUUGCCAAUGAUGAAUGUAAAAUAAAUAAAUGAAUAACAUGCAAUUAAUGACAAAUGUUCUUCUUCUUCUCAUUGGUUUAUCUCGAAUUGGAGCCUAAGGCACACACUACACUUUUCACGAGUGAUAGAUAAUUUAGUUGUUGAAAUCUUUUGAGUUGAUACAAAAAGUUUGAGAUUUGAAUCUGUCCAUAUGGGUGGCAAAAGAAUUUAACUAGUGUUGGUGCAAAUUUUGUCCCAACUUAUGAUAUGAAAAUUUCGACUGAUGACGACCCCCUUAGGACUUAGGUUCCUCUUUGUUGGAUUUGAUGAUGGUGAGUUUUUCCUUUGGGCUGAUUUUGAUAGGCCUUUAUAUAUCCUCUUCUCAGUCCACUUCCUUAGGCAAUCAGAAUGUUCUUAUUUAGUGAUACUCUACAAACACAAUCAAAUGAUCAGAGGGCCGGCUUUGCCGGCAUAAACCCUCCAACGGUCAAGUCAGUUACCAGACUUUUGGAAAUAUAAAUUUAGAAAGAGAAAGAUUAGAGGGAGAAAGUUAACAUUUUCUCCUUUUGAGUCUCUUUUUGUCUUCCCUUUUAGUGAGAAUGAAAGACAUAUUUAUCGACCAAAUUGAUUUGACUUGGGUCCUAGUUAUUUUGAUGACAAAUGUCAUUGUUCUUGUGACAUUUGGCAACACUUAUCCUCCAAUGCCCAUGUUGAUUGACACAUAGAUAUACAAACUUGUCUACAGAUUAAAGGAAGGAACGUUUUAUCCUUAGGUUAUUUUUACUAAGACCUUGGGAUCAUAAGAGCUUUCAAACUUAGGAGGUUUGUCCUAGGAUAAGAGCCUAGAACCUCAACACGUUUUGGACUUUUAAUCCUUACCACCUAGUUGAUUUAUCCUAGGUAAUUUGUCUUAGGAUAGGAAUCUAAGACUUUGGCUCCUUUUGGGCGCUGAAACCUUGUUACUUAGGAGGAUCAUUCUAGGUGAUUUGUCCACCACUUCGUGGAUUUAAUUAGGAGGAAAUUUAUUAGAUGGACGUUAUUGAGAUUAAAUUUAUUUGGAUCUUAUUAGGUUUAUUUUAUUUUUGGUCCAACAACUAGAGGUGUGCUAAGCUUAACUUAAAACUCUGAGGUGGAAAUUUUCUUCAUUAUUUUACCCCCACAUUGAAAAGUAAUCACAAAAAAUCAUCACGGACGCAAACUUGCAAUCAAAACGUUUACUGAGAGUUGACUGACUUGUAAGAGUGUCCGAAAUCCCCCAUUGCAUGAAUGCUACGAGUCUUGCACUCAACAAAUAAAAUUAAUAUGCUCUCUUAAACCUUUUUAAUUUCCCCAUCUUUGUUGAUUUUUUUUAAAGAAUAAGAUAAUACUAUUUUUGAACAAUUAAUUAUUGCUAAAUCAUUUUCAGCUAGUAGAAUCAGAUAGUUGAAUGCUAUAAUAUAUUUACUAAAUUGUCAAGUAAUGAUGAUAGUUGAAUGCUAUAAUAUAUUUACUAAAUUGUCAAGUAAUGAUGUAAAUACGUAUCCAAAACUUUGAAAAUGCGGCCUUCUGUUUAAUUUAUUGACAUUCAUCGUAUCCUGGGAUUGGAUUAACAAUGAGUUGGUGGUAGUUUCGACCAUACGCUUUCUUUUUUUUUGUUAAUUAGUUUAGAAUUUUUAGGAAUUUUAGUUUUUUUAAUAUUUUUUGGGAAUUUUUUAGGAACUCUUUGGGGUUCUUUUAUUGCUGUAAAUUUUCCAUCUUUUUUGUUUUCUUUCUCUCGCUCUGUCCUCUUUUUUUUUUUUUUUGGGUGUUUAUAAUAAUUAGGUUCUGUUGUAUAAACACCACUUCCUCAUAUUAUGAUAUAUUUGAGACUUAGGAGUAAAUUAAAAUUAAAAAAAGAAACAAUUAAUUGAGAAGGAUUGAUUACUUUUGAUAAAUAGAUUAAAAGUGAUUAGUGGAUAAUAAAAUUUGGUUCAUUGAGGUAGUUAAAGAUUUAAAAUUCAUUUUUAAUUAAUUAAGUGCUGCUGAAAUUAAAUUAUAAUUAUUUGUUUAUAAUAAAUCAGUAAAAAAGUGCAAAAGUGCACAAACGAAAAAAGUACUCGAAUUUGUAAUAAAUGCUUUUGAUUCCAACGAGUUGCGGAGGGCACGUUACAAAAUAAGGUUUUUAAUUAAAAAGUGAAUUUUAGUCAAAAGGUUCGAGAUUCAUGUUUUUAUCAUGUUAAAAUGAUUUUCCAUCAUAUCCUACACUUAUUACAUGGCACUUGACUUUUGACGGCAAGGUGAAGGAGGUCUACUUGUAGAACCAAAUCUCGAAGCAUGGGUAUCAGUUAGAAACAAAUAAAAUAAAAUGAAUUUUAUUGAUAGCCUUAGCCUAGCUAAUAAAAUCUUAUUUUAUACUUUUUAUUCCUUAAAUUUCUUUUUAAAUUACUCAAAACACAUCAAAUAUUGUGUUGAACGUACGAUUCAAAUAUUCUUAAUGAUCACUAAUUUGAAUUCGUUGUAAGAAAGUUAUAGGUGGGGGGUAUAUAUAUCAAUGACUUGUCGAUCUAAACUACUAUGAUGAGUUGCGUGUAAAUUGAUCUGAACAUUAGUUGAGGACCUACUACUGUACUUCUAUUACCUACUUGAGAAUUGAGAUGAACAAAAUUUAUUUUUUAAAAAUAUAAAAAUCUUAAUAUUAUCUCUCAUAUUCUUCUUUUAUUUAUAUAUGUUGUCGUAUCAUGCGCUCAAGUAAAAUUUAGGAAGUUUUCAUUUUUCAUGAUGAUUUUUCUUUUUCCUUAAGUCCAAAAUAAAGUUAGGAUUCAUUUAUGUUUUAAUUAAUCACAUGCUUGUUUCAAAAUUUUACUUUCUUACCACGUUCUUAUGAUUUUUUUUUUAAAAUGUGCUCUCAUAUUUGUUAAAUUUAAGAAUUAAAGUCCAUGAUAUUAUAUUCAUCUUUAAGUUUCUCAAACAGCUACUUUGGAAGUGAACCAGACUAGAAGCAAAAAAAUGAACCCAAAAAAAAAACGGAACAGUUCAUGGCUUUGUGCUUCUUUAUGGACUGUGGUUGCCUCCAUGAAUAGCCCAAGUGAUUAUUGGGCUUUUAAGUCGGCUCCUAUGAAAAGCCCAAAGCGUCCACGAUGAAGCAGGUCACAGGAGCAGUCCCAAUUCUGAAUCUCUCUCAACUCCUCAAGCGGGGUUUCAUUUUGAAUGCCGCCAUUGGCCUCAUUUCACAAUAUAGAUGUGCAUGCAUGAAGGAUAUAUAUACACGGUUUCGUUUUGUAUAUAUAUCUUAUAAAGUUAUUGUUGUGGAAUUACUCCAAUUCACAGCCGUUAAUCAACUAACCUGAUCUAAUGAAUCCAAUUAAUCAAGAUCCGCUCUUCUUUAUCCAAGAAAACUAACCAGCUUAAUGCAAGUAAUAACCAGAUAACAUGAAGAAGAUGAACCAGAAACAAUACACCCAAUCUAACGUGGUUCAGUACCAAGGUACCUACAUCCACGACCAAAUAACCCAACUGGGCUUGAAGCUUUUAUUGAACAAAGUGUUUACAAUGAGAGUGUUGAUGACAAAGAUUAAAUCUCUCAUACAGAGAAUUUUCUAUCUCUCAGCCUAGGUCUCUCAAAAUCGUGACUUAACAUCUCUUGUUGAUCAGCCUUGAGUUAUGUAUAUAUAGCUCUGUUGUCCAGCUGUUAGCAGUAACAAAUUUAACUAACUCUGGCCCCACACAAAUGCUGACUCACCACGCCACUUAGUCAUAUAACAGAAUUAACUAAUUAAGCUUCACAGUUAUAAUUAUAUUAUGAGUAUAUUUGUCUAUGUAUGUAUGUAUGUACAUAUGAACAAAUAAAAUAAUAAUUAUACGAAAAUUAAUAAGUAGUGCCUGGAAAAAGAUCAGUAGAUCACUUCAGUUUUGAGGGCCAAAUGAAGCUGCACGUUGAUGACGGAAUACAGAGAGCUCAAAGAUUUAAAAUGCGUUUGAUUAAUGGCAUUUUAAUUUAUGUGCUCUCUAUCUUCUGUCAACAAAAUUUCAAAAAAUUAGCGCCCUCUACUUCAAUCAGACCAAACACAUGCACCAAAUAUUAAUGAGGAAAAAAAAACCAAUCGAUAUGCUUUUGUCUCCACAAUAAUAAAUAGCUGUUGAAUGGCCAUGGAAGCGUGCAUAUCCACAGCAGCACGAAAUUAAAGUAGUUGAUAAACUGUUUACAGUAGCAAGGACUUUGUAUGCAUGAUGCCAAUUAAAUGGCUGCGGGCUUAAAAGCAUUAAUUUAUGAAGUGCUUCUCCCUUUUAGGCUGGAGAUAAAUCAAGACUACAUUGCUUUUCCUUCUUUUCUUGUUCGCCUUUUGCAAUAGAUACGUUAUUAUAUUGUUUUUUUAGCACAUUUUCAAUGAUACUACUAUUCCCAUAUCGGCUGCCAAGUUAAAUAGUUAAUCAUUUGAUCAAUAUUUUUUUUUAAUGAAUUUGAAUUCGACAUGACAGAUAUUAGAAACCAGUAGCAUACAACAUGGCCAAAAUUUUCAUCAAUACAUAUGUUACACUAAUGCGGUUGCGACAUUUGAAAUAAGCAAUUAUUCCAUUAAAUCCAUUUACGACAGAACUACAUACCGCAUGAAACGCAACAGGACUCGUUCCAAUGUCACAAAAUUAAUACGAAAACAUUUGAUAGAGAGGAAAGCUCUGCACAAGUGAAUUGCCUUCAUAAAUUAUCAUAGUGACACUUUGACUCUUGACGGCAAAGAGGGCUACUCAUAGAACCAAUCUUGAAUCGGAAAUGGAGAGUUCUAAAAACCACAUGAAAAAUUAGCUUACGAAGAUACAUCAAAAUGUUGCACCAAGCAUAAGAUUCUAGAUAUCCUUAGCUCGAAUCUGUUGUAUGUAAGUUAAGCGGAAAUAUCAAGACACAUUGAUUUUCUUCCCCUCUGCGCCUAACUAGUAUUAUAUCAUUGGUCUAACUUUUUCCAUCUAUAUCCUGUGUGUGAUGAAUAACAUAUAAAUUGAUCUAAAUUUUUGUCAUAAACUAUGCCAUUUGUACUCUAAUCCACUUGAGAUUAAUGAAUGUCGUAUAUGAUUAAAAAAAUUAUUAAUUUCAUCUCUUUUGUUAUUCUAAUAAUCUAUUAUAUGCUGUUAUAUCCCAUGAUCAAACUAUGUAUUCAACUGUUAAUUUUUCAAUAUUAUUUUAUUAUAUAUUUACUUGUUUCCAUAAUCACAGUCUAAUUAAUGAUUUAUGUUUUUUUUUUAAACUUUGGUGGUCUCAAUACGAAGCCCAACUCAUAUUGAGCAUUUGAAAUUUAAAUCAUUAAAAAGCUCAAUUAGUCCCCAAUGCGCAAGAAUAGACUAAUAUCCUCAUGGCAUUUUUUGACGUAACUGAUUUUGUCAAAAGUGUGUGUGUAUAUGUAGACACAAGCGCACACACACACACAUAUAUAUAUAGUUAUGCGUGGAUUUCUACAUAUAUUUAACACGUGAAUUUACUAAUAUAUUGUAUAUUAAUUAAUUGAAAAAAAUAAAUAAAAACACUAAUGGCAUAUUAGUUCCGUCACACACGCCUACAACAUAAAAACUUAUCAUGCAUUAUAUAGAACGCAAUUGUGCACACCGAAUCAUAAUUUUAAUUAUAUAUAUCUUUCUUUAUUCAUAAAAAUAAUAAUAAUAAUAACAAUAACAAUAAUAAUUACAACAGCAACCAUAAUUUUUAGAAACGCGUGAACAUGACAUGAGAAGUCCUCAUUCUUCGGGGCCGUUCCAAAUUUCCAAUGCCGCGUUUCUCCAAAUCCUGUUAAAAAAUAAUAAUAAUAAUAAAGUAAGCGAAAGAUAUUGACUGGAAUUAAACUGCAUGGAAACUGUUUCCAAUAAGUUCUCUCGCUUUUAAUAUUGAAGAACGUUUACUAAGAAAUUUGAGGUCAAGCUUGGAUGGGGAUGGAUCAUCCCAUUCCCACCGAUGCUAACUCAUUUACAAUUACUAGGAAAUUAAGCGACUUCACUUUGCCGUAUUGACUUCCCCAUUGAAAUCUGAAAGCUUCCACCUAAACAAAUCGUGGAAAGAGACUUCAGAAGCUGCAUGGCAUCCGCAUACAAAAUUUACAGUAAGAAACGAAAUUGAACAUGUGUAUCUAGAUUUGUCCCUUUAUCUUCCAUUCCAUUAAUGCUUGAAGCCUAGCACUCAGUAAUUAAAAAUUUUCUUCCAUCAUGUCGAUUUCAUUUUAUGAAUAAUUAAUAUUAUUUUUAAACAAAUUAUUUAGCGCUAAUUAAUUCAAUCACAUAGUUGUAUACUAAACUAUGAUAAGUUUAAAGCCCGCCUCUCACCGUGCAAGUGAAACUGUAGAAAACAUAGCGCAUUAACACUUUUAUACCGUUCUGCUUAGUUUAUUCAAAUUCGUUAAUUGUAUCCUGGAAUUGGAGGAGCAAUGAGUAGUGACGAAGCUUCAAUUUUCUCAACUUUUCUGUUUUGUCUGUUGAUGUUUGUAUUCAGCCCCAGAGAAAUUGAAGCAAGAAAACUUGAAGUACAAAUGUGUUCUUCUUCUUGUGGAGAUGUCAAAAGCAUAAGCUACCCUUUUCGCCUCAAGGGCGAUCCAGCUGGAUGCGGCCAUCCGAAGUUAGAACUUUCUUGCGAGAGCAACAAAACCAUCUUAGAAUUCAAUUCUGGAAAGUACUAUGUGAACAGUAUUUCCUAUGAUAAAUGUACAAUCAGUGUUGUCGAUGUUAACUUAGCCAAUGGAAGCUGCAGCUUGCCGUCCAAUUAUCUUCCCCCAUCUUAUGAUGACAUUUUCGGAUAUCUUUUUGGUUAUUUGGGUCCUUCAUGCGCCUAUUAUGUGAAUUGCUUGGGUAAUAUUGUUGAUCAGGCAUAUGAGAAAGUUCCAUGUUUGAGUAACAAUCAGUCGAAUGUCUAUGUUUAUGUUACAAAUGAUACCAUCAACAGCAGAAUAUCAGAUCUUCCAGACUCAUGCGACAUCAUUUCAAAGGUUCCUGUAGUUCUUAAUAGGAGCGUGGACAAACCUUCUUAUGAAGACCUCCGAAAAUUGCUGGAGUCAGGGUUCGAUUUUACAUGGUGGAACCCCAGAUUCACAAUGACUUACUGUAAGCUUAUGCUUAUAUUUAUUUAUGCAUUCAAAAGCAAGGGCUUUGUUUUUGUUUUUCAAUAUUGUACGUAAUAAAGAAUUUGUGAACUAUCUCUAAGAGCAGACCGAUAUGGCCUUUAAUUUCUGUUUCUUUUUCACUUUUGCAGCCUUUGAAGAUUGCAAAGAAGACCAUGGAGGAUUUGUUUGCUACCAAUAUGGAAUACGUAAGCAGAUCCCUACAGAUCACUUUGUUUAAGGGUUUUCGAUGUUAAUAAAUGUGAUGGCUUUAUGUACUCUCUAAUUUUUUUCUCUCCAACUGCAGUUGUCCGUGAAAUCUUGCGGGCUUCCUACCUGCAAGUACCAGAAAGUCUGGGGGAUCAGUUAAGUUGGUUAAGUUUUCUGUUAGGUAAAAUCUCCUCUCCAGGAUCCUCUUUUAUUGCUUUGCUUACUACUAUUUACUUUCAAUAAACGUUCUCUUUACCAGGGUUUGCAGUUGAUGUUCUGAUAAUUGGUAGAUUUAUUCUUGCUCCAAUAGUCUUUCUCGUGUUCCUUAUCCACAAAUACAGAACGACAUUGCAAACAGUUGAUAAUAUUGAGAAAUUUCUGCACAACCAUCAAUCGUGGAUGCCUAAAAGGUACUCUUACCCGGAGAUAAUUGCCGUGACAAACCACUUCACUCAUAAAUUAGGCCAAGGUGGCUUUGGUUCAGUUUAUAAAGGACAACUUCAUACCGGUCGCUUGAUUGCUGUUAAGAUGCUGGAGAACUCCAAGUUCAGUGCGGAGGAAUUCAUCAACGAAGUUUCAACAAUAGGUAGAAUUCACCACGUUAAUGUGGUCCAGUUAUUGGGGUUCUGUUCUGAGGGAUCCAAACGCGCACUUGUCUACGAGUUUAUGCCUAACGGAUCACUCGAUAGGCAUAUCUUUCCUAAGGAAAGUAGAGGCCAAUCUUUUAGUUGGGAGAAACUCCACGAAGUUGCUUUAGGAACUGCCCGUGGGAUCGAGUAUUUACACAACGGAUGUGAUGUCUGCAUUCUUCAUUUCGACAUUAAGCCUCACAACAUCCUGCUAGAUCAUAAUUUCAUCCCAAAGGUCUCAGAUUUCGGCCUUGCAAAGUUUCAUCCCAAGGAAAAUGAUUUUGUGUCCAUCAGUGCCACAAGAGGAACCAUAGGAUACAUAGCACCUGAGCUGAUUUCAAGGAAUUUUGGAACUGUUUCUUGCAAGUCAGAUGUUUACGGUUUUGGGAUGGUGUUGUUGGAAAUGGCUGGAGGAAGAAGGAAUUCUAAUAUGAAUGCAACUCGUUCAAGCAAAGCAUAUUUCCCAUCUUGGGUAUAUGACCAAUUAAAUAAGGGAGGUGAUUUAGAGCUUCAGAAUGUGACUGAAAUCGAGUCCGUGAUUGCAAGGAAACUAUGUAUGAUUGGUUUAUGGUGUAUUCAGGUGAAGCCAGCUGAUCGCCCCUCUAUGACAAAAGUAUUGGAAAUGUUAGAAGGGAGUAUCGAUGAUUUGCAAAUGCCUCCGAAACCUUUCUUCUCUUCUUCUUGACAUAUCUCCGGAAGAGAGAUUGAAUCAGAUUCUUCAACAGAGUUGUUAGUGUCUGAAUCGAUUGAGGAAUGUUCUUUCAAUGAUAGUUAUGCUUAGUUUUGGCAAUGAUAUGUGUAAAAAAGAAAUAAAUUGUCGUCGUGCUACCAGAGCUUCUAUAACAUUAUGUUGAAAAAUUUCAGUACGAUUCAUUGUUCGAUGUGAAUAUUCCAAUUUUGCUCGCAUCGACCAGAAUAUGGUGAAGGUUUGUCAUGUGAUCAUGUACAUUCAUCAAACUAUUGAAACGCUGCUUGCUGCAUCUCUGAUUGAGCUAGAGUAUGCUUUGAACUCUCUGGUCCUGCUGAACUUAAUUUAAAGUACAAUUACCAAAGUAUAUCGUAGACACCUAGCUAUCACCACACAUCCACUUUUACUUAAUAGAUAAUAAUUUCAUCUCACAACAGUGAUGAAUUAAAAGACAUCUAGUUCCCAUCAAUCCUAAACACACCCUUAGUCUCCCACUGAUAUAUUAUAGUAAGCGGAGGGUAGCUGCUAGGAAUUACCUAUUUUCUAAAGAACAUUACUUACUGAUCUUAAAAACAUAAUUUUCUCAUUUCUUUAUCUACAAAUUACUUUCGCAACUCUCACUAAAAUCUAUAUCACAAACAGCAAGUCCCAUCCUAUUCCUUCAUGCAUCUGAUAUUGGCAGAUAUUAAAGUUGACUAGUCUCUUUGGGGCUACCAUUGACUUAGAAAAUGGAGAAAAGAAAGAAGGAAAGAACAGAAGAAAUUAAAAAGAAACCCAUUUUCGUACCUUUUUCCGUGACAAAUUGACAAUCAAACUCUGCUCUCCCUCAUUACUCCAAAAGCAUAACUCAAACUCUGUUCUAACUCAAACUCCGCUCUGCCUCUCCCUCCAUGUCCCUCGUGAUGAGUUUAAUAAUCCUCUUCCUCUUCUUACCAUACACAUGUACAUUAGCCAAAGCUUCUGCAGAAGACAACAAGACAGAUAAAUAUGAAUUCUGUCAACCAACAAGAUGCAGUAAUAAGAGCCCAAGGAUCAGAUAUCCCUUCAGACUCAAAGCUCAACCAACAUCUUGUGGCCUUGAAGGGUUUGAAUUGUCAUGCUUAAGUGACAAGACAAUCUUGCAUCUUCCUUCCUCUGGUGAUUAUUAUGUCCACGAAAUUUCUUAUCUGGACAGCAGUAUUACCAUUGCAGAUGUGAAUGAGACGGCAUGCCCGUUUCAAAGUCUUAUCUCUGUCAACCUCACAAACUCCAAAUUCUUUCUUCCCUUUAAUGAAAGUUACGCUUUAUGUAACUGCCCUGAGAAGGUUGCUGCAGAACGGACUUCUGUUGAAGCAAUUGGACCUAUCAAUUGUCUUAGCAAUGAAAACAAUCUUUUCUAUGCCAUAUAUAGCGAAUAUUCAAUGGAGUAUAUGCCUCCAUCUUGCAGAAAAUCUCGAACAGUUGAGAUUCCUGAUGGGUUACCUCUGCAGGAUAUUGCAACGACGGCGAGGGCAAGACCAGUAGUCUUAGGAUGGGAAACUCUUGAUGGAUGCUACGACUGCGAAAAUUCAGGGAAUUAUUGUGGGUUCAACACUACAAGCAAUUCGACAAUCUGCGUUUAUUGUGGGUUCAAUACUACAAGCAAUUCGACAAUCUGCGUUGCCGUUAAAAACCAAAAACGUAAGUAAUCAUAUCUUUUCUCAGUCACCUCUCUCUACAGUGCUUGAAAGUGAAAGCCUCGUCUCUAUUUAGCAAACAAUAAAAAUAAUAAGUUGAAUUUAUUAUCAUUGUUAUAUAUGCCGGAAAAUUUAUCAGAGCAGUGUAAAUGAAAAGAAAAAAUAAUAAUAAUUAGGCUUUGCAUUAUUUUUUCAAUUGUAAAAGUGUAAUUACAAUUGCUAGAAGUUAAAAAUUAAAGAAGCCAUCUAUAUUAAUAGGGGUGGCCACUGGGCAAAGGUUAGAUUUAGUUGAAUUCCGAUGGUGAGUUUUUUAAAAAAUUAACAAUUUGAACUGAACUGAAAAUCCAAUCAAUUUGGUUCGAUUUAGUUAGGCUUUUUUUGUUUUUUUUUUUCAUUUGAGCUGUAAUUUCUUUUGCCUUUUCCUACUUUUUUAUUUUUUAUUUUCUCUCAUUUAAAUCGAUGAAUUUUUUUUUGAAAAAAAACUGACGAUUCGUUUUUUUGGCAGCAAAUAUAAUUUUACCCACCCCUAAUCUGCAUGGCAAAUAUCAUUGCUAUUAAAGGCUGCUUCCAGUAUUAGUGCCAGUUGUAGAUUGUUUAAUAAAAUGUUGCUAGCCAGGCUGAUUUGACUGUUUGAAGAAAAACUGAUACUACUCAGGACCAAAUAGAUACUACUAAUUUUCUUUAUCUCGUCAAUUUAAUCUUUGAAUCUUUAUAUUACAAUUAAUUUUCGUAAAUGGUGAGAGAUUGAUUAGACUCACAAUGCCUGAUUAAAGUUUACCCUAUUAUAUUUUCUUGCGUACUCAAUGAAUACAAAUUAAGAAGAAUUAUUAUACUAAUACCUAUGAUUAAGUUCAUGAUGGAAAAUUAUUGAGAAAAAAUUUUGUUCAAUCAAGUAACCCUCAAUAUUCACAUGGAAUAAGAGAUGAGGGGAAAAAAAUCAUUUUGUGAAUGCAGAAAGGGGAAAAAAAAACAUAAAGACAGAGAUUUCUAAUUGUGAUAAUUUUGGUGUUUUUAUUGUGUACUUAAAGUUAAAAUUUUAAAAUUGAAGUGUGUAAGGUAAAAGAGUUCUAAUUUGCCGUUUAAAUAAUUUCAUCCUUUUGCUUAUUAUUAUUUUUUCAUUAUUUAAUUAAAUGAAAAAUUAAUUAUCUAUCCACCCAUGUGAAUAAGAUACCUAAUUAUAAUUUAAGUUACGAAAAAAUACCUAUAUAUGAGAUGGUCACAUGAGAGGGACUUGUUAAAACCCAAUCAAAUGAUAUUAGAGUCUUUAUGCUACCAAGUUAAGCUUGCACGGGUCCAGACUUUUAGCAUCUCAUUUUAUUGUUUGAGUUAAUUUUUUAACUAACUUUUCUUAGUUAUAUAUAACAGAUGGUCCUGGCCCUUUAUCUAUAAGUCUAAUAUCCACAGGCACAAGCAUUGGAGGCAUCACCCUCUUUGCAUUAGUGAUAUUCCUCAUUUACAGAUCAAGAGAAUCUGAAAAAGAAAAAGAGACUCAACUGAAGGUGGAGAAGUUCCUCGAAAACUACAGGACCGUCAAUCCCACCAGAUAUACUUACAAAGAACUCAAGAAAAUAACAAGCAGAUUUAAGCACAGGCUCGGUCAGGGAGGUUACGGAAGCGUGUUCAGAGGAAAGCUCUUCAACGGAAUUCCAGUUGCUGUCAAGAUGUUGGAACAUUUAAAAGGAAAUGGACAAGAGUUCAUCAAUGAAGUGGCCACAAUUGGCAGGAUUCACCACUUCCACAUUGUUCGGCUUCUGGGAUUUUGCUCUGAAGGAAACAGGCGUGCUCUUAUUUACGAGUUUAUGCCCAAUGGAUCACUUGAGAAAUUCAUCUUCUCAAAGACAAAUAGCUCAAGUCAUCGUCAAUUGAGUUGGGAGAAGCUGAGGAAGAUUGCAUUUGGCGUUGCCCGUGGAGUGGAGUACUUGCACCAAGGAUGCAACCACAGGAUCCUGCACUUCGAUAUCAAGCCUCACAAUAUAUUAUUAGACCAUAAUUUUCAACCGAAGAUUUCAGAUUUUGGACUGGCUAAGUUGUGCUCAAAGGACAUAAGCAUUGUAUCUCUGACAGCUGCCAGAGGCACUUCGGGCUACAUUGCACCUGAACUUUUCUCCAGGAAUUUUGGUGAGAUCUCUUACAAGUCUGAUGUUUACAGUUACGGAAUGAUGCUGUUAGAGAUGGUCGGAUGCAGAAAAAAUAAUGAUCCUGCGGUUGAAAUUCAGAGCCAAAUAUAUUUUCCGGAGUGGAUUUACAAUAGAAUGGGGCAAGGACAAGAGCUCUGUUUGGAAUUUGAGGAAGAUGGGGAUGAGGGAAUUGCCAGAAAGCUUGCAAUUGUGGCUCUUUGGUGCAUUCAAUGGAAUCCCACGGAGAGACCUUCCAUGCCAAUGGUAUUACAAAUGCUUGAAGCUGAUUUUCAAAGCUUGGAGAUCCCUCCAAUGCCCUUUGUCUCUUCUGAUGUUGAGACAGGUGCAAUCAAUUGAUCUAGAUAAUAGAAGAUUACAAUUUAAAAGAGAUAUUGUUAAUUUGUUUCAAAAUUUCCCCGAUUAUAAGAAAAAUUAUUUAGUCCUCCUUGUUAUUGGAACACUUGAAAACCAGUAUAUUGAGUUUUUAUUCGAUUGUAGUUGUUUUAUCUAUCGCUUAAAAUCUUUGAUGUGUUUGACUGAUACAACAUUAAUACAAUUAUAGAUGACUUUUUUCAAUUUGUCAUAUUAGUUGAGAACCUACUAUUGUACUUCUAUUAUGUACUUAAAAAUUGAGAUGAAUGAAAUUUAUUAUUUUAAAAUAUAAAAAUCUUAAUAUUAUCACUCACAUUCUUCUUGUAUUUAUAUAUGUUCUCGUAUCAUGCGCUCAACUAAAAUUUAGGAAUCUUUUAUUUUUGAUGGGGCUUUUUUUUUUUCCUUUAAAACCAAAAUAAAGUUGGGAUUCAUUUAUGUUUUAAUCACAUGCUUGUUUCAAAAUUUUACUUUCUUACAAUGUUUUUACAAUUUUUUUAAAAUGUACUCUCAUAUUUGUUAAAUUUAAGAAUUAAAGUCCAUGAUAUUAUAUUCAUCUUUAAGUUUCUCAACAGCUACUUCGGAAGUGAAUCAGACUGGAAGGGAAAAAAUGAACAAAACAACGGAACAGUUCAUGGCUUUACGCUUCUUUAUGGACUGCGGUUGCCUCCAAGAAUAGCCCAAGUCAUUAGUGGGCUUUUUAUGCUCCUCUGAAAAGCCCAAAGCGUCCGUGAUAAAGCAGCUCAUAGGAGCAGUCCCAAUUAUGAAUCUCUCUUAACUCCUCAAGCGGGGUUUCAUUUUGAAUGCCGCCAAUUGCCUCAUUUCACAAUAUAGAUACGCAUGCAUGGAGGAUAUAUAUACACUGGGUUUAGAUGUGUAUACAUAACUUAUAAAGUUAUAAUUAUAUUAGGAGUAUAAUUGUAUAUGUAUGUAUGUGUUUGUCUGUGUGUCUUUCUCUCUCUCUGUAUAUAUAUAUAUAUGAACAAUAAAAUAAUAAUAAAAUGAAAAUUAACAAAUAGCACCUGGAAGAAGAUCAGUAGAUCACUACAGUUUUGAGGGCUAAAUGAAGCUGCACGUUGAUGACAGAAUACAGAGAGCACAAAGAUUUAAAAUACGUUUGCUUAAUGGCAUUUUAAUUUAUGCGCUCUCUAUCUUCUGUCAACAAAAUUUCAGAAAAUUAGGGCCCUCUACUUCAAUUAGAACAAAAACAUGCACCAAAUAUUAAUAAGGAAAAAAAAUCACCAAUCGAUACGUUUUUGUCUCCACAAUAAUAAAUAGCUGCGGAAUGGCCAUCGAAGCGUGCAUAUCCAUAGCAGCAUGACAUUAAAGUGCUUGAUAAAUUGUUUACAGUAGCAUGACUUUGUAUGCCAGAUAAAUGGUUGCAGGCUUAAACGCAUUAAUUUAUGAAGUGCUUCCCCCUUUUAGGCUGGAGAUAAAUCCAAUCUACAUUACUUUCCCUCCUUUUCUUGCUCGCCUUUUGCAAUAGAUAUGUUAUUAUUUUGUUUUUUUAGUACAUUUUCAAUGAGACUACUAUUCCUAUAUCGGCUGCCAAGUUAACCAUUUGAUCAAUAUUUAUUUUAUGGAUUUGAAUUCGACAUGACAAACAUUAAAAACAAGUGGCAUACAACAUGACCAAAUUUUACAUCAAUACAUACAUUAUACUAAUGCAGCUGCGACAUUUGAAAUAAGUGAUUAUUUCAUUAAAGCAAUUUAUGGCAGUGAUACAUACCACAUGAAACACAACAGAACUUGUUACAAUGUCACAAAAUUAAUACGAAAACAUUUGAUGGAGAGGAAAUCUAUGCAGAAGUGAUUUGCCUUCAUAAAAUAUCAUAGUGACACUUUUGACUCUUGACGGCAACGAAGUCUACUCAUAGAACCAAUCUUGAAUCGGAAAUGGAGAGUUUUAAAAAUCACAUGAAAAAUUAGCUUACGAAGACACACCAAAAUGUUGCACCAAGCAUAAGAUUCAAGUAUCCUUAGCUCGAAUCUGUUGUGUGUGACUUAAGUGGAUAUAUCAAACCACAUUGAUUUUUUGUUCCCUUUGCGCCUAACUAGUAUUACAUCGGUGGUCUAACUUUUUUCAUUCAUAUACUGUGUGUGAUGAAUUACAUAUAAAUUGAUCUAAAUUUUAGUCAUAAAUUAUAUCAUUUCUACUCUAAUCUACUUGAGAUUAAUGAACGUCGUAUAUGAUAAAAAAAAUAAAUUAUUAAUAACAUCUCUUUUCUUAUUCUAAUAAUCUAUUAUUUGUUGUCAUAUCUUAUGAUCAAACUAUGUAUUCGACCAUUAAUUUUCCAAUAUCAUUUUUUGAUAUAUUUACUUGUUUCCAUUAUUACAGUCUAACGGUUUAUACUUCUUUCAGGAUUUUGGUGGUCUCAAUGUGAAGCCCAGCUCAUAUUGGGCAUUUGAAAUCGAAAUCAUUAAAAAGCCCAAAAAAUAACUAAUGCGCAAGGAUAGACUCAUAUCCAUAUAUAUAUAUAUAUAUAUAUAAAUGUUCUAAUUUAGGAUUUUAAAGUGCGGGAAAGUUUGAAAAAUCUUUAAAAUUGUAAACUUUUAAAACUGUGCGGUUUUAAAACUUUCCUAAACUUUCCCGCACUUUAAAAUUCUGGAUAUAUAUAUAUAUAUAUAUAUCAGGAAUCCUUAACUUUAAUAAAGUUAGAGAUUAGCCAAAAAACAAAAAAAUUUAGAUUUUAAUACACUACAUAAAAAAAUACAAUCCAUUGGAAUAUGUGUUUAUUUUAUCUUUUAACUUACCCAUAACUUUAUUAAAAUCAGAGAUCCCUAAUUAAAAAACUAAUAUAUAUAUAUAUAUAUAUAUAUAUAUAUACACACACACAUACACAUACAAUAUUUCUAUUAUCCAAAUGUCCGGAUAUUAGUUAUCCUCUGCAUGUUGAAUAUAAGCGGUUGGAUCAAAUUGAGUCAAUCCAACGCUCUUAAAACUUUUGCGCGCUAAACUAGUAAAGUGCAAUAAAUAUUAUAUUGAUUUAUUGUCGUAAAAGAACCCUAGUUAUAUAACUAGUUGUCUGCCUAUUAACUAGUUGCCAAGCCAAAACACUAAUUAUCAUUGACUUUAAUUUUUAAUUUUGAUCGCUACUGUUGGCGGGUUCUCACAAUUAAUAACAGGUAUGCUAAAUUCUUUUAAAAAUAUAUAUGUGUGUAUUAUUUUACUCAUGAGUCAUGAAUAUAAUCUGACGCCUUUUAUUUUAUUAUUUGUAUUGUUCUAUUCUUGUCUACAUCUUUCUAAUUUCCAUGUAGCUAAAAUCCAUUUUCAUAUUAAUUACUAUAGAUCGUGAUGUUAUAAUAAUUUUUUUUUCUUGUUUGAUUUAUGAAGAGAAUGAAUGAUAUUGGAAUAGACACUGGGGAAAGUUAUGAAGAAGCCAAGCAAGAGCAGAGAGACAAAGUUUACAAACCCGUAGUCAUACCACAUGAUCAUAUGCCCAGGUUAUGACAAGAAUUUGUCUUACUAGAUGACGUUCAUGAAUUUUAUAAUGAAUAUGCAAAAAAGGUUGGUUUUAGCGUGAGAAUCAACUCUAGUAAGAAAAGUCACACAGGCGAAAUUGUAAGGAAGGAGUAUAUAUGCUCUAAAGAAGGGGCAACCACUAAAGAAGUAGUUGAAAAAAAACGACGACGCGGUAAAGUGAGAGAGGGUUGUAAGGCAAAACUAGCAAUGGUUAAGUCUAAAUCAGGAACUUAUGUAGCUAGCGUAUUUGAAGAGGAUCAUAACCACCCAUUAACAACACCCCGAAGAGUACACCUUUUAAGAUCUGUAAAGGAAGCUCAUUGUGCUGAGCUUAUGAAGAAUAGAAAGGUGAAGAAGCCGAUAGUUUCAGCAAGUGAAGUUAGUCAAUCAUGCCAGCUCAGCAGUGCCAAGUCAUCAGAGUUAGUUAUGAAAUACCAAGUCAGCACAGGAUGUUAAAGUCUGUUAUUAAUAAUUCUUGUGUGCAUAACUAACUCGUGUGUAUAUAAGCUGUGAUUGAUUAAGUUGUAAAUGACUUUUGUGAAUUGUCCAGAUUCAAUGAAAUAAAAUUUUCUCUGCAAUUUUUCCUUUAAAACAAACAGCUCAAGUUUUCUUUUAUGGUAUCAGAGCCACAAUGGCUAGUUCCAGUACAACUAAUCAAAAUCAUUCGAUUGUUCAUCAAACUCAUUCUCAUCAAAUUUCAUUUACUUUUGCUACAACCGUCAAGCUUGAUCGAUCUAAUUUUCUCCUCUGGCGUAAGCAAGUUCUGACUUCGAUCAGAGGAAAUAGACUUGAAGGUUUUAUCUCAGAAAAUCAAAAUAUUCCAGAACAGUAUUUGUCUCAAGCUCGAACUGAUGGAUCUGUGGAGAGAACUGAGAAUCCAGCAUAUGUAAAUUGGAGAGCUCAGGAUCAGACUCUGCUGAGCUGGCUCUUUUCAACUAUAAGUGAAGGUAUUCUAAGCUCAGUUCUCAAUUAUGAUACUACAUUUGAUGUCUGGAAGUCGAUUGAAAAGCAAUUUGGAGUUCAAUCUGAAGCAAAGGUUAUGCAGCUUCGAUAUGAAUUAGAUACCUUAAGAAAAGAAUCAAUGUCGAUUGAAGAAUAUUGCUCAAAGAUGAAGAUACUUGCUAAUAAGCUUGCCUGUGCUGGUGAUAAUAUAACUGAAAAAGAUCUGCUAAUAAGAACUCUUAAUGGAUUAGGAUCUGGCUAUCUGGAUUUAGCUUCAAUAAUUACAGCAAAUAAAAUGAGUUAUGAUGAUGCAUAUGCACUUUUGUUGAGUCAUGAGGCUAGAUUGGAACAACAUCAGAAUUCUCAGAAUUCUCAGGCCAUGUUUAAUGCUAAUCACAGUAUGAUGAAUGCAAACUAUUCACAAAUGAGGGGAAUUCCUAGGAGAAAUACUUAUGGUAAUGGAUCCUUUGGUCAAUUUGGAGGAAGAAGUCAAAAUUUUGGUCGAGGCAUGUUCUUUAACUCUUAUCCUAGAGGUUUUCCAGCUGGUAGUAGUACUGCUGGUGGUUUUGGAAGAGGUCAUGCUGCAAGCUUUGGAAGAAAUCAACAAUUUACACAUCAUCCUAGGUCACCACAUGUAAGGAAUACAUUUUUACCUGGAAUGAGCUCAAGCAUUUCUGCUGGUGAAUCUAAUGAGUCAAUACCUGUGUGCCAAAUAUGUCACAAACAAGGUCAUACUGCUGAUGCUUGCUGGUAUAGAUAUGGUGAUAAUUACUCUCCUUUUCCAAAACAAUUUGGGAGAGGAAAGAUGAUGGGACCUAAAGCAGCAUAUAUGACCAAUUUUGAGCCAUUCUCAUACCACCAGUCAGCUAUUGAAGAUCCUUAUGAACUUUCUGGUGUCAACUCUGGCUGUCAACCAGUUCAUUACUCCCCUGUUUCUUCUUAUUCAUCAGAAGCAUUUACUUUGCCUGAAGCUUAUGUUGCAAAUCUGGAAGAUUCAUCAGAUGAAGGGUGGUAUCUGGACAGUGGUGCCACACAUCACAUUACAAAUAACAUGGAAAACAUGCAUGUACGAGAAGAAUUCAAAGGUUUAGACCAGCUUACCAUUGGCAAUGGACAAGGUUUGAUCAUUACUCAUAUUGGUGAUGCUUGCUUUAACUAUAAAUGCCUUCAUACUGCCUGCCAGCACACACCUAUAACACUUAAAGAUAUCUUAUUAGUUCCUUCAAUUACUAAGAACUUAAUAAGUGUAUCUAAGUUGACAACUGAUAAUAACCUUUCUAUUGAAUUUGUUGGCAAUGUGUGUUAUGUAAAGGAUUCACUGAAGGGACAGGUGCUUUUGCAAGGUCUUGCUGAAAAAGGAUUAUACAAGUUGCUGUUAAAGUCAUCUCAGACAUCACCCUCUUCUUUCUUGAGUCAAGUUUCUUCAAAUAAGCCUUUGUCUAUGCUAUCUACUUGUCAUCUUUCAUUUCCUGUUACAACUGGUGCUCAAAAUAAUCAUUCAACUUCUAUGUCUUGUUAUCAAACUGUUGUCUCUCCUUGUAAUGCAUCAGUUAAUAAAAUCAGUUUGUUUCAUAGAAGAUUUGGUCAUCCUCAUCAUGAUGUACUAAUACAUUUGCUUAAGAAUGAUAAAACUAUCAAUCUCUCUACCAAUCUUAUCAAACAAUCUGCACAGCAGAUAUGUGAGGCAUGUCAACUAGGCAAGGUUCAUAGAUUGCAUUUUCCUAUUGCUGAAACCAAAACUUCUCACAUCCUUGAACUCAUUUAUACUGAUUUAUGGGGACCCUCACCUAUACCUUCUAGAACUGGUCAUAUCUAUUAUAUCAGCUUUGUUGAUGAUUUUAGCCGAUAUACUUGGAUUUAUCCAUUAAAGUUGAAAUCAGAAGCCUUACAAAUUUUCAAACUAUUCAGAUUGCAAGUUGAAAAACAGUUUCAAUGCCCCAUUAAGAAGUUGCAAUCUGACUGGGGGGGAGAGUACCGAGCAUUUACUGAAUUCUUGAAUCAAAAUGGCAUUAUUUUCAGGCACUCAUGUCCCUAUACACACCAUCAAAAUGGGGUAGUUGAGAGAAAGCAUAGGCAUGUAGUUGAGUCAGGUCUCACACUUUUAGCUCAAGCUAAGUUACCCUUACAAUUUUGGUGGGAAGCCUUCCAAACUGCUGUUUAUCAUAUUAACAGGUUGCCUUCUGCAACUCUGAAAUUUCUUACACCAUAUGAAAAGCUUUUCAGUCAUAAACCAGAUUACAAGAUGCUCAAGUGUUUUGGCUGUGCAUGUUAUCCUUAUUUGAGAGAUUACAACAAGCAUAAGUUUGCAUAUCAUUCUAGUAAAUGUAUUUUCAUAGGUUACAGCCCUUCUCAUAAAGGGUACAAGUGUUUACAUCCAUCUGGUCAAACCUAUAUAGCUAGACAUGUUGUUUUUUAUGAGAAUUUGUUUCUUUACUCAUCAGAUUCUGGUUUCACUUCAAACUCAUCAAAUUCAUGUUCAAACCUACCAUUUACUCCUCAACAAGUGUAUCAUCUAUCCACUUUGUUAAUAUCUCCAAUAUCAGAUGACAGCAACUACUAUAAUCAUGAUUCUGCAAGACCUACCAGUAGCACUUCUCAUCACUCAGGUAAUUCUGCAUACAACAUUGAUCCUCACUCUUUAUCACAAACAGUUCAACCACAUACAGAGCCAGAGCCUUGUACUUCUCCUCAUGAUCAAAUAUCUCCUCAUAAUCAAAUAUCACUAAACACUAUUCCAUCUAUCUCAUCCCUAGAACAUACACAACACAUUACUACACCAGUAAACUCACAUUCCAUGAUCACUAGAAGCAAAGCUGGGAUUUUAAAGCCAAAACUCUACAAUGUCACACUUGUUCAUAAAGAACCAGAAUCUGUCAAAGAAGCUAUGGAGAAUCCUAAAUGGUUUGCAGCCAUGAAGGAUGAGUACAAGGCUCUAAUGGAUAACAAAACAUGGUCUCUGGUUCCUAGAUCAGCUGGUCAGAAAAUUAUUGGCAACAAGUGGGUAUUUAGAGUCAAACAAAAUUCAGAUGGAAGUUUGGCCAAGUAUAAAGCCAGACUAGUAGCUAAGGGGUUUCAGCAGAUUGAAGGGGUUAAUUACUUUGAGACAUUUAGCCCUGUAGUAAAGUCAGCUACUGUCAGAGUGGUGAUUAGUCUAGUUGUCAUGAAACAAUGGGAGAUAAGGCAAGUCGAUGUAAAUAAUGAUUUUCUUAAUGGAGAGCUGACAGAAGAGGUGUUUAUGGAUCAACCAGCAGGCUUUGUCAAUAAUCAGAAACCAGAAUUUGUAUGCAAACUCCAUAAGUCUCUCUAUGGUCUUAAACAAGCUCCAAGGGCCUGGUAUGAGAAGUUAAAAAGCUGCUUGUUACAGUGGGAUUUUGUCAAUUCAAGAGCAGACUCUUCCUUAUUCAUAAAGAAAACAAGAAACUUCAUGAUAAUGGUGUUGAUUUAUGUAGAUGAUAUCUUAAUCACAGGACCAGAUAGUGCAGCAUUGGAAACCUUUAUAACUGAACUGAGCAGAGUCUUUGCCUUGAAAGAUUUGGGUAAUUUGUCUUAUUUUCUGGGCAUUGAAGUUUUGUAUGAUGCAGGUUGUAUCUAUCUGUCACAAAGGAAAUACAUAAGAGACUUAUUAUCCAAAGUUCAGCUACUUGAAUGCAAAGGAAUUGAUAAACCUAUGAGCACUGGGAUAAAGCUACAAAAGGAAACUCCAGGUCAUCUUGGUCAGUAUAUCACUGAUCCUACACAUUAUAGAAGCAUUGUGGGGGGAAUGCAGUAUCUGAUCCUAACAAGACCAGAAAUUGCAUUUGCUGUCAACAAGUUAAGCCAGUAUGUUUCCACUCCUACAUUGCAGCACUUGGUAGCUUGUAAGAGAGUGCUCAGAUACUUGAAGUCUACUUAAGAUUAUGGACUUAAAUUUGCUCAGCAUGGAGAGAUGAAGAUCACAGGAUUCACUGAUGCAGAUUGGGCUGGUGAUCUUGAUGACAGAAAGUCUGUGGGUGCUUACUGCAUUUACUUGGGAAACAAUCUAAUAUCAUGGUCAUCUAAAAAGCAGUCAGUCAUUGCCAGAUCAAGUGCUGAAAGUGAAUAUAGAGCCUUAGCUUCAGCUAGUGCAGAGAUAAGCUGGUUACAAUCUCUGUUUUCUGAAAUUGGUUUAAGCUGUACAGAAACUCCUAGUGUUUGGUGUGACAACAUCAGUGCCACUGAGUUAGCUCGCAAUCCAGUUAUCCAUUCAAGGACUAAACAUAUUGAAAUUGACUUACACUUCAUCAGAGACAAAGUGAUUGCUGGAGAACUGCAAAUUCAGUACAUUCCUAGUGCAGAACAGAUAGCUGAUAUCAUGACCAAGCCUCUCUCAUUUAUUCACUUUAACUAUCUUAGAGACAAACUCAAUGUGCAGAUGUGUCCCUUGAGUUUGAGGGGGGCUGUAAAGGAAGCUCAUUGUGCUGAGCUUAUGAAGAAUAGAAAGGUGAAGAAGCCGAUAGUUUCAGCAAGUGAAGUUAGUCAAUCAUGCCAGCUCAGCAGUGCCAAGUCAUCAGAGUUAGUUAUGAAAUAGCAAGUCAGCACAGGAUGUUAAAGUCUGUUAUUAAUAAUUCUUGUGUGUAUAACUAACUUGUGUGUAUAUAAGCUGUGAUUGAUUAAGUUGAAUAAUGACUUUGUGAAUUGUCUAGAUUCAAUGAAAUAAAAUUUUCUCUGCAACUUUUCCUUUAAAAACAAACAGCUCAAGUUUUCUUUUAAGAUCUCAUCGUAAUGUGUCAGAAGCAAAAAGAUCAUUGACUCGUCAAUUAGCAGCAGCUAAUAUACCAAUACAUCAACAAAUUAGUGUCCUUGAGUUGCAAGCUGGAGGUAUACAAAAUAUUGGAUGUCUUGGGAAAAAUUUAUAUAACGAUGAAACGAAAUCCAAGAAUAAAGUGAAAGGACAUGAUGCAGAUAUGUUGUUAGAGCGUUUUCAGUUGGAAAAAGAGAAAAAUUCAGCAUUUACUUUUACAAUUGAGUCCGAUAAUGAAAAUAGAAUUACCCAUUGUUUUUGGGCUGAUGCAACAUCUAGAAGGGGUUAUAAUUCUUUUGGUGAUGUGGUGGUUUUUGAUACUACUUAUAAUACCAAUAAAUAUGGUAUGAUUUUUGCACCAUUUAUCGGGGUUAAUAACCAUGGCCAGACAAUUGUCUUUGCUUGUUCAUUCUUAAGCGAUGAAACUACUGAGUCUUUUGUUUGGUUGUUUGAGUAAUUUAAAAAAGCUAUGCCUAGUGAUCUACCGAAAAUGAUUAUUACUGACCAAGAUCCAGCUAUAACGAAAGCCAUUUCUGAAACUCUUCCAAAUACAUUUCAUAGGUAUUGUAUCUGGCACAUACUGAAUAAAUUUUCUAAUAAGAUUCAUGCAAUCAAGCAUAAGGAUUAUUAUCCUGAUUUUCAAAAAUGCAUUUGGAAGUCAUUGAGUAGGGAUGAUUUUGAUAGAAAUUGGCUGGAGAUUGUAGAAAAAGGCAAGCUACAUGAUAAUGCAUGGCUAAAAUCAGUUUUUGAAAUUCGUUCAAAAUGGGUGCCUACAUAUGUGAAUCAUGUCUUUUCUGCUGGAAUGUCCAGCAGUCAACAAGCAGAGAGCUGUCAUUCUUUCUUCAAGAGGUACGUGUCUAAAAAAAAUUCAUUAUUGGAUUUUAUGAUACGAUUUAAUAGAGCACUUAAUCACCAAAGACAUGAAGAGUUAAAUGCUAAUCAUGCAGACGUCAAUGAAAAACCUACUUUGAAAUUGCCUUUGAAGAGGGAGAAGCAAAUGGUUAGUCUUUACACACGUGAAAUUUUUUAUAAAUUUCAAGAUGAAUUGUGGGAUAGUUUGCAACAUAAAAUCGAACUUCUAAAAGAAUAUGCUCAUCAUUGUGUGUACAAAGUUGUGAACCAGAAUGAAGAUGAUGAUGUGCACGAAGUUUUGUUUGACAAAACUUUGGAUUUUGCUUCAUGUAUUUGUAAGAAGUUUGAGAGUAAAGGAAUUCCAUGUAAACAUAUUUUAGUUUAUUUUCAUAGAAAGCAAUUUACAUAUUUGCCAGAUCAAUACAUACUGAAGAGAUGGACAAAAUAUGCAAGAUGUGAUAAAGUCAUUGGUGAUGGUGGUUUAGAAAUAGAAGAUUGUUUCCAGAGUUCAAUUCUCAUGAGACGUACUGCAUUAUUUCAACUCGCUUCAAAUGUUAUUGAUAAGGCUGUCAUUAGUGAGGAGGCAAGUAAGAUACUGAUGGAUGAUUUCGAAAAUUCACUUCGGAAGAUUAAGUCAGUUGUAAGUCAGGAUCCAAAAGCUAUGGAGAAAAACAAGUGUACUGACCAACAUGUAUUGAAUGAUCCACUUGUAGUUAGGGCAAAAGGGUGUGGAAAAAGGCUGAAAAAAAGAAAAGAGAAGGCACGAGCUAAGGAUAAAAACAAGCAUUGUCAUGGAUGUGGAAAAAUUGGACAAUCACAUGAUAAAAGAAAUUGUUCAAUGCUCAAAAAUCGGUAAGCAUGUUUAACUUAACAUAUAAUUAUUAUACAACAUUUUUUUAUACUAAUUUUUUUACUCUAUUUUUACUUCACAUAGGUCUUCUUUAUUGGAUGAUGCAGAUAGUUUUAAUGAAAGCUCCUCCUCUAUAGGUACAUGGUCUUUGACAUAACUAUAAAUAUAUUUUGUUGUAUUGACAUUUGUGAAUAUGAAGUAAGAAUCUAAUUAAUUAUUUGUUCAUGCAUGUGUGGUUGACUACAGAUGAAUGACGGUCAAGAUCUGGGUUACUUUGGAUUCAUUUGAGAAAUCAUGGUUAUUAUUCUGACCAUGGGCUUAGCUAAAAUGUUUGGGCAAAUUAGAAUUUUUGUCUUCUGUAAUUAAAUUUUACAGGACUUAAUGAGUGUUAAAUAUUUUUCAAUUAAUUUACCUUAUAUUCCCAUUUGUCUUUUAUUAACUUUUUUAAUUUUAUAGUUGAAUGUCAUUCAAUGAGUUGGUUGCCAGUGAACAAUAAUUUUUUUUUUGAAAAGAGGAUUGUAAAUUAAUUGAGAAAAUUAAUGCGGUUUAAUUAGAAAGAUGCAGAAUAUUUAUAAGAAUUGAACAAUGAAAUAGAAUUGGAAUAUAUAAUUUUAAAAAAAUCAUGAAACAACAAUAAAAGAAAAAGCGCUUGAUUACAUUCAUGAUAAUUAGUAUAUUGAUUUGACAAGACUUCACAUGGGAUAAGUUAUUUAAAUAAAUUUAUAUUUUACCAGAUUUUACACUAACACAAUUUAAUAGACAGACAACUAGUUAUAUAACAAAGGUUUUUUUACGGCAAUAAAUCAAUAUAAUAUAUGUUGCACUUUACUAGUUUAGCGGGCAAAGGCUUUAAAAGCGUUGGAUUGACUCAAUUUGAUCCAACCGCUUAUAUUACACAUGCGGAGGAUAACUAAUAUCCGAACAUUCGGAUAAUAGAAAUAUUGUAUAUAUAUAUAUAUAUAUUAUCAUGUGUGGAUUUCCGCAUCUUUUAAAAUGUGAAUUUACUAAUAUACAAUAUAUUAAUUAUUUAAAAAAAGUUAAUAAAAAUACUAAUGCAUUGUAUGGCGUAUACGCGCUAUCACGCACACCUGAAGUAUUUUAAUUAGUGGAGUUGUGGGGCCUACAACACAACUCCACCAAUAAAAACUUAUCAUGCAUUAUAUUACUCAACUCUGGGUACCUAAUCAUAAUUCUAAAUGUACAUAUAUUUCUUUAUUCAUAAUAAUAAUAAUAAUAACAAUAAUUACAACAGCAACCAUAAUUUUUAGAAACUUGUGACAUGACAUGAGAAGUCCUCAUUCUUCUGCAUGUUGGUCGCUUUAAAAGUGUUGGUCGUCGGGGCCUCUCCAAAUUUCCAAUGCCGCGUUUCUCCAAAUCCUGUCAGGAAAAAAAAAAAAAGGUGGGGUACGCCAGUGUGUUUGGUGGUGAGAAAUUAAGAAAGCGAAAGAUAUUAACUGGAAUUGGACUGCAUUGAAACUGUUUCCAAUAAGUUCCAUCGCUUUUAAUGUUGAAGAACGUUUACCAAGAAAUUUGAGGUCAAGCUAGUAUUGGGAUGGAUCAUCCCAUUCCCACCGAUGCUAACUCAUUUACAAUUACCAGGAAAUUAAGCGACUUCUCCUUGCCGUAUGGACUUCCCCAUUGGAAUCUGAAAGCUUCCACCUAAACAAAUCGUGGAAAGAGACUCCAGAAGCUUCGUGGCAUCCGCAUAAAAAAUUUACAGUAAGAAACGAAAUUGAACAUGUUUAUCUAAUUUGUCCCCAUUGCAGUAAUGCUACAAGCCUAGCACUCAGUAAUUAAAAAUUUUCUUCCAUCGUGUCGAUUUCAUUUUAUGAAUAAUUAAUAUUAUUUUUAAAACAAAUUAUUUAGUGCUAAUUAAUUCAAUCGCAUAGUUGUAUACUAAACUAUAAUAAGUUUAAAGCCCGCCUCUCACCGCAAGUGAAACUGUAGAAAACGUAGCGCAUGAACACUUUUAUACCGUUCUGCUUAGUUUAUUCAAAUUCAUUAAUUGUAUCCUGCAAUUGGAGGAGCAAUGAGUAGUGAAGAAGCUUCAAUUUUCUCAACUUUUCUGUUUUGUCUGUUGAUGUUUGUAUUCAGCACCAGUGAAAUUGAAGCAAGAAAACUUGAAGUACAAAUGUGUUCUUUUUCUUGUGGAGAUGUCAGAAACAUAAGCUACCCUUUUCGCCUCAAGGGCGAUCCAGCUGGAUGCGGUCAUCCGGAGUUAGAACUUUCUUGUGAGAACAACAAAACCAUCUUAGAAUUGUCCAAUUCUGCAAGGUACUAUGUAAAGAGAAUUUCCCAUGAUAAAUGUACAAUCAGUGUUGCCGAUGUUAACCUAGCCAAUGGAAGCUGCGGCCUCCCGUACAAAUCUUUUUCCCUAUAUCCUUACUUUUUCCGACAUAUUAACGGUUACAUUCUUAAAUCAUACGCCCAUUACGUGAAUUGCUCAAGUAAUAUUAUUGAUCAGGCGUAUACGAAAGUUCCAUGUUUGAGUAACAAUCAGUCGAAUGUCUAUGUUUAUGUUGGACAUGUUGGAUAUGGUGUCACCAACCCCAGAAUAUAAGAUCUUCCAGACUCAUGCGUCUUCAUUUCAAAGGUUCCUGUAGUACUUAAAAGGGGUGUGGACAAUCCUUCUUAUGAAGACCUCCGAAAAUCGCUGGAGUCAGGGUUCGAUUUUAAACGGUUAGAUGAGUGCAGGGACAACACAUUUACUGAGUGUAAGCCUAUGCUUAUGUUUAUUUAUGCCUUCAAAUGCAAGCGAUUUGUUUUUUGUUUCUCAAUAUUGUACGUAAUAAAGAAUUUGUGAACUAUAUCUAAGAGCAUACCGAUGUGACCCUUAAUUUCUGUUUCUUUUCACUUUUGCAACAGAUUGCAACUUCAGAUACAAUGGAGUAGUGGCAAAAAUUAUUUGCUACCCAUGUUAUAUGCGUAAGCAUAUCCUUAUAUAUCUUUUUGAUCAUGUGUUUUCGACGUUAAUAAAUGCGACGGCUUCAUAUAUUCUCUAAUCUUUUGCUGUCUAGUUUUUUUCUGAAUCAUCUCUCUGAUUAGGUAUAAAGCAUAUUUAAUUUUUCCCCCUUCUCUCCAAUUGCAGUUUUCGGAGUAAUUUACCAAGCAAUGUUUUGGCCUUCCAUGGGAAAUUGGAUAAGUUUUCUGUUAGGUAAAAUCUCCUCUCCAGGAUCCUCUUUUUAUUGCUUUGCUUACUACUAUUUACUUUCAAUAAACGUUCUCUUUACCAGGGUUUCUAGUUGAUGUUCCGAUAAUUGGUAGAUUUAUUCUUGCUCCAAUAGUCUUUCUCGUGUUCCUUAUCCAAAGAUAUAGAAAAUCAUUGAAGAGAGUUGAUAAUGUGGAGAAAUUUCUGCACAAUCAACAAUCGUGGAUGCCUAAAAGGUACUCUUACCCGGAGAUAAUUGCCGUGACAAACCACUUCACUCAUAAAUUAGGCCAAGGUGGCUUUGGUUCAGUUUAUAAAGGACAACUUCAUACCGGUCGCUUGAUUGCUGUUAAGAUGCUGGAGAACUCCAAGUUCAGUGGGGAGGAAUUCAUCAAUGAAGUUUCAACAAUUGGUAGAAUUCACCACGUUAAUGUAGUCCAGCUAUUGGGGUUCUGUUCUGAGGGAUCCAAACGGGCACUUGUCUACGAGUAUAUGCCUAAUGGAUCACUCGAUAGGCAUAUCUUUCCCAAGGAGAGUAGAGGCCAAUCUUUUAGUUGGGAGAAACUCCACGAAGUUGCUUUAGGAACUGCCCGUGGGAUCGAGUAUUUACACAACGGAUGUGAUGUCUGCAUUCUUCAUUUCGACAUUAAGCCUCACAACAUCCUGCUAGAUCAUAAUUUCAUCCCAAAGGUCUCAGAUUUCGGCCUUGCAAAGUUUCAUCCCAAGGAAAAUGAUUUUGUGUCCAUCAGUGCCACAAGAGGAACCGUAGGAUACAUAGCACCUGAGCUGAUUUCAAGGAAUUUUGGAAAUGUUUCUUGCAAGUCAGAUGUUUACGGUUUUGGGGUGGUCUUGUUGGAAAUGGCUGGCGGAAGAAGGAAUUCUAAUAUGCAUGCAACUCGUUCAAGCAAAGCAUAUUUCCCAUCUUGGGUAUAUGACUAAUUAAAUAAGGGAGGUGAUUUAGAGCUUCGGAAUGUGACUGAAAUUGAGUCCGUGAUUGCAAGGAAACUGUGUAUGAUUGGUUUAUGGUGUAUUCAGGUGAAGGCACCUGAUCGCCCCUCCAUGACAAAAGUUUUGGAAAUGUUAGAAGGGAGUAUUGACGAUUUGCAAAUGCCUCCGAAACCUUUCUUCUCUUCUUCUCGACAUAUCUCCGGAAGAGAGAUUGAGUCAGAUUCUUCAACAUAGUUGUUAGUGUCUGAAUCGAUUGAGGAAUGUUCUUUCAAUGAUAGUUAUGCUUAGUUUUGGCAAUGAUAUGUGUAAAAAAGAAAUAAAUUGUCCUUGUGGUACCGGAGCUUCUAUAACAUUAUGUUGAAAAAUUUCAGUACGAUUCAUUGUUUGAUGUGAAUAUUCCAAUUUUGCUCAUAUCGACCAGAAUAUGAUGUAGGUUUGUCAUGUGAUCAUGUACAUUCAUCAACCUUUUGCGACGCUGCUUCCUGCACUCUUUGCUCCUGCUGAACUUAAUUUAAAGUACAAUUACCAAAGUAUAUGGCAGACACCUAAAUAUCACCACGCAUCCACUUUUACUUAAUAGCUAAUAAUUCCAUCUCACAACAAUGGCUAAUUUAGAGGCACAUAGUUCCCAUCAAUCCUAAACACACCCUUAGUCUCUCACUGAUAUAUCAUGCUAGCUGCUAGGAAUUACCCGUUUUCUAAAGAACAACGUUACUUACUGAUCUUAAAAACAUAAUUUUCUCAUUUCUUUACAGACAAAUUACUUUCGCAACUCUCACUAAAAUCUAUAUCACAAACAGCAAGUCUCAUCCUGUUCCUCCAUGCAUCUGAUAUUGGCAGAUACUGAAGUUGACUAAUCUCUUUGGGGCUACCAUUGACUUAGAAAAACAGAAGAAAUUAAAAGAAACCCAUUUUCCUGCAUUUUUCCUUGACAAAUUGACAAUCAAACUCUGCUCUCCCUCCUUACUCCAAAAGCAUAACUCAAAACCCCGCUCUAACUCAAACUUCACUCUCCCUCGCCCUCCAUGUCCCGCUUGAUGAGUCUAAUAAUCCUCGUCUUCUUCUUACCUUAUACAUGUACAUUAGCCAAAGCUUCUGCGGAAGACAACAAGACAGAUAAAUAUGAAUUCUGCCAACCAACAAGAUGCAGUAAUAGGAGCCCAAGUAUCAGAUAUCCCUUCAAACUCAAAACUCAACCAAUAUCUUGUGGCCUUGAAGGGUUUGAAUUGUCAUGCUUAAGUGACAAGACAAUCUGGCAUCUUCCUUCCUUUGGUGAUUAUUAUGUCCAUGAAAUUUCUUAUUUAGAUAGUAGUAUUAACAUUACAGAUGUGAAUGAGACUGCAUGCCCGUUUCAAAGUCUUAUCUCAUUCAACCUCACAAGCUCCAAAUUCUUUUUUCUUCCCUUUAAUGACAGUUACGCUUUAUAUAACUGCACUGAGAAGGCUGCUUCAGAAUGGACUCCUUUUGAAGCAAUUGGACCGAUCAAUUGUCUCGGCAGCGAAAACAAUCUUGUGUAUAUCAUACAUAGCGAAUAUUUAAUGGAGGAAAUGCCUCCAUCUUGCAGAAAAUCUCGAACAGUUGAGAUUCCUGGUGGAUUACCUCUGCAGGAUGUUGCUACGACGGCCAGGGCAAGACCAGUAGUCUUAGGAUGGGAAGCUCUUGAUGGAUGCUACCACUGCGAAAAUUCAGGGAAUUAUUGUGGGUUCAACACUACAAGCAAUUCGACAAUCUGCGUUUAUUGUGGGUUCAAUACUACAAGCAAUUCGACAAUCUGCGUUGCCGUUAAACACCAAAAACGUAAGUAGCCAUACUUUUCCUCAGUCACCCCUCUCUACAGUGCUUGAAAGUGAAAGCAUCGUCUCUAUUUAGCUAAUAAUAAAAAUAAUAAGUUGAAUUUAUUAUCAUUGUUAUAUAUGCUGGAAAAAUGAUCAGAGCAGUGUAACUGAAAAAAAAAAAUAACUAGGCUUUGCAUUAUUUUUUCAAUUGUAAAAGUGUAAUUACAAUUGGAAGUUAAAAAUUGAAGAAGCCAUCUAUAUUAUUUUAGGUCAGUUUUUCAAAAAAUUAAUAAUUUGAACUGAACUGAAAGUCCAAUCAAUCUAGUUCGAUUUAGUUAGGUUUUAUUUAUUUUUAUUUUUUUCAUUUGACCUGCAAUUUCUUUUGCGUUUUUCUAGUUUUUUGGUUUUUUACUUUCUCUCAUAUAAAUCGAUGGAUUUUUUUUACAAAAAAAAAAACUGACGAUUUGUUUUUUUGGCGGCAAUUAUAGUGUUACCCACCCCUAAUCUGUAUGGCGAAUAUCAUUGCUAUAAAGGUUGUUGAUGCAAGAAAUUCGGAUAAGUUGGUCAAAUCUCAGAUCACCGCAUCAUCAUUAAAUUUGUUUGGUGGGAAGCUGAUGAUUAGUUAGCUCCAUGAGCAGAUUUUCUAUGAGCAGAGAACUCAUGAGCAGACAAAUCUAUGAGCAGAUAACCCGUGAGCAGACGAUCCAUGAGCAGAGAACUCAUGAGCAGACAAUCUAUGAGCAGAUAACCCGUGAGCAGACGAUCCAUGAGCAGAUAACCCAUGAGCAGACGAUCCAUGAGCUGAGAACUCAUGAGCAGACAAAUCUAUGAGCAGACAACCCAUGAGCAGACGAUCCAUGAGCAGAUAACCUGUGAGCCUGUGAACACAACCAACAGUCAGGAGGUGCCGGAAGUUUUUCCAGCGAGAACCCUCCGACGCUCAAGUCAGCGAUUCGGGUCUUACUUGGAAAAACCCAUACCACAAUUCAUGUGGCUUAAUUAUGAUUGCUUUAAACAAAAAGCUUUUAAGUAAAUUUAAAGGAAAAGAAUUCAAAAUAAUCAAUCCUAAAGAAAUCACAGGGGAAAGAGAAAUUUCUCAGUUGUAGAGAGAGAAAAAGGUCCAAUGGGUUCAGUUGCCCAAACAGAGAGAGAGAGAGAGAGAGCUCCCCAGAAAAUCCCCCUUUUUCCUUCCACUUCCUAGGGUUUUUAUAGGAAACUAUAUCGGUUUUUAUCCCCUCCCCUAUAAUUCUCAAGAAAACUACUAAUUUUCAGCCCACUAAGAAUAUGGUCCCUAAUAUUUCGGAGAAAAUGUUUUGACUGAAUCGUGCUUUCUGGAAAGUUCCUGGUCGAGGUGACCAAUAAAAUCCUGGUCGAGGUGAUCUGCUCGAGGUCACCACAUAUUAUUCUGGUCGAGGUGACCAAUAAUAUCCUGGUCGAGGUGAUGUGCUCGAGGCCACCACAUAUUAUUCUGGUUGAGAUGACCAAUAACAUUCUGGUCAAGGUGAUCUGCUCCAGGUCACCACAUAUUAUUCUAGUCGAGGUGACCAAUAAUAUCCUGGUCGAGGUGAUUUAUCUUGGUCACCCUAUUUCAUUCCCUAAACAAAAGGCUGCUUUCCAGUAUUAUUGGCAGUUGUAGAGUGCUCGAUAAAAUGUUGCUAGCCUGGCUGAUUUGACUGUUUGAAGAAAAACUGAUACUACUCAGGACCAAAUAGAUAGUACUAAUUUUCUCUAUCUCGUCAAUUUAAUCUUGAAUCUUUAUAUUACAAUUAAUUUUCGUUAAUGGUGAGAGAUUGAUUAAACUCACAAUGCCUGAUAAAAGUUUAAUCUAUUAUAUUUUCUUACGUCCUCAAUGAAUACAAAUUAAGAAGAAUUAUUAUACUAAUACUUUUUCUCUAUGAUUGUCUUUGUCAACUUUUUAUGUAAGAGCCAAUAUACGUUCAUGAUGGCAAAUUUGUUGAGAAAAAAAUUUUGUUUAAUCAAGUGACCCUCAAUAUUCACAUGGAAUAAGAGACGAGGGAAAAAAAAUCAUUUUGUGAAUGCAGAAAGGCAAAAAAAAAAGCAUAAUGACAGGGAUUUCUAAUUGUGAUCAUUUUGGUGUUUUCAUUGUGUACUUGAGUAAAAGUUAAAAUUUUAAAAUUGAAGUGUGUAAGGUGAAAGAGUGCUUACUUUGCAGUUCAAAUAAUUUCAUCCUUCUCCUUAUUAGUAAUUUUUCAUUAUUUAGUUAAAUGACUACCUAAUUAUCUAUCCACCCAUGUGAAUAAGAUAUAUAAUUAUCAUUUAAGUUAUGGACAAAUACCUAUAUGAGAUGGUCACAUGAGAGGGACUUGUUAAAAACCAAUCAAAUAAUAUUGAGUCUUUAUGCUACCAAGUUAAGCUUGCACGGGUCCAAACUUUUAGCAUCUCAUUUUAUUGUUUGAAUUGAUUUUGUAACUAACUUUUAGCAUCUCAUUUUAUUGUAACAGAUGGUCCUGGCCCUUUAUCUAUAAGUCUAAUAUCCACAGGCACAAGCACUGGAGGCAUCACCCUCUUUGCAUUAGUGAUAUUUCUCAUUUACAAAUCAAGAGAAUCUGAAAAAGAAAAAGAGACUCAGCUGAAGGUGGAGAAGUUCCUCGAAAACUACAGGACCGUCAAUCCCACCAGAUAUACUUACAAAGAACUCAAGAAAAUAACAAGCAGAUUUAAGCACAGGCUCGGCCAGGGAGGUUAUGGAAGUGUGUUCAGAGGAAAACUCUUCAACGGAAUUCCAGUUGCUGUCAAGAUGUUGGAACAUUUAAAAGGAAAUGGACAAGAGUUCAUCAAUGAAGUGGCCACAAUUGGCAGGAUUCACCACUUUUACAUUGUUCGGCUUCUGGGAUUUUGCUCUGAAGGGAAUCGUCGCGCUCUUAUUUACGAGUUUAUGCCCAAUGGAUCACUUGAGAAAUUCAUCUUCUCAAAGACAAAUAGCUCAACUCACCGUCAAUUGAGUUGGGAGAAGCUGAGGAAGAUUGCAUUUGGCGUUGCCCGUGGAGUGGAGUACUUGCACCAAGGAUGCAACCACAGGAUCUUGCACUUCGAUAUCAAGCCUCACAAUAUAUUAUUAGACCAUAAUUUUCAACCGAAGAUUUCAGAUUUUGGAUUGGCUAAGUUGUGCUCAAAGGACAUAAGCAUUGUAUCUCUGACAGCUGCCAGAGGCACUUCUGGCUACAUUGCACCUGAACUUUUCUCCAGGAAUUUUGGUGAGAUCUCUUACAAGUCUGAUGUUUACAGUUCGGAAUGAUGCUGUUAGAGAUGGUCGGAUGCAGAAAAAAUAAUGAUCCUGCGGUUGAAAUUCAGAGCCAAAUAUAUUUUCCGGAGUGGAUUUACAAUAGAAUGAGGCAAGGACAAGAGCUCUGUUUGGAAUUUGAGGAAGAUGGGGAUGAGGGAAUUGCCAGAAAGCUUGCAAUUGUGGCACUUUGGUGCAUUCAUGGAAUCCCACGGAGAGACCUUCCAUGCCAAUUGUAUUACAAAUGCUUGAAGCUGAUUUACAAUGCUUGGAGAUCCCUCCAAUGCCCUUUGUCUCUUCUGAUGUUGAGGCAGGUGCAAUCAAUUGAUCUAGAUAGCAGAAGAUUAUAAUUAAAAAGGGAUAUUGUUAAUUUGUUUCAAAAUUUCCCCGAUUAUAAGCUAAAUUAUUUAGUCCUUCUUGUUAUUGAAAACCACUAAAUUGAGUUUUUGUUUGCUUGUGGUUGUUUUAUUUAUCAUUUAAAAUAUUUGAUGUGUUCGAGUGAUACAACAUUAAUACAACUAUGAAUGAAUUUUUUCAAUUUAUAAUAUUAUUGAGGAAAAAGGAUAAUUAUACUCUUAAAGUUUAAGAAAAUAAUUACAAAAGCUCUCAAGUUUUUAAAAUAAGACAUCACGACCCAUUUUUAAUCAUAAUACCCUUUGAAUUUAUUAAUUAGGAAAUUGACUUUGAAGUUUUUAUUUAAUUAAAAUUUGAUAUAAAUAAUAUAAUUUAUCUAGUAGACUAAUAAUAUUAAAUUAUUUUUAACAUUUAAAAUAAUAUAAAAUUUUAAAUUAUUAUAUUUAUUUUAAUAAUAGAUUUGUAUUUGUUAUAAAGAUUUUAAAUAAAAUCUUUGGGUUUAAUUUUACAAUUAACAAAAUAUAUCCCUAUCAAUAAUAUUAAAAUUAUUUUUACAUAAUUUUCAAAAUAAUUUUAAUUAAUUAAUUUUAAUAUUAUGUUUCUAUUUAUUUUUAAAAAUUACCUCAACAUAAUAAAAUAGGUCUAAGAGAUUGUAAAAUAUAAAAAUAUUUUUUUAAAUAUUUUAAAAAUGCAUAUAUUAUUAUAUUUAUUUUAAUGUCAUAUUUCUAUAGAUUAUAAAAUUUUAGAGUAAUUUUUUAGAUUUACAGAGUUAAAGGGUAUUAAAGCAAAAAAAAAAAAAAUGACCUUGCUGUCGUUUAUUGAAGACUUGGGAGUUUUUAUAAUUAUUUUUGCAAAAGUAGGAGUGUAGGUGUCUUUUUUGCUAUUAUUUAUUAUGCCCCGCUACCCUUCUCUACUAAAAUCAAUGCUACCUAAUUGCUGAUGAAUCUUUUGAUUAAUCAUUUAGUUUCAGAUAAGCAACGAAGUGAGACUUCAAAAGUCUUCCAAAAUGUGCACCGUCGUCUCUGAUUCUGAAGUAGGCCCUUGGAAAUUUCAACUUGUCAAGUAGAUGAUUAUUAGUAACUGGACUGCUAAAUCUUAUUCCAUUUAUGGCAGAUUACAUGCAUAUCGAAUGAAACACAACAGAGCUCAUUACAGUGGCACAAAAUUAAUAUAAAAACAUUUGAUAGAGAGGAAACCUCUGCACCUAUGAUACCUUCCCAUGCAAGCACAAGGUGCAUAAAGCAUACGAAAACUUUAGUCUAUUUUUAAACACAUCAUUGAAAAAAAAAAUUAAGCAUAACUACUGAAAGAUCAUUCCUUUAUUGAUAGGUUUAUAGUUCCCAAGGAGGGUAGUUGGUAGAAACUCCAUGAGCUAGGUUGCUUUAGAAAAGGCUCGCGGGAUCGAGUAUUUACAGAACGACCGGAUGUGAUGUGUGCAGUCUUCAUUUCAACAUUUAAGUCUCACAACAUCCUGCUAGAUCCUAAUUCCUUCCCAAAGGGCUCAGAUUUCGGCCCUUGCAAAAUUUCAUCCCAAGGAAAAUGAUUUUGCCCCCAUCAGCGCCACAGGAGGAACAAUAUAUAGGUUAAAAUAUUACAUGAGCUAUGACUAAGACGAUGAUCGCUCUUCUGUGACAAAAGUUUUGGACAUUUUAGAAUGGAGUAUUGACGAUUUGCAAAUGCCUCCAAAACCUUUCUCAUCUUCUUCUAGACAUAUAUCCGGAAGAGAGAUUGAAUCAGAUUCUUCAACAGAGUUGUUAAUUUCUGAAUCAGUGAAGGAAUGAUCUUUAAGUGAUAUUUAGGUUUAAUUUUGCCAAUGAUGAAUGCAAAAUAAAUAAAUGAAUAGCGUGCAAUUAAUGACAAAUGUUAUUAUUCUUCUCAUUGCUUUAUCUCGAAUUGGAGCCUAAUGCACACACUUUUCGCGAUUGAUAGAUAAUUUAGUUGUUGAAAUCUUUUUAGUUGAUUCAAAAAGUUUAAGAUUUGAAUCUGUCCAUAUGGGUGGCAAAAGAAUUUAACUAGACGUGUGUUAAGCUUAACUUAAAACUCUGAGGUGGCAAUUUUCUUCAUUAUUUUACCCCCACAUUGAAAAGUAAUCACAAAAAAUCAUCACCGACGCAAACUUGCAAUCAAAACGUUUACCGAGAGUUGACUGACUUUUAAGAGUGUCCGAAAUCCCCCAUUGCAUGAAUGCUACGAGUCUUGUACUCAACAAAUAAAAUUAAUAUGCUCUUUUAAACCUUUUUAAUUUCCCCAUCUUUGUUGAUUUUUUUUAAGAAUAAGAUAAUACUAUUUUUGAACAAUUAAUUAUUGCUAAAUCAUUUUCAGCUAGUAGAAUCAGAUAGUUGAAUGCUAUAAUAUAUUUACUAAAUUGUCAAGUAAUGAUGUAAAUACGUAUCCAAAACUUUGAAAAUGCGGCCUUCUGUUUAAUUUAUUGACAUUUAUCUUAUCCUGGGAUUGGAUUAACAAUGAGUUGGUGGUAGUUUCGACCAUACGCUUUCUUUCUUUCUUUUUUGUUUUUUGUUAAUUAGUUUAGAAUUUUAAGGAAUUUUAGUUUUUAAUAUUUUUUGGGAAUUUUUUAGGAGCUCUUUGGGGUUCUUUUAUUGCUGUAAAUUUUCCAUAUUUUUUGUUUUCUUUCUCUCGCUCUGUCCUCUUUUUUUUUUUUGGGUGUUUAUAAUAAUUGGGUUCUGUUGUAUAAACACUACUUCCUCAUAUUAUGAUAUAUUUGAGACUUAGGAGUAAAUUAAAAUUAAAAAAAGAAACAAUUAAUUGAGAAGGAUUGAUUACUUUUGAUAAAUAGAUUAAAAGUGAUUAGUGGAUAAUAAAAUUUGGUUCAUUGAGGUAGUUAAAGUUUUAAAAUUCAUCUUUAAUUAAUUAAGUGCUGCUGAAAUUAAAUUAUAAUUAUUUGUUUAUAAUAAAUCUGUAAAAAAAGUGCACAAGUGCACAAACGAAAAAAGUACUCGAAUUUGUAAUAAAUGCUUUUGAUUCCAACGAGUUGCGGAGGCACGUUACAAAAUAAGGUUUUUAAUUUAAAAAAGUGAAUUUUAGUCAAAAGGUUCGGGAUUCAUGUUUUUAUCAUGUUAAAAUGAUUUUCCAUCAUAUCCUACACUCAUUACAUGUCACUUGACGGCAAGGUGAAGGAGGUCUACUUGUAGAACCAAAUCUCGAACGAUAAGUUUCGGUUAGAAACAAAAAAAAAAAUAAAUAAAAUGAAUUUUAUUGAUAGUCUUAGCCUAGCUAAUAAAAUCUUAUUUUAUAUGUUUUAUUCAUUAAAUUUCUUUUUAAAUUACUUAAAACACAUCAAAUAUUGCGCUGAACGUACGAUUCAAACAUUCUUAAUGCUCACUAAUUUGAAUUCGUUGUAAGAAAAUUAUUGGUGGGGGGUUAUAAAAUAUCAAUGACCUGUCUAUCUAAACUACUAUGAUGAGUUGCGUGUAAAUUGAUCUGAAUAUUAGUUGAGAACCUACUACUAUACUUCUAUUACCUACUUGAGAAUUGAGAUGAAUGAAAUUUAUUUUUUUAAAAUAUAAAAAUCUUAAUAUUAUCUCUCAUAUUCUUCUUGUAUUUGUAUAUGUUGUCGUAUCAUGCGCUCAAAAAAAAUUUAGGAAACUUUUAUUUUUUUAUGAUACUUUUUUCCCCUUUAAAACUAAAAUAAAGUAAGGAUUCAUUCAUGUUUUAAUCACAUGCUUGUUUCAAAUUUUUACUUUCUUACAAUGUUUUUAUGCUUUUUUAAAAUGUGCUCUCAUAUUUGUUAAAUUUAAGAAUUAAAGUCGAUGGUAUUGUAUUCAUCUUUAGGUUUCUCAAACAGCUACUUUGGAAGUGAAUCAGACUAGAAGGAAAAAAAUGAACCCAAAAAAAAAAAAAACGGAACAGUUCAUGGCUUUGUGCUUCUUUAUGGACUGUGGUUGCCUCAAUGAAUAACCCAAGUGAUUAUUGGGCUUUUACGUCGGCUCCUAUGAAAAGCCCAAAGCGUCCAUGAUGAAGCAGGUCACAGGAGCAGUCCCAAUUCUGAAUCUCUCUCAACUCCUCAAGCAGGGUUUCAUUUUGAAUGCCGCCAUUGGGCGCAUUUCACAAUAUAGAUGUGCAUGCAUGGAGGAUAUAUAUACACUGGGUGGAGAUAAAUCAAGACUACAUUGCUUUCCCUCUUUUUCUUGUUCACCUUUUGCAAUAGAUACGUUAUUAUAUUGUUUUUUUAGCACAUUUUCAAUGAGACUACUAUUCCCAUAUCGGCUGCCAAGUUAAUCAUUUGAUCAAAAUUUUAUUUUAUGGAUUUGAAUUCGACAUGACAGAUAUUAGAAACAGGUGGCAUACAACAUGACCAAAUUUUACAUCAAAAUAUAUAUAUUGGCUAAUGCUAAGUUACAUACAUGUAACUUACAACCCUCUCACAUGAAUAGUGAGUGGACUGCAUGUAGCAUAUGAGGAUCCAUAUACAAUAUAUAUGCUAAUGCAGCUGCGACAUUUGAAAUAAGCGAUUAUUCCAUUAAAUCCAUUUACGGCAGAACUACAUACUGCAUGAAAGGCAAUAUGACUCGUUACAAUGUCACAAAAUUAAUACAAAAACAUUUGAUAGAGAGGAAAUCUCUGUAUAAGUGAUUUGCCUUUAUAAAAUAUCAUAGUGACACUUUGACUCUUGACAGUAAAGAUGUCUACUCAGUACUCACUGAACCAAUCUUGAAUCAGAAAUGGAGAGUUUUGAAAAUCACAUGAAAAAUUAGCUUAUGAAGACACCAAAAUGUUUCACCAAGCAUAAGAUUCAAGAUAUCCUUAUCUCGAAUCUGUUGUAUGUAAGUUAAGUGGAAAUAUCAGAACACAUUGAUUUUUUUUCCCUUUGCGCCUAGCUAGUAUUACAUCGGUGGUCUAACUUUUUCCAUCCACAUACUGUGUGUGAUGAAUAACAUAUAAAUUUAUCUAAAUUUUAGUCAUAAAUUAUACCAUUUCUACUCUAAUCUACCUGAGAUUAAUGAACGUCGUAUAUGAUAAAAAAAAAUUAAUAUCAUCUCUUUUGUUAUUCUAAUAAUAUAUUAUUUGUUGUCAUAUCCUGUGAUCAAAUUAUAUAUUCGACCAAGGUCGGCUUUAGAGUGUUUGGGGCCUUAGGUGAAUUUUUUUUAUGAGGCCUCUAUUUAUUUUGCAAUUUCAAUACUCAAAGAAAUAAAAAAGGCCCAAAAUUUAUUCCAUUUUUAAUUCUUGAAUUUUAAAAAUAAAACCUAAAAAAAGUUAAGAAGAUAUUUUUUUUAUUCCAUUAAAACUAUUACAAAAUAAAAAAUCAAAUAAAUAAUAAAAAUAAUAUUUUCAAAUAGGAUAUUUAGAAUAAUAGAACAUAAAAAGUUGAAAGGAUAAAUUAAUGAUCAGAUAAUAGAAAUGAACUUUGUAUUUUUAUAAACUGAUUUUUUUAAAAUUAACCAAUGAAUAUAAUAAUUUUCUUUGCAAAGAAGAGAGGAAGAAAUUUUUUCAUUUACUGAUUUUUGAGAUUACAAAGUUUUUAAUAGAAAUUAAAAGAAAUACUAAAAGUCAAAUAUUCUAACAUUAAAUAAUUAAUUUUUUUGAGGAAAUUGAAAAGAUAACUAAUUAUAAUGAAUGAAUUAAUGAUUAAAUGAUAUUAUUAGUUAUAUCUAUUUAACAUUAAUGUUAUCAAAUAUAGAUUUUUCAUAAAAAUAAUUCUUAAUUGUAGGGUAAUUAAUAAUUAGAGAGAUGUUAAUAAGCUUUUUGAUUUCCUAAAAUAUAUAAUUUAAAAAAUGAGAAUUAUUAAAAAAAAAUGAGGCCUUCACAAUAAUGAAACUUUAUGCGACCGCCUUAUUCGUCUAUACCUAAAGUCACCCCUGUAUUCGACCAUUGAUUUUCAAAUAUCAUUAUUUGAUAUAUUUACUUAUUUCUAUAAUUACAAUCCAACGAUUUAUGCUUCUUUCUGGAUUUUGGUGGUCUCAAUGUGAAGCCCAGCUCAUAUUAGGCAUUUAAAAUUGAAAUCAUUAAAAAGCCCAAAAAAUACCUAAUGUGCAAGUAUAGACUCAUAUCUUCAUGGCCUUUUUAAAUAUAUAUAUAGUUUUUCAAUUAGGAAUUAUUGACUUUAAUAAAAUAUAAUGUAUUAGAAUAUGUGUUUAUUUUAUUUUUUUAACUUAUUCUUAAGUUUAUUAAAAUAAAAAAUCUCUAAUUAAAAAACUACUAUAUAUAUAUUGUCAUGCGUGGAUUUCCUCAUCUUUUAAAUUGUGAAUUUACUAAUAUACUGUAUAUUAGUUAAUUGGAAAAAGUUAAUAAAAACACUAAGGGUAGGGAUAUUUGAACCCACCAAACUACUCAUUAAAUCCACUUUUGAAAAUAUUUUUUUAUGAUUAAAACACCCUAAGUUAAAUUACAGUUAUGGACAUUGAAAUAUAAUAAAAAAGGAAAAAAAUAAAAUUUUUACUUUUUCAACCCACUUCAUAUUCAACAUAAUUUUAUUAAAUCCUAAUCAUAUUUUAAUUAAACCCUAAUCAAUCAAGAUGUGUGAUUUUCCUGCCAAGCUAUAUAUUUUUAUAUUUGUUCUCUCUUUAAAUGUUUCUUUCGCAUGUUAUUGCUCUGUCACAUGAAAAAUUUAUGAGCAAUCAUUUGUCAAUUUAAAUUUAAAUUUAUGAGUAAUCAUUGUAACUUAAACUAAGAAAUCAAGCCUGCUGACAUAACUUGAUGAUAGCAAGCCUGAACAACGGAGAAAUAUCCAUUUUGACUCCUUAUGCCUUUUGGUUGAGCUUUCAUCAUUUCAAAACUUUUGAAUCGGUAAAUAGAAAUUAUAUUGUUGAAAACCACCAAUAGAUGUACUGUGAAAUCAUAUUCCUUGCAUUUUCUUCGAAAAAAAACUUUUUUCGAAAAAACUUUCUUCAAAAAAAAAAAAAAAAUCAUUUCAAUGAAACAUUUAUCAUAUGGGUUUAAUGAGUAAAAUCACAAUUAUUAUAAAAAUUGGGUUUAAUAAGGAGAUAUUAGGUAUAUAAGUGGGUUUAUUGAGUAAAAUUUAAAAUGUAAAAAUUUAAGGUUGGAUUUAUUUAGUAAAUGAGUUUAAUGAGUAAUUUAGUGGGUUCAAAUAACUUCACCCAAACACUAAUUUACUGUAUGGCAUAUACGCGCUGUCACGCAUGCCUGACGUGUUUCUAUUAGCAGAGUUGUAGGGCCUACCCCACAACUCCAUCUUUCUUUCGUAAUAAUAAUAAUAAUAAUAAUAAUAAUAAUAAUAAUAAUAAUUACAACGGGUAAUUUUUAAAAACCUCCCCUGAGGUUUGGGCUUAUUGCAAGUAGAUGGCGAGAAUCUGUUUAUUUGUAAAAAUCCCCUACCGUUAGUUACUUUUAACAUUGACCGUUAGUUGACUGUGUAAAGACAAUAUUACCCUUAACAACAGUUUGUAGAUGAAAUUAACUAAAAAAAAAACUAAAAUUAUUGGCUAUUUUACCCUCUUUAAAUUAUUAAUAUUUUCUUAAAGUUCCUACAAGAAAAAUAAAAUUAAAAAAUUGAAAAAUUAUCUUUAAAUUAUUGAUAUUUUUUUAAAGUUCCUACAAGAAAGAUAAAAUUAAAAACUUGAAAAUGAAAUAGUCAUAAUUUUUACCUAUAAUAUUGUAAAUCUUUGAAAUUGACAAGGAUAAAAUUAUCAAAAAAUAGGGAUUGUGCUUUUCGCGCCAAUAAUUUUAAUUUUUUUUUAGUUAUGUCAGUCUACAAAUUGUUGUUAAGGAUAAUAUUGUCUUUGCACAAUUAACUAACGGUCAAUGUUAAAAUUAACUGAUGGUAGGGGGUGUUUUACAAAUAAAUAGAUUCUCACCAUCUACUUGCAACAAGCCCAAAUCUCAGGGGAAUUUUUUAAAAAUUACCCUAAUUACAACAGCACCAAUAAUUUUUAGAAACGUGUGACAUGACAUGAGAAGUCCUCAUUCUUCUGCAUGUUGGUCGCUUUAAAAGUGUUGGUCGUCCGGGCCUCUCCAAAUUUCCAAUGCCGCAUUUCUCCAAGUCCGGUUAGGAUUAAAAUAAAAAAAAAGGGUGGGGUAAGCCAUUGUAUUUGGUGGUGAGAAAUUAAGAAAGCGAAAGAUAUUGACUGGAUUUGGACUGCAUUGAAACUGUUUCGAAUAAGUUCCAUCGCUUUUAAUGUUGAAGAACGUUUACUAAGAAAUUUGGGGUCGAUGGGGAUGGAUAAUCCCAAUCCCACCGAUGCUAACUCAUUUACAAUUAUCAGGAAAUUAAGCGAGUUCUCUUUGCCGUAUGGACUUCCCCAUUGGAAUCUGAAAGCUUCGACCUAAACAAAUCGUGGAAAGGGACUCCAGAAGCUUCGUGGCAUCCGCAUAAACAAUUUACAGUAAGAAACGAAAUUGAACAUGUUUAUCUAAAAUUGUCCCCAUUGCAUUAAUGCUACAAGCCUAGCACUCAAUAAUUAAAAAUUUUCUUCCACCGUGUCGAUUUCAUUUUAUGAAUAAUUAAUAUUAUUUUUAAACAAAUUAUUUAGUGCUAAUUAAUUCAAUCACAUAGUUGUAUACUAAACUAUAAUAAGUUUAAAAGUGUUGGUCGUCGGGGCCCGUUCCAAAUUUCCAAUGCCGCGUUUCUCCAAUCCUGUUAAAAUAAACAAAUAAAUAAAGUAAGCCAUUGCGUUUUGUGGUGAGAAAAAUUAAGAAAGCAAAAGAUAUUGACUGGAAUUGGACUGCAUGCAUGGAAACUGUUUCCAAUAAGUUUUAUCGCUAUUAAUAUUGAAGAACGUUUACCAAGAAAUUUGAGGUCAAGCUUGGAUGGGGAUGGAUCAUCCCAUUCCCACCGAUGCUAACUCAUUUACAAUUACCAUGAAAUUAAGCGACUUCACUUUGCCGUAUUGACUUCCCCAUUGAAAUCUGAAAGCUUCCACCUAAACAAAUCGUGGAAAGAGACUUCAGAAGCUGCGUGGCAUCCGCAUGCAAAAUUUACAGUAAGAAACGAAAUUGAACAUGUUUAUCUAGAUUUGUCCCUUCAUCUUCCAUUCCAUUGCAUUAAUGCUUGAAGCCUAGCAGGCUAGCACUCAGUAAUUAAAAUUUUCUUCCAUCGUGUCAAUUUCAUUUUAUGAAUAAUUAAUAUUAUUUUUAAACAAAUUAUUUAGCGCUAAUUAAUUCAAUCACAUAGUUGUAUACUAAACUAUGAUAAGUUUAAAGCCCGCCUCUCACCAUGCAAGUGAAACUGUAGAAAACAUAGCGCAUUAACACUUUUAUACCGUUCUGCUUAGUUUAUUCAAAUUCGUUAAUUGUAUCCUGGAAUUGGAGGAGCAAUGAGUAGUGACGAAGCUUCAAUUUUCUCAACUUUUCUGUUUUGUCUGUUGAAGUUUGUAUUCAUCACCAGUGAAAUUGAAGCAAGAAAACUUGAAGUAAAAAUGUGUUCUUCUUCUUGUGGAGAUGUCAAAAACAUAAGCUACCCUUUUCGCCGCAAGGGCGAUUCAGCUGGAUGCGGCCAUCCGGAGUUAGAACUUUCUUGCGAGAGCAACAAAACCAUCUUAGAAUUCAAUUUUGCAAAGUACUAUGUGAAGAGAAUUUCCUAUGAUAAUUGUACAAUCAGUGUUGUCGAUGUUAACUUAGCCUAUGGAAGCUGCAGCUUCCCAUCCACUUUUUUUUACCCACUUGGUUUAAUUUUCAGAUAUUAUUUUGAUUACAAUCUUAAUUCAUACGCCUAUUACGUGAAUUGCUCGAGUAAUAUUGUUGAUAAGGCGUAUGCGAAAGUUCCGUGUUUGAGUAACAAUCAGUCGAAUGUCUAUGUUUAUGUUGCAUAUGAUUUAAUCGCCACCAGAAUAUCACAUCUUCCAGACUCAUGCGCCUUCAUUUCAAAGGUUCCUGUAGUACUUAAUAGGAGCGUGGACAAACUUUCUUAUGAAGACCUCCGAAAAUCGCUGAAGUCAGGGUUCGAUCUUACAUG
rnacentral:lncRNA from 1 species